AAAACCUCCAACACCUUCAGCACCUCCAACACCUACAAAACCUUCAACACCUCCAACGCCUACAAAACCUACAACACCUUCAACGCCCCCAACACCUACAAAACCUACAACACCUUCAACGCCUCCAACGCCUACAAAACCUUCAACGCCUCCAACGCCUACAACACCUACAAAACCUUCAACACCUCCAACACCUACAAAAACUACAACGCCUACAAAACCUUCAACGCCUCCAACGCCUACAACACCUACAAAACCUUCAACACCUCCGACACCUACAAAACCUACAACACCUUCAACACCCCCAACACCUACAACACCUUCAAACCCUCCCACGCCUUCAACACCUUCAAACCCUCCAACGCCCUCAAGCCCUCCUAAAGCCACUUGCCCGACAGACACUCUCAAAUUGGGUGUGUGUGCUAACUUGCUCAACAACCUUCUCCCUAUAGUCAUCGGAAACCCAUCAGAGACACCAUGUUGUUCCCUCCUUUCCGGCCUCGCAGAUCUUGACGCUGCAGUCUGUCUUUGCACUGCCAUUAAAGCUAAUGUCUUGGGAAUCAACCUCAACGUUCCCGUCUCAUUGAGUGUCUUGCUUAACUAUUGUGGAAAGAAGUCCCCAUCCGGCUUCCAAUGCACCUAGAUUCUGAAAACUUAUAACUAUAGAUUGUUCUAUUUUGAAAUAUGUUUUCUUAUGUUGAAUAUGAUGUAAAGAAUCAAUUACCAUAUGAUUCAAGAAUAAAGUUGUGUACUAUAUUUUGAAAUUUUUGUGACUAUUACAAAAUAUCAAUUCCUAAAAACUCCUAACAAAAAAAUAAAUAAAUGUAAUUACUAUACUUAAUUUACAAUAUAAUAAAUUUUGAAGUUACGGUACUUUAUAAUUUUUCAAGAAUUUUUUUUUGAAAUAAAAAUAAGAAAGUUGAUGAAUUUUUUUUUUGCAGCAACAAACACUUAGUGUAUAUAAAAUAAGAUUAAUUUAGCGGGAAUUAAACCUGUUUAAAUACUUGAUUAAUUAAUAAAAUAUAAAACGAAUAUUUGGGGUUUAGGUUUUGGUUGUCUCUUUUGUGUAGUGGGAUGAUGAGUCAGCAAGAAAAGAACAAACAAAUGUGAAAAAUGGUAUGGUGAGGACUCCGAUGCUCAGUCACUGGUGAUAUUUAUAUCGAGAGAUUGCUUUCAUUUCUGUGAACAUUUUAGCGAAAAUCAGGAGGAACAGCUACAAUUUAUUUCGUAAGGUCGGUUAAUUUAUAUGCAGUCUUUCCUUCUUUUAUGUUCUUACAGUUCAAAUCUAUUUCCAUUUUACUUCAUCGUUGAACUUUCGUAAUUACAUUUCAACUCUUACGAAUUGAUCACAAUUCACAAUAACAUUAGAUUUUCCUUUCCCCGAAUUCUAAUUCAACUUCAUAUCUUUGAAGCAACACUGAAAUUCUACUGCUUUUGCUUCCAGUCUUCCAGGCCUGACAAGGUGAUUAAACCAUAUGGAAUUCUUCAAUAUACUCAAGAUAUAUCGGGUUUUGUUGAUUAUCUGCUUGAUAUCUGAAUUGGGUCAUGGGUUUUAUCACCCUGGUAGUUAUCCUCCCACAUAUGUCAAAGGGGAGCCAUUAUCUGUGAAACUCAGCUCUUUAACUUCAAUUGAUACAGUAAUCCCUUAUAGCUACUAUAGUUUACCCUUCUGUAAACCCCCAGAAGGUGUGAAAGACAUUGCUGAUAAUCUUGGUGAGUUUCUGAUUGGUGAUUGGAUCCAAAACUCGCCUUAUAACUUUCAUAUGUACACAAAUGAAACCGAGAUCUUUCUUUGCCAAACAAAAUCGUUAUCCAGUGACGAGUAUAAGCUGCUAACGAACAGGAUUGAGGAGCUAUAUCAAGUUAAUUUGUUCCUUGAUAAUUUGCCAGCCAUUCGGUAUGUUACUGAUUACCCGAGGUGGACUGGGUACCCAAUAGGUCUCAAGUUUUCUGAUUCAUAUUAUGUGUUUAAUCACUUGAAGUUCACAGUUUUGGUUCACAAGUACGAAGAGAUGAAUGUUCCUCAUAAGUACAUGGUUGUAGGAUUUGAAGUGGAUCCUUGCAGUGUUAAACAUAACCCCGAGACAUUAAAGAAUUUGAAAAUUUACAGUAAGUAUCCAUCUAAGAUUGAUUGUGAGGAUAGCGUAGUAGCUUUAAAGGAAAACGAGCCCAUAGCGUUCACGUAUGAAGUCACAUUUAUCGAAAGUGACAUCAAGUGGUCAUCAAGAUGGGAUUCUUACAUGAAAAUGGAUGGAGCAAAAGUAGAUUGGUUUUCCAUCGUGAAUUCACUCAUGAUCAUCACUUUUUUAGCUGGAAUCAUUCUUGUGAUCAUUUUGAGAACAACAGUUAAACGGGAUUUCUCUAAUUUGAAAAUUGUUGUAGUGGAUGUCUACCGUUUUCCUAGCAAUCCCAUGCUUCUUUGUGUAAUGGUGGGAAAUGGGAUUCAGAUUCUUGGAACGACGGUUUUAGCCUUCAUUUUUGCCGCCAUGGGAUUCAUGUCUCCGGUGUCCCGUGGCGCUUUAGUCACCGGAAUGUUAAUCUUUUACAUGGUCCUCGGAAUCUUGGCCGGAUAUAUCGCCGUACGUAUGUGGCGGACAGUCUUUUCCGGCGAUCAUAAAGGAUGGGUUUCAGUUUCUUGGAAAGUUGCUUGCUUUUUCCCGGGUAUCACUUUCUUGAUUUUCUUUGUUCUAAAUUUCCUCUUAUGGAGUUCACACAGCACUAGAGCUAUCCCGUUUUCGUUAUUUGCAACCCUAAUACUACUCUGGUUUUGCAUUUCGGUUCCUUUAUCGCUUCUUGGUGGUUACUUUGGUGUAAAGGCGCCUCAUAUUGAAUACGAGAUUAGAAACAAUCAAAUUCCUCGUGAAAUCCCUGCUAAAAAGUACCCAUCUUGGGUUGUAGUUCUUGGUGCUGGAACUCUUCCAUUCGGUACCCUUUUCGUGGAGAUUAACUUCAUCAUGUCUAGCAUCUCUAUGGAUCGUGUGUACUAUAUUAUAGGGUUCAUGUUCGUUGCUUUGAUCCUUCUAGUAAUGGUGUGCGCUGAAGUGUCAUUGGUUUUGACCUACAUGCAUCUUUGUGUUGAGGACUGGAAAUGGUGGUGGAAAUCUUUUUUUGCUUCUGGGUCGGUGGCAUUGUAUAUAUUCUUGUACUCGAUAUACUAUCUCAUUUUUGAACUCAUGAGCCUAAGUGGACCAAUAUCGGUUAUAAUCUACAUUGGCAACUCACUCUUGAUGGUCCUAGCCACCAUGCUAGUGACAGGCACCGUUGGGUUCCUUUCGUCUUUUUGGUUUGUGCAUUACUUGUUCUCGUCUGUGAGGCUUGAUUGAAAGAACUAAGAAGUCGAUGGGGUUGCUUUCUAGAAAUUCAAAAUUUUCUUUUCUGUUAUGUAGUUUGUAUAUUAUACUUUGAUGGCAAGAACUUAGUUACUACAUAUGAAAUUAAAGGAGUAGAUGGAUGAUUGGUAGUUUGAAUGCUGGUGUCUUUCGUGAAUUGUUGUUUGUAUGAAUUUCAAUGAAAUCCGGGUUCCAUUUUAUGUUUGUGUUGUGUAUAUAUACAACUAAAAGACUAGACAAUAGUCCGGAUAAGUUUGAUAUUUUGUGAGGUCCGGCUCUGAUAUUUCAGAGAACGAGACUGCAACAGGAGACUCAGUGAAAUAUCAAGAUUGAAGACAAAAAAAAAAAAAAAAAAAAAAAAAAAAAAAAAAAAAAAGGAGAGUUUUGAGUAGGAGAGACAAGCAAAUGUUUGUACUUUUCUUUAGAUUAAGUUAAUUUCAUUAAAUUGUUAGUAGAUUUUAGAAUUUACAAUUAUAUUUUGACUUUUUGAUUUAAAUUAACUCUCUUCAUGAUUAAAUUGACUUCAAGAUUACAAUCAAAUAUUACAUUUGGCAUAUAAGAUUCGGACGACUAAUUUUAUUUAUAUAUUUUACGAAAAUAUCAACACCAUAACUAUAUAUAUGUCCCAAAAUUCGGAGGUACCCUGAAAUCGGAAGCCUCGUAUGACCGCACCUCCUACACACCCCCGUGGCCACCAUUGAUUUGGUAAAUUGUAAUGGAGUGAUUGUAUAUCUGAGUAUAUAUCAUGAAGAAAUUUGUUUCUAUUGAUAAUUUAUUCAAGGUCCCUAUUUAGUCAUUUUUUGCAAUAAAUUUCGGAUUGUAUCUCUACAAGUUGGUGUUGUGAAGUAGAUCAGUUAAUUGACUAAUCAUUUGGGUAUUUGGCCAUUGAAGAUGGAGCUACACACAACUAGUUUAGUAAGGUUUAAUAGAGGCUCUUGCAGGCAAAACACCCUCUUGGGUUUACGGGACAAUAUUUGUCAAGGCUAAUAAAAGUUUAAAAAGAAGAUCCAAAUCUACUAAAAAAGAUUGGGGAAUAAAUCUUUCUUUCGUUGAGUUGAUGAGAGUUAGAUUGCUUUUUUCUCCUGUCUUUAACGAGUGGCUCUAACUCGGCCUCUCAACUUUUCAAACCUUUCUUCUUUUGUAUUUUUUCUGAAAAUUUGAAUUUUAGAAAAACACAACUAUCAUGAAAACUUGCAGAAAAACCAAUUGUACAGAGUCAUAGAAAAGAUGGUUUUGCCACCAUUGAGUCCAAGUUAUACCAUUUUUACUAAAUUUAUUCGGAAAAAAAAAAUCAAAGGAGUGAAUUGUUAGCAUAAUAAGUUACUUGAGCUCUUUUUUAUUAGGUCUUAUGUUUUGUGCAUUAGCUAGGUUAACCCUAUAUAACUUUCCUAUUAAUAGUCUUAUUUAUCUUUCUUUCUCUUUACGGUUUUCUAUCAAUAAUGUAACCUUAUCCGUUUUCUAUCUAUACAGUUUUCUAUCGUCAGUGUAACCUUAGGUGUUUUCUCUCCAUAUUAUAUUACUUUUUGUAGAUUGUUAUUAGUUAAACGGUAUCAUAGCUAGAAUUGUGUUCGAUCAGUCUUUUACGAUUGUUAUGUUUUUUAGAUUCGUUUCUUUAUUUCUUUUGGUUUGAUUUGUUCGAAUUUGUUGUUUUGAGGGUAUAUAUUGAUGUUAUUUCAUCACUCUCUGGUUUGAUUUGUUCGUUUGCCUUCAAUUUCCUGCUGCGAUUUAUUAUAUCGCGCCACGAAAAUACCUUUUCAUCGAUAUUUUUGUCGCAAUUUGUGAAUCUCGUUGAGAUCUUAGGUAUGAUUCCUGAUUGGUUUCUUUAUUUCUUUUGGUUUGAUUUGCUUGAAUUAUUUAUUUUGCUUGACUUGGUUGAAUUGUUCGUUUGUUGCUUUUUUUCUUAUUUCAAUUAUUGUUGUUUCCGUAUUUUGUGCACCGAAUUUGGGCUCCUUGCGCUGUAAUUUGGAUUGUUUAUAUUGGUUUGAUCCGUUUCGUGCUUUCAUAAUUUGUUCGAUAUGCUUUCUCUUUUUUUCCGAUUUUUAGUGUCGCGAUGUUACUUUCUUCUAUUAGAGUUGAUUUGUUUCGAUUUUGGUUCUAUCCAUUUCGUGUCGUUAUUUGUUCGAUUUGCUAUUUCGCCGUUUCUUGAUUCGCGAUUCUACUUGGUUCGAUGAGGUUUGAUUCGUUUUGUCGAUUUCUCGUCACAAUGAUCAAAAUCGCGCCGCAAUUUUUCUUCAGAAAGCAUUUUUUGUUCGUCUUGAUUUGCCGAAGCUCUUGAAAAUCUUGGUCGUCGAAAGUUUCCUACUCUUAGUAUUCUUAACAUUUUCGGUUGAAUUCAUAUUUUUUUCGUUGACUUUGAAAGUUUCUUAAAAAAAGUUUUUGUUUUGCUUUUGCAAGAAUUUCACUUCAUGUUAAGAACAAUUAUAAUGCUUUCGUCUUAUCUUCUUGUUACAAAAGUGACGGUUAUCUAUUUAUGCUUAGUGUUACAAAAAAUAUAGAUGCAGUGCUUCAUUUGAUAUUAUUAAAAAUGAGAUUUUUAUAAGUUUUGGUAAAUUUAGUUUCAGUUUCCGCUUUUGCUAGUAUCAUUGGAUCUAUAUUAUCUUCAACAAUAUUUGAUAUGGUUUUGUUUUAGCAUUUCUUGUUUCACUUCGCCUUCUUUGUUUGUUUCCGGUUAUAAAUUCCAUUUUUUUUUGUUUAUAAAAGUAUUUGAUUCGGGUUUGUGUUCAUUUGGUCAUAUAUUCUCUUAUGUUCUAGUUUUAUUUUGCAUCUCUAUUUGACUUUUAUUUUUAUCUUUUUUUGUUGGAUUUUUUUUCUUUGCUUUUGUAUCAGUGUUGCUCCUCUUUAGCAAACUCUCAAUGCUUAUUGCUCAAGCAUUGUGAGUGUGAGGGGGGAAAGAGAAUAAAUAGGAUUUGGUUCAUUAGCUUAGUAUGAUGCAACUUUGCAUAUUACGUUUUCUUUGUUGUGAUGUUUCCGCUAGUAUAUUUGGGGUUCCUUUAUUUGGUUGCAGAAAUGCAGAUUUGGUAUUGGCUGCUUUCAUGUAAAUUGUUUUGUUUUAGCUGAUUUCAUGCAGAUUGUUUGCUUUUUGCUGCUUUCAUGCAGAUAGUUCUGAAUUACUGAAUCUAUUUUACGCUCAAAACAUUGAACAAGGGUUAAGAAGCGAAAUUCUAUUACUCUAAUAAAAUGAGCAUAGACCUAAUUGUAAUAUCAAGACCAUACUUGUGAAGGUAGUAAAGUUAAAAAAAAACCCAUGUAAUAUGGUGUUGUAUUAGGGGAAGUUGAUAUAAUCUCAAGAUAUUACGAUACUUGAAGUGGGAAAGUGCAUUUUUGUGACAAAGGUGAGUCAAUCAUUUUUACAACCUUGGGAAUAUGCAAUUAUUGACAAUGAAUCAAUCGAUCUGAAUUAGUUUAGCUUGUGCGUGAUAUGUCAUGUUUAUGUUAUGUGCUAGAAAUAUGUUAUGUUGGUGUGGUGUGAACUUUAGGGUGUUAUCUAUGCUAGAUGGUAUUUAUAAUGAUAUAUAUGUUAUGAUAGGUGUUGUUAAACCCAUCAUAGAUGCUAGACUAAAUGAUCAAUUGCUCCAAAUUGGAUAUCUUGUGAUGUGUGUCCCUAUUUGUGUAUGGUAUAUGUGUUGGAAAUGUUGAUGCUCUAUUAUGAUAAAAUUAUUUAUGGUGUAUUUCAUGCCAGAUAGUUUAUGUGAUGAUUUGGUAUGAAUUAUGAUGAUAGGUGCAUACUAGUGUGACGACUAUUUUUUAUAUGUGUUGUAAAUAAUGUUUGCAUGCUAUUUCUGGAAUAUUAGUGUUGUAAAACUCGCCGAUUUGGCCGAGUACUUGUCUGAGUACUCGUUACUCGCCCCGAGGCGAGUUACAGAAUUCGCGUACUCCUCGAUCGUCCCCUUACUGAAGCGAGUAGUGUUGUAAAACUCGGUCAACUCGGUGACUAAUAUGUAUAAUAUAUUUAAUGAUUCAUUAUUUAACACAAACAUGUGAUUAUUACUACAUAUAUAUAUAUAUAUAUAUAUAUAUAUAUCUUAAAUUUUCAGUAAUUAUUCACAAAGUGAGACCAUUGUGUGUUUUUCAGUUUUUGUGUAUUCACAUGUAUCUAAUUUUGUUUUACAUAUUUCAGUUAACUUAUGAUUUUAAUUUAUGAUUUUGACAUAUAUAAUUUCCCUAAAAAUAUUUCUACAUGAAUUACUGAAUUUGAGUGCUCUUCGAGUACUCGCUACUCGGCAGUUAGCUGAAUAGGUAUCGAGUAGCGAAUUUUACAACCUUGAAUAUUAGAUUGUCAAAGAUGUUAGGAAAAUCACAUUCUAGUGAUAUAUUAUAUAAUAAUUAAAUGAGGAAAAAUAUACAUAAUAAUAAGGAAUGAAAGUGACCUUUGUAUAUAAUUUCAAAUAAAUAGAAAUGCGGGGGAAUAUACAUAAAGGGCCAAGGGUAGUGUUGGCUCUACGAGGAAAGCCAUUUAGUGUUAGCUUUACAAGGAAAGUCAUGUAGUUUUGGGCCUACAAGGAAAGACAGGUAGUGUAGUCUCUAUGAGGAAAGCCAGUUAGUAUUGACUCUACGAGGAAUGCCAGUUAAUGCUGGCUCUACGAGGAAAGCCAAUCAAAUGAUUUUUCUACACGACCAAUUUGACACAUGAUUCACCAGAGAUGGGUGAACUAGAGUAAUGUUGGCUCUAUGAGUAAAGUCAGCGCAAACAUCACAUCGGAUAUGGGAGGUAUAUAUUGGUUGAAUUCGGCACCGUUUGUAGAAAAUCCUUAACAAAAUUGUGAAAUACUUAUAUUUCUUAACGUCAGAGUAGCAAAUCCUAUGAAACAGAACACCAUGACUUGGGUGAGUGUGGCACCUCACCUCGUGCGUCGGUCCAUUAAGACUGACUUGUAGUAAAUUUGGUAUUUGAUAGUACAUGAAAGUGAUACUAUAGGCUAUCUAAGAUUAUUUAGUUUUCGAGAUAUGUUGAAGUUCCGAAGUUGUGAAGAUUCCAAAAUUGAAGAGUUUCUGGGUUGAGAGAAUGUCGUGUGGUUGAUUUGCAGUGUGUAUUUGUCUUUCUUGUAUCAUUUUUCCUUUGCGCUACUGGUAGUAUAAAUAGGAGUAUCAUUCCAUGUAAUCAGCAUGCCUUUAUCAAUACAAGAAUCACGUCUGUCAUUCAAUCAUUUUCUUUGUUCAUUCUCUUCCUCUACUUUAAUAUUUUCGUGCACUGGAUAUUUGGUUGUUUUUCUUCAAGGCUUGACUGGAUCUGAUCCAGACUUGACUGUAAAUCUUUUACCAGCCUCCAUUAUUGUUAUUCUUUCAAGGUUCAAGAAAUUGAACCUUAUCCUACAAUAUCCUCGAGAUAUCAUUUUAUAUAAACUGGUAUUAGAGCUUGAGUUGUUCUCCUUUGAAUCCGAAAGAUCAAAUUAUCAUUGAUUAAGAAUACCUAAGUAUCUCAUUUUGUAUCAGGAUAAAAGUUUUUCUAUAUACCACUUAUGCUAAAAACAACACAACAAUGGAUGAUCUUAACCCAAAUCAACCAUUGUAUUCUGUUCAAAUUACCAUCAACAUGGGUUUCCCAACGAGAACCCCAUUGCUGAUUGUUGAAGAAUAUGAUCAAUUGGAAGAUGAUAAUAGAGAGAUUCUUGAAAUGAAAAGAUAAAGGUGCCAAAAUUUGGAGAUCAUUCAUUGAAGGAACUCAUGCUUUUUGCAGGUUUUACCCCACAAAAAGGAUCGAUUAACCUAAAGUAAUUAAAUUAAAAACUAAAAUAGUCGUUUCCUGGCAACGGCACCAAAAACUUGAUGCGUACAAAUUAUACCUACUAGUUUUAACCAACUACUUGUCUAGUAAUGCACCUAUAGGCAGUGUACCUAGUAAGUAUAUAGUAUAGUAAAGUAAGUUGGGUAUCGAACUCAGGGAACAAAUCUAGUAUACUAAAGUAACCACUAAAAAUUAAUCUAAAAGCAAACAAUAGUUAAAAGGGGUUUUAUCUAAUUUUUCAAGUUCAGAAAAACUUAUACACUUAACUAAAAACUGUUUUAAUCAAUAUAUUAAAAACACUUUCGUUUAGUUUCGAAUCAACCUUUUUCCUAUUGUUAGUUACUAUUUACUUAUUAAUAAAGUUGAUUACCAAUUGUUAUGUAAUUAGCUAUUUUGGUCCAAUAAACUAAUAUUUUCACCAAUUCAUGUAAUAUUAUGUAUGGUCAUACAAAAGCAAACAUAUAACUAGUUAUUAAUUGUAAUUGAGCUUUUUAAGAUUUAUCUAGGCAAUUAAGCUAACACAAUUAUGGUCACAAUUAUUUUCUCCAGCACAACUAAGUUUGUUACUUUUAUUACUUGAUCUAGAUGUAGUCACUCCUAGCUCUAGCAAUUUAAUAGUCACUAAACUACUAGGUAAAUAAGUUCAUGUAAUUUAAUGGUCACUAAGCUACACUAAACUUGAAUUUAAGCUACAAAGUCACACACUUUAUCAUGCUAGGUAAUGAUAGUCAACCACAAGCACAAAACCAACUUAUAAAAUCCAAUAACUAGUAAACUAAACCAUAGAUUCAAGGUUUCAUCUAGCUAAAAAAAAGUAAAUGAAUUUAGCUACUCAUAACUGAAAUGAAACACAAGAAUUCAUAAGUAAGUGACAUGAUUCAAGUAUGAAAACCGAAUGUAAUGAUUUGAUCUUGAAUUCCUCAAUCUUCCAACUAUCCUUCCUCCAAAAGAAUGAUUUUCGCACUCUUCUGACCUCAAAUCUCGAGUAUCCUAGAAUAUCCUCUCUCCCAAAAGCCUCUUCAAUCAAUAAUGCAAAGGAGUAUUUAUAGUUUUGGAAAAUAUGUUGCUCACGUCGUGAGAUAGGAAUCUCACUUUUUGAACUUGGUUUUUAUCCAUAUCCAGGAAGGAGUCUAACUUCCACGUACUAAUCUUCUAGAAUUUCCUCCUCACAUCGUGAGCUUGAUGUCUCACGUAUCGAGCUUGAUUUUUCAGCGGAAAUCUUCUUCUUUUAAACUCCAAUCCUCCAUAGUUCCAAUGCUUGUCACUUGUAGUCCUUAUUCUUCAAGAGUGUCCUUGUUGGCUGUAAAAUGUAAAUUAAUUCAAUAAGUAUCACAUAUCUUUGAAAUUAACCAAAAUAUUACUUAAAAUGUAUUAAAAUAUUGCCUAAAAAUGUGUAUAAAUAUGCCAAUAUAUAUCAAACCGCCUAGUCUUCAGGAAAUCUCUCCUGCUACUCUCCCCAUGUCAAUAGGUAUGAAUCCUCAGUUCAUCUUUUUCUUUUCUAAUAUGAAGGAUCCUAAACUUAUAGGGUUUUUUUAUGUUUAGGAUCCAAGGCCACGCACCUCGGUGCUCGCUUUACCCUAGUCGAUCUUGACACAACCAUGUCUAGUGGCCAGCUGGUAGUGAAGAAGGAGAAGACAUCAUCUUCUCUCCCUCCCAAGAGAACCUCCAAAGAUUUGAUGGUGAAGACUCCAGGAUCCUAGAAGAGAAAAACUACUAAGGUCAUGGAUUUAAGCUUGGAAAAUAUCAAAGCUAAGGACGCACUCCUGAAGUUGGUUUCUGUUUUUCAAGCUAUAAAUGUCAGCAUAACUUUGCUUUUCAUAUUUUACCUUUCACUUUUACUGAUGUCAUUCUCAUUUCAGGUCUCCGAUCAUGUCUCUAUUGACAUGAAGAUCCAGGCUAAGAGGGUUGUAUCAGUCUUAAAGGGGCAGGAGAAGAUGUAGAGGGAGACUAGUGAGGAUCUCUUGAGGAGGGUGAAGUUACUAAGCAAGGAGAAGGCUGAGAAGGAGGAGGAGCACGUUGCUAUGAUAGAUUAGGUGAUUGUUGAAAUGAAGGUUAGUGAUGUAGUGGCUGUUUGGGAGGCUAAGAUCAAGCUAGCAAAUGAUGUGGAGAAUGCAGGAUCCUGGUGUUGGGUUUUGAGCAUUCUAACACUCCUAUGGUGUACAUGCAACCCUAUAAACCUUAGAUCUAUGUUUUCUCUAUCAUACAUGCAAAUAAGAACUUUCCAAGGCCUUAAUCCUAACUAGCAUAUUAUGAAGCUCUUAUACUAAAAAGUACUAGUUAGAUGACAUACCUUUUGAUGUAGCUUGAUGUCUUCAAGCUUUAAGAGCUUAGCCCCAAUAGUGUGGAAGCCUUAAGUGGAAUCACAAAUCACCAAAACAUCUUGGAAUAACCUUGAGAACAAGGAUACUUUGGUUCUCUCUAGUGAAAUUGGCUAGCCCUCUUAGUGUACCCACACUAGUGCCAAUUUCACCAACCAAGGACAUCUUUAUAUAGUGUGGAGACUAGGGUUAAACCCAUGACCUUUCAUUUCAUAUGAUCCAUGGGUUAAACACUCCAUGGACUAUCCAUGAAAGCUUAGCCCAACCUAAAUGAACUUGGCCCAUCACACACAUAUAUCUAAGAGUCCAUAUUUAAUGAGUUCAUUUUGAUCACUUAAUUAAUUCUAAAUUAAUUCUUGAUCAAUACUAAUUAGAUAAUAUGAUUCUAUAUUAAUAUAUUAGAACUUAUAAUAUAUUAAUNCCAAGUGCAUGAUGGUAUGCAACCCAAAUGGACCAUGCCGGGUCGGGUCAAGUCUUACCAAAUAUAGUUAUGGACUUAGACAUUAAUCCAACAGUCUCCCACUUAGAUAAGUCUAAAACUAUUAUUAAGUAUGAUUUCAAAACCUAACCGGCAAUCGUAGCUCUUAUAAUCUAUUACUAACUCUGAUCUUGUCAACGAACUCUAACCUUUGUCAAUGACUUGUCCAUUAGAUAAGGGAUCAUAUAUUCCUCCAUUCUAGAUAUCAUAUGGACUGAGACAUGAAUUAUGAUCAUUGUGUCUGUCCAUUUGUAGUUUCCUGAUUUCCGAUUUAUGACGACUGACUGAUUAANGACUGACUGAUUGAACAAAUCAAAUCAGUCCUGGCUUGGCCAAGCACUCACAUGUGUCAUCAUUAAAUCAUCGAGGGGCCCACAGAUAUCGCUUUUAUCCCGAAGGUAAAAGGAAUGGAUAAACUUCGACUCAUAUGGCUUGUUCUACUACUUGUUGAAUCAUACACAAAGGCACGUUUUAUAACAUCGAGUUACCAAUGCGUUUUCAUGCAAUCAAUGUAUAACCAACUCAUAGUAACAACUCAUAUCUCUAGGUUUGAAGAAUAUAAGAUAUUAUCGUCUCAUGAUCACUCGUGAUAAAAUCUAUGAAGUGAUUCAAAUGAGCGCGGGUUGAAUCCAAUACUCAGAACUUAUGAGCACUCAUGAGUGUUGUAGCACACCUUUGUCCACCAACUUGGACCUCUACAAGCCAACCCAUGACAGUCUUGAUUCAUAUCUACUUCCAACAUAUGACCGACUGUGGAUGGUUUGAAUAACUUAGUCAUUACGGAAGAAUAACCUAGUAAUUAUGGAAGUCAAAACAUGAAAAGUGAAACACAAGAAUACAUGAAUCAAGUAUGGUAUCAAACCCUAUGAAUAUAAAUAAAACACUUUCUAUUUAUCACCAUAGUAAUUACUCAUUAUUGAUUGUUUCGGUUUUAUCAACUUUAUACUUGAAUUAAAAAAUACUAGGUGUCCUAUGCUCCAAGCAUGUACACUAUGUUUUCUAAACAAUAGCUUUGCCAUACACCAAGUAUGAACUCUGUGUUUGUCUAUGAUCCUUUUCUUUGUGAAUUAGAUCAAUUGAACAUAAUUUCAAUGAUUCUCUUUUCACACAUCCAAAUCCUUGUCUUAAAUUUAAGAAUUCCAAAUUCCCAUCAUUUAUCGAAAUAUUUAUAGAUUUUAAACUUAUAUGCAUUGUUCCUCUUGUAAUGAUUAUGCACAAAGCCACAAAGGCUUGGCAACAAUCAUUACAGAGUAUCGCAAUGGAGUGCAAUUCAAUGGAAACAAUGUCUCAAAUUCAAAGCAUAUUGCUUUGAACAUGCUUCUUGCAUUAAGUUUCUUUAAUCUUACACAAAUUGCUUCCACCUAUGAAGAAAACUCUAUAUUCCCAUUUUGACUAUCACUUCUGAACAAGAGUUGCCUCUGUUGGGUCGUGUUUUGUGUUAAGUAUUGCGUCUAUUGGGCUCGUUAGUUAGUCCAUUUUGUAUCUCCGGUAUGGGCCUGUCCAUCCGUGAGUUUAGUAGGGUUUAGUAUAUAUAGGAGCUUGCAUGCUUCCUAGAGGGUAACGAUAAAAUAGAACGAUCAGAGAAUUACUUCAACAAGUUUAUUGUUAUCGUUCUUGUAACCCUAAAAUCUUCUACAGCGGAAGUUCUUAGUCGAGCUCUGCUGAGGAUUGUUUGAUCUAAUCAUUCGACACAUAUUGAUCCAUACUUGUGUUAUUUACUGCUUUUACAUCCAUCGCAUUACCUGUUAAGAAGAUCUAAUCGAUCUUUAAGUUUAUUAAUAACUUAACAAUUGGUAUCAGAGCAGGAGGCUGUGUAAUUCAUACACAUCUUUUCUGUGAAAAAGGUUGCGAUUAGGGUUAUUCCGCAUUAACUAAUAUUUAUUGAGCCGUCAUCCCAUAAUUGACGUAACUCAGCAUUUAUUUGUUUUGCCCUAAUCUUAUAUAUAUUACAAGUAUGAUCUUUCAAGCAGGUUAUGAUCAAGCAUGGACGAGUCACAAUCAAAUCCCAUAAACAUCUCAAAUAGCAUUGGAUCAACGACGAAGAUUCCCAUCCUUUACACCCAGGAUUACGAAGUCUGGGCACAUCACUUUGAAGAUUAUGUCAUUGGAUCUGAAGACAAUGGAUACCUUAUCUGGGAAGCAAUCGUGUCUGGACCAUUCGCUCAUUCAGCAACGUCUAGAAUCAUUAAAACACAGAAAGAGUAUAAUGAUCUGUUGAAGGACGUAAAAGAUAUUGCUCAAGACGAAAAGGAUAAGUUUCAGUGCAAUAUUAAAGCAUUGAGACUAAUCAGAUUCGCUCUUCAAUCGGAUACUUUCAGGCUAAUGAGUUCAUGCAGCACUGCCAAAGAAAUAUGGGAUAGGCUACGAGAGUUAUAUUCCACAUAAGAAGAUCGGCAACAUUCCAUUCAGACCUUACUCUUGUCUGAGUUUGGCGAAUUUAAGCAGAAUCCCGAGGAAACUGUUACUCAGACAUUCGAUCGCUUCAAUCAUCUUCUCAGUAAGAUGAUUAAACAUGAUAUUGAAAGGAAGUUUAUUGAACAAAAAGUUACAUUUUUGAAUGGUCUUAAAUCUGAGUGGAGAGCAGUUGUUUCCACUGUUAAAGCUCAUGAGCAAUUCAAAUCUUAUUCGUUGGCUAAGCUGGUAGAAAUUUUGAAAUCCCAAGAAAAGAUUGUCUUGCAGGAGAAGAAUGUGGUUUCAAGCUUGGGUUCCUUAGCUCUUCUUUCUAAAAGAAAAAGUGUGAUGGAAGAUGAAGACCUUAACUUAGAAGACUAUGACCUUACCUCUGAAGACUAUGCAAUGAUGGUGUCAAAUCCAAAGAGGUUUAUUAAGAAAAGGUUUCCUACCAAUAAGAACCGAAAUUGGCAAGGAAGCUACAGUUCUAAAAAAGUGAGGGAGGAACCGAAGGCAGAAGAAGCAAAGAAAGAGCCGAAAGCUGAAGGGGAUUCUGGGGUGAACUGCUAUUACUGUGGAGGAAAGAACCACUAUACUAAAGAUUGUGUCCUAAAGAAAAUGGCAGAAAAGGAUGAAGAAAAAGAUGAAGAAGCUCUGUUGAUGAAAAAGCUGGAAGAGAUCAAGAGAAAGAAAAUUACUGCUAACCCUUCUAUGAAUGCUUUAAUUGUGCAGGGUUGUGCUUCACAGAAAAAGCUCGGUAGCGGAUGAUGAGUUCGGUGGCGUGGAGGUCUGGUAACCGACUCUGAGGAUGAUGAAGUCAGAAAGCCAUCUCAUGGAAAGGCUUAUGUUGCGAAAGGUGAAGGAAGCGGUGGAAAGUGUUUGAUGGUGUCGGAUGUAUCUCAAAUGAGGGGAUACAACACAGACGGUGGGAAUGAAGACACGAAGGAGCGAGAGGACUUGUGCUUCACAGCAAAACCUCUCAGCGUGCAGUUUAAUGAGCUUGAUGAAUUAAUCAAGAAGGUACAAUCCAUUUUUGUUUCAUUCAAAGUCCCACAAAAUUCAUAUGAAAAAGAACUAAAAAAUGUAAAUUCAAGAAUCUCUCAUCUAGACAGCAGUUUAACUCAAACACGGGUCACCAAUUCUAACCUGACUGACCAAUUAAGCAGGGUGUCUUCAAAGAGUGAGGAACGGAGGAUGUGGAUAGAGCUGAAGGAGUCGGAGUUGAUCAAAUCCAAAGACGAAAACAUUUAUUUACAAAGAGACAAUUUAAAACUUUUGAAACAAAGAAAUGUGUUUUGUUUGAUUGCUAAGCGUCUUUAUUCUAACAUCACUCAACUUCAUCUUAACUGUGAAAUAGGACAGAAAAUUCAUCGCAUGAUUUUGCCCUUUCUUGAGUUUAAGGAAGAUGAAAUUGACGCUGAAGCAUAUAAUUGCGAAAGUGUAGUUUCGUCUGAGGAUGUAAAUCCGACGUAUAUGUAUGGUCUAGACAAAAUCGAAUCUUUCAUAAAGUCCAAGGACCAUAAGGACAUGCUGAAAAAUCUUUUGGAUGAAAAUGACAAACUGAAACUAAGGACCGAAACCAUACAAAAGUUUGACUCAUUGAAUGCCAACUUGAGCUCAGAAAAUAAAAUUGAUGUUGAAAAUGCAUCUGAGCUUAAUGAGGAUGAUGAUAUGAGUGAAAUUUCUGUAGAGGAUGAAGUUGACUGUUCUGAGUUUGUCAAGAGCGAACCCGAAAACCACAAAAAUCUUAUUUCAGAAAAUUCUGUGGAGUUUGCUCGUUUGUCCCACCAAAAGUCCCCGAUCCUUGAAGAAAAAGUUGUUGUAUACCAAAAGGUAAGGACGACUCCAAAUCAGGUGUAUAAGGUCACAGGAGUAACCGAACAUCAGACAGCCGAACUCACAGCCAUUGUAAAUGAAGAUAAUGCUGAUGGUUGUGAUGAGUUCUUCUGGUCCGCCCCUAUCGAUAAUGCUGACGAAACCGUUGGUCUGUCGGAGCGGACGUCCUGGAAAACCAAAGGCAGAUAUGUGCCAGAGCCACUAAACAAGCCUGACAACUUCGACGUGCCAAGUACUAGUGGUACAAAAGAAGUUCCUGAAGAAAAAGGAGUUCCUGCAGAAGAAGUCACUCCUUCAAGCGAAACAUCAUCAGUUCAAAGUGAACCGGCUGACAAGAAGCAAAAGCAAAAAGCCAACAUCCACCGACAGCCGAAGCAAGUAAAGGAUCAGAAGCAGCAAAGGAAUCAGAGAUACAAGAAAAAUCUCUCUGAACGAAAACAUUUUUGGCGAUCUCAAAACGCCCAUUUCUCUUAUCAUGACAGAAAUUCAAAGUCAGAGAAAAGUGCUGUUAGGCAGCAAGAAAGUAAUAAUAACCGAAAGGAAAGGUUCGGUUCUGAGGAUCAUAACAACCGAAGGGAAAGGUUCGGUUCAGAGAACACCAGCUACCGAAAGCAUAAGUUCGGUUCCAAGAGCAAAAGCGACCAAAGUUCGAGAUUCGGUCCCACAAAUGACCAAAAACAAAAGUGUCACUCAGGACCUCAAGUCAAUAAAACUUCUCAGUCUAACUUCUCUCGUUCUAAUUCUUCUAAUUCCUCUCAACCUCAUUCUAAAUCCAAUUCUGUUCAUACUCAAAAUCCAAAAUCUUCAACAGAUUUGAAAGGAAAAUCGAAGGUUUCCUCAGUCAAAACCGAUCAAAAGCAUUCCAAUGUCCCAGUGCCUAAACCUGAAUCCAAACCGACAGUAACAAAUCCCAAUAAAAUUAAGGUUUUCACCAUUAAAAAGAAAGAUGAAACAACUUUAAUAAAAAGAACAUAUCUUGUUGACAUCUCUCUUACUAUUCCUGUUCCUGUGAAAGGCUCACGUGGACCCAAGAAACUUUGGGUUCCUAAAUCUGCUUAAUUUUUGCAGGUUAUCAGUGACGAGCAGUUUGACGAAGAAUGGUAUAUUGACAGUGGCUGCUCACGUCACAUGACAGGAAGGAAGGAAGAGCUGAGGGAAUUUCGGUCUCUUUCAAACGGUGGAAAUGUCAAGUUCGGGAACAACUCAUUCGGCACGAUAAAAGGCUAUGGAAUGAUAACAAAUGGAGAUUUCACAAUCAGAAAGGUUGCAUACGUUGAAGGACUACAGCACAACCUCAUUAGUGUAUCUCAGCUUGUUGGAGGUACCGGUCUCAAGGUCUCUUUCGACGAUGAGGGUUCAGAGAUAAUUGAAAAGAAAACAAAAAGAGUAAUUCUCAAAUCGGAGCGCAAAGGCGAAAUGUUUCCCCUGAAUCUCAAACCCAUCAAAGGAAAUCCAGCUAUCUGCCUGUUAUCCAAAGCACAAUCUGACGAAAGCUGGCUGUGGCACCGAAGGCUCUCUCAUCUCAACUUCAAGGAUAUCAACAAACUUGUCACAGGUGGUCAUGUUCGAGGUCUUCCAUUGCUCAAAUUCGAUCGAGAACAUUUAUGUGCUGCGUGUGAAAUGGGGAAGCAGAGUCGUCAAAGUCACCCAUCGAUUGUAAACACUAAAGUUGUUGAACCAUUAGAGUUAAUUCACAUUGACUUGUGUGGUCCAUCAUCUAUCGAAAGCAUCGGCGGUAGCAAGUAUAUUCUUGUCAUUGUUGAUGACUUUUCACGUUUUACAUGGGUGUUCUUUCUGAAGCACAAAUCUGAAGCAACUCUCAAGCUAAAGAUGUUUAUCAAGCAGGUUGAAGUGCAGCUGAGGAAAGUCGUUCGCAACAUCAGGAGCGACAAUGGGCUGGAGUUCAAAAAUAAAGAAUUCGAAGACUUCUUGGCAGAAAAAGGAACCAGUCACAACUUCUCAGCUCCCUACACCCCUCAACAAAACGGAAUUGUCGAAAGACGAAACCGAUCUUUGUGUGAGGCGGCCCGAACCAUGCUAAGUUUUGCUUCUUUACCUUUAUAUUUUUGGGCUGAUGCUAUUGCUGCAGCAUGUUUUACGCAGAACAGGUCCUAUCUCAAUAAACGCUUUAAUCUCACUCCUUAUGAGAUCAUCAACAACAGGAAGCCAAAUGUCAAAUUCUUCCACGUAUUCGGCUCACGGUGUUUCAUCUUCAAUUCUAAAGAACAUCGUAACAAGUUUGACGUAAAAGCCGAUGAAGGGAUAUUUCUGGGAUACUCUCUCACUUCGAAAGCAUACAGGGUUUUGAACAAACGUUCGAGGAAAAUUGAAGAAACUUAUUAUGUGACUUUCGAUGACAGCUAUGUCAAAAAGCUGAAGGCCAGUGAAGACACAGUUGGAGAAAUUUUUUCUCAAACAGGCCAAGUCACAGCCUCGAUUGCAAACCUAUUUGAGAAGUUUGUAGAGUUAUUCGAUGAACCAGAGAAGGCCACUCUCUCGGAAGCUAGUGCAGCAGACAACAAAGUAGAUCAUCUGAAGCAACUCAUCGGAAGGAGGAUCAAGUUCCAACGACCCUCCACAGCACGAUGCUUCAAUUGAGGGGGAGGAUCCACCUUCUUCUUCACAGCCGGGCUCACAUGUUGAGGGGGAGAACUGUUCUCCAGCUGCUCCCGAACGCCCAGCUGUACCCGAAAGCCAAUCUGUACCCGAAAGUCCUGUGGUACCCGAAAGCUCAACACCACCCGAAACUCCUGUAGCUCCGGAAAGUCAAGAUAUACCUGAAAGCUCAUCUGUCGAGGGGGAGAAUGCUGAUAUGUCUUAUGACGAUGAUAGUCAAUCUGAGCUAGAAGAGAUGGUAAAUGCUGAAUUGGAUCCAUCCUAUGAUCCAAAUUACCCUCCUCUUGUCAAAUGGACCAGAGAUCAUCCUGUUUCACAGGUUGUCGGUAAUGUCUCUGAAAAGGUCCUGACCCGAUCUCAACUAAAGGCAAAGCAAACUUCCUUAUUUUCAAAAGUAGAGUUCUGUAUGUUUAACUCCUUCGUCUCAAAAGUUGAACCAAAGACAGUUAACACUGCUCUUGAAUGGACCGAUUGGGUUCAAGCUAUGCAAGACGAACUUAAUGAAUUCGAAAGAAAUAAAGUUUGGCGCCUCAUUCCAACUCCUCCAGAUGCCUCGGUUUUUGGUCUCAAAUGGAUCUUUAGAAAUAAAAUGGACAAGGAAGGCAAUGCGGUUAGAAACAAAGCUCGUCUAGUGGUGAAAGGAUACUGCCAGGAGGAAGGAAUCGAUUAUGAGGAAACUUUUGCUCCUGUAGCUAGGCUGGAAUCUGUUCGAAUAUUUCUUGCCUAUGCUGCACACAAGAACUUUGAGGUCUACCAAAUGGACGUAAAGUGUGCAUUUCUAAAUGGAGAGCUCGAAGAAACGGUGUACGUGGAGCAACCUCCUGGAUUCGUCAACGAAAAAUAUCCUGACCACUGUUAUAUUCUGGACAAAGCGGUAUAUGGACUGAAACAAGCACCGAGGGCCUGGUAUGAAACGCUAACCAAGUUUUUAAAGAUGUCCAAAUUCAAACAAGGUUCGGUUGACCCAACCUUCUUUCGUAAGAAGGAAGGUAACCACCUUAUGAUUGUUCAAAUCUAUGUCGAUGAUAUCAUCUUUGGCUCAACGAAUCCUAGCUUAACGGCUGAAUUCAGAAAGUUGAUGGAGACUAAAUUUGAAAUGAGCUCAAUGGGUCCAAUUAACUUUUUCCUUGGUUUAAAUAUUAGACAUGGACCCGAAGGCAUCUUUAUUAACCAGGAAGCUUACGCAAAGACUCUCCUUGCUAAAUUUGGCAUGAUGGGAGACUCAAAGGUUAAAGUUCCAAUAGCGUUCGGCACCAAGCUCAUCCUAUCCUUAGAGAAGCCAACAGUCAACAUUACGCUAUAUCGCCAAAUGAUCGGUUCUUUAAUGUACCUUACUGCUAGCAGGCCUGAUAUAAUAUUUUCUGUUUGUUACUGUGCUAGAUUUCAGGCAAAUCCCCGUGAACGUCACAUGCUUGUAGUGAAGAACAUACUCUGGUAUCUCAAGCGAACUACCUCUCUCGGCUUACGGUAUCCAUCCAACUCAGGUUUCUUCGUUCAAGCGUAUUCAGAUGCAGACCUUGGAGGUUGUGGACUAGACAGGAAAACCACCAGUGGAGGCUGCCAAUUUCUUGACGGGAAGUUGGUUAGCUGGCAAUCAAAGAAACAGACAUGUGUGUCUCUGUCUACCGCUGAAGCAGAAUACAUCGCAGCUGCCUCCUGUACUUCUCAAGUGAUUUGGAUCCAAAGCCAACUCAGGGACUAUGGACUCAAUAUGAAAAAGAUCCCACUAUAUUGCGACUCUGAAAGUGCAAUUAGGAUCUGUCAUAACCCAGUGCAACACUCGAAGACUAAGCACAUAGCACUGAGGUAUCACUUCAUUAAGGAUCAUGUGGAAGAUGGGAACGUCGAAAUACACUUUGUUCGAACCACUGAUCAACUGGCUGACAUCUUCACCAAAGCUCUUCCUGAAGCAUCUUUUAACAAAAUACUACAAGGGCUAGGUAUGAUGGAAUCAGAGUCAGUACCAAAAAUUACCUCUUAAAGGUCAAAAGCAAGAAGCGAAAUAGACCGAACGUUCGGGUUCGGGUCUUGUGCUAAUGUACCGAAAUGAAGCGAACGCUCGGGUUCGGUUGCAUUAUCUGCUUUUUGCUCAUCACUCAAAGGUAGUUUCCUUGGUUGUAGAUCUUAUGUAUAAAUUUUCCAAAUUCAUUUCUCUUAUUGUCAAAGUUAUUCUCUUUUUCAAAUCUAUUUUCUUUGGCGACCGAAAUCAACCGAUCGUUCGGGUUCGGUUCCAAAAUUUUUCUCACCCGAAAUAGACCGAACGCUCGGGUUCGGUUCCAAAGUUUUUCUAAACCGAAAUAAACCGAACGCUCGGGUUCGGUUUCAAUUAUUUUUUUUGUGUGUCUUAUUUUUUUUUAUCAAAAAUUCCAAAAAUAUUUUUUUUCUUUCAUAAAUUCAAAAACUCCGAAAAUAUUUUUUUAAUUAGCUUGGAUUUCAUUUUUUUUAUUUUUAUUUAUUCAUUUUUUUGUGUGGGUAUAUAAUUUCAUUAGCUAAGUGUCCCUAGAAGCAUGCUGCUGUAUGUGUCCAAAGCCUCACCUGAUUCUGAAUAAUAGGCCUUACUGACUUGGUAUAAACAAACCUUGUCUUCCCAAUUAGGCUUUCUUAUUUAUUCUAAUCAUGAGCUACCUAACUCUCUUCUCACAUGAGAUAUGAGUUUUCUGCUUGGUCCUAAUCUUUAUAGCAGAGGUACUUUGAUUUCUUUACACCAUCUAUGUUGCAUUUCUCCAUCACAUUCGCUUCACAAACGUAACCCUUGAGACUCUCAGAAAUUACCACUGAGGUUUAUGGUUGCACAAUUUCUGUGUUCAUGAUCUUAGCUUCGUGUCACUACGUGCUAAGUGAAACCCAAAAUUCAAUACCCAUUAUGCAUUGACGGUGAACAAUUAAUUUGCUCAAGCUUUCACUAAUGAAUUGACGAAGGUACCACAUGAAAUCUCUAAUUUUCUUUUGAGUGAUUCCUAUGAAAUUGUUAACACCCAUAACAUUUCUUCCCUUGGGAUCCAGUUUUAAUUUUUGUUGAGAUUUUAUAAAUUUCCUAGCCAAAUUAACAUUAUCUCCAACCUACUUGUUCAACAGACUACACCGGUCUCACAAGUACUUCGUUCGAUUUCUGUCUUAUAUCAAGAUUAGGAAUUUUGAAUCGAAGCGAUAUCCACCCUCAUAAGCCUAAUUAAAAGAAGCCUUUCAACACUUCUUAAUAAGUGUCUGAUCGUUAUUCAACGGGAAACCACACAAACACUUUAAAGUCUCUCUUGACUUUGAAGGAAGAGAUUCGUGCCCGGGAUCAUUUGUUUCGUGUCUUUAUUGACAUCACAUAUUUUCCCAAAAGUGUUGCUUUAUUUCUUUUCUUUUACACCCUAAGCACGAAAAUCUUUGAUUUUCCAAAAUUCAGGUUCUAUUAAUUACAAGGCAUUUUAAAUGGAUUGGUGAUUUAUUAAAGGAUGUGGUAAAUAUUGAUCCACGUGGGCGAAUUUUUUUAAAGAUGCUGUUUUAUUCUAAAGGGAUAAGAUGACGACAUGAUGACUCAGGCGGGAGUCUAAUCGAUUUGAUUUCAAACGGCGCAAGAGGGACGCGUGCGAAUCUGAACCGUUUCAUCUCCAAACGGCGCCUGAUGGGAAGGCGUGUUAUUAGGGGCCUGACAUUCUCUCUCAUGCGUGAUCAUCGGCAACCCCAACUGUCACGCAUCAGUCAACUCCGAAAAACCCUUCGUUUUUCAAUAGAAGAUUUGGGAAGAUCUUUCUCUCUCCUUAAACCACAGUAUAAAAGGCAACAUCCUCCACCGUUUACCUCUUUACUGCAAUUAUAAUUCCCAGAGAGCAAACAAUCCCUAAACCUUCUCUGUUCAUCAUCUCCUCCACUUUCAUCAUAGCAAUGGCAGAUUCUUCCUCAGUUCAUGCAACAUCCCACAUUUUGCCCAUCCGCCCACAGCAAAGCUUGAUCAUCGAUUUAACUCCUCAAUCGUAUGACGCAUUCAUGUUCCCCAUCAUCGAGUGUCUGAAGUUUUCUCCAAUCGCUCCUGCACUUACCAGGGCUGAAACUGUUCCGAUGGAAUUCUUGUCACAGAUCUUUGCCACCGCUCACUACGACAAGGUCGUCGACAGAAUAUUCUUUGAUAUCUUUGAACACAAGGCGUCGAUUUCAAAGCAGCGGUUCUGCUCAUUGUUAGGGUUUGACGCAGAUUCUUCCAGGGUCAAUCCGGAAUCCAUCCCCAUGGGUCAUCUGUUCAACAUGUUCUACAACAUGGGAUACACGGAGGUGCUUACUACGGUGACGAAAUUCAAGAAGUCGUGCCUACCUCCACAGUGGAAUGGGAUGUUCACUGUUUUGUUCAAGGGUUUAUCUGAACGAAGCGCCGGGUCUGAUGGAGCCAGCCGUUUAUUUCUCUCCAUCAUGUAUGGUAUCUACAAUGGCAUCAACAUGGACUAUGGGUCAGUUCUGUGGCAACAACUCAUUCAGAGUCUCUCCUCCACUUCCAGACAUUCAGAGAUUUCGUAUGCUCGAUUCUGGACCAUUAUCACGAAAUGGGUGAUGGACAAGUACCACGUCCCCAUUGUCGCUGGUGCUCCAAUGUCUUCGAUUGGUACCUUCCAUACCACGAAGAUCAUUGUGUCGGAUGCUUCAAAAUUUCCGUUCAACGGGUCUAUUCCGGAAACGAUGUAUGGUGAUGUUCCGGCUGACAGCAGGAUCAUUCAGACGUAUAAAGAGUUCAGACGUUCUGGUCCGAGGGAUCUUACUCCGGAGAUGCUGAAAUCCAUUCAUGACGCCGACAAGCCUGCUCCAAGAGGCAAGAAGGCUGAUAAGGGAAAACAAGUGGCCAAGGGGGCGAAAGGCCCGUCUCCAAAGAAGAGGAAACCCACCAGAGCUGCUCAGUCUCCACAGCAGAAGAGGAGAAAAACCCAACCGCGACGAAAGUUGAUUAUCGCUUCCUCCUCAAGCGAGUCUGAGGGUGAUAGUUCUGAUUCUGAAGGCUAUCAACGUGGUAACACUCCACCACGAUCUGCAACCCCUAAAGCUCAUGUCUCUACUUCUCCAAUUUCCUCUCCACCUAAAACCAUUCCUAUUUCUAUUCCCCCCAUAACUUCCACUACUCACAUACCAUCCACUUCCAUCCCAAUACCACCACCAAUAUUCACCGAAGCAACCACAACAACCACUGCAGAUGUUAGAACCAACGUAUCUGAUACGGGGGUUCAUACUGACGCACCUAAAUCUACCCCAACACCCGAAACCACCCCAGCACCCAAACAAACAACACAACCCGAACCUACCCAUACUACUGAACCACCAGCUUCACCACCACCAUCAGAGGGAGAAGAACCGUUCCUUGGCGGGGAGAAUAUGACUUUUGACUCGGUCUACUAUAGCCCAUUCCAAGUACAAAGUGAUGACGAUGAUGACGCUCCUGUCACCAAAAGGCAUCUUCAGGAGCUCCAUGAUAAAAUUGAUUCACUCAUCGCCUCUUCUUCUACUUCUCAGUCAUCCAUAUCUGAAGCUGUAGUUCAGANUUCUCCAAAGCUCAACAAGCUUCCCUUGCUUCUGCAACCACCGCCAUAGAUGCCUCUACCAAAGCCUGUCAGGCAGCGACCGAAAAAGUCGAUAAACUAUUUACUGAUGCCUCUUCCCUGUUGAAGUCUUUACAGGAGAGUGCCAACGCCGCCAAGACUACGCUGGAACCGAUUGUCCACCAACUGACAACAUCAGUCGCAACUGAGUUGAAGUCCUUCGCUUCUCUUCGUCAAAAAAAUUCUGACGACAACUCAGCUUUCCAAACAACCAUUGAUGAACGUCUCUCCAAGCUUCAAUAAGAUUUGGCUGCCGAGAACACUCUCAUGGAUGCUCUCGCAAGGAAGACUACUGCUCUGAAGGUCAAGAGCAUUCAACUCUCCAACUCUCAACAGGAGAUUGAAUCUCUUCGAUUUGAAAGGGAGGUCAUCAAAUCGUGUGUUUCGGAUGUCCACUCUGCCAUAUCCAACAUCCUAGAAGCACAUGAUCCAAUUCUUAACUACACUGUGAGGUGUGACCUUGCAGAGAAGCUCGCUCCCGCUCUCGACCUACUCAGCAAUAUCGAAGGGCUCCUUGAUUUCGUGUCCAUUCUGAAAUAAGGGGGAGAGAAGGAAACAAUGUCUCAACCACCUCCUACUUCCACAGCUACUCACACUACCGAACCUCCUCCAGUAGGCCAAGCCUCUGGUUNCCUACUUCCACAGCAACUCACACUACCGAACCUCCUCCAGUAGGCCAAGCCUCCGGUUCCGGUGUGAAAGACAAAGGCAAAAAGAUUGCUGAGGAGGAAGAAGAAGAAGAUAAUGAAACAAUCGCCGACUUGUUGAAGCGUAAAAGUCGACACAAUGAGGCUGACAUCAGUGCUCGUGUGGCAAGAGAGGCUGAAGAAGCCGAACGUAAACAGAAGGAAGCCCACGACCUUCUUGAGAGCAGGAAAACUCUGUUUCCUUCCUGGACUCUUGAGAGGAUGAUUAAAGAAGCCAUCGACACACCAAGUAUCUUGUGGCUGGAACCUGUGAUCUCUUUAGAUCGUUCCAAUACUGUCGACUCACAGUUCGACAUGCCACUGACCCGAAAGGCUUUUAUCUUUCAUGCCUUUUCCAACGUUGCAGAAUUCCCUAAUCCUCAUCCACAGGUUGAUCGGGACUUAAUCAAUUUCUAUCUGAGGGCUGCUCAACCCCAAUAUCAGACUUGGAGCGCUCAGAAAAUUGUCAACGUUCGGGUCUUGAAGCUGUACAGUGAAGGUAACUUCAUCAACGUUCGGUUCAAGGUACUUCGGGGAUUUGCCAAAAUAGUACAUACUAUUUCCCUUGCAGAUCUUCCCAACCUUAAUCCCCAUGAUUGGAUUAUCUUGCACAACAUCCUCCUCACCAACGAAGCUGAAUACGGUCCGAUCAUCGACCAUUUCAAGAGGAUGCUCGUGUGCUACAUCAUGGAAGUUGCAUUGAUGGAUCAGGAGAUUGCGAGCGUAUUUAAGAAGAAACCUACAAUAUCUCCUGUUGGCUCUGCCAGUGAUCUCAACCAAAUGCAGAUGGGGAAGAUUGACUCGAGGAGGAAUUCGGUCAUGUUUACCAGGAACGAAGGACAGAAAUGUCUUUUCGCCUUGGCUGACAAACAUCUCUAUACCCUUGCAUGUUUGGAGCACGUUUUGGGGAUCAUCCACAGAUGCAAGCAAAACACAGCGGAUGAUAUCAAGUACUUUGAUGAUAUGAUUCAAUGCUACAUUCGGUUCAGACAGACUAUUCUCGCUCUUAUCACAUGUCUGUUUGAUACUAUAAAAAAGGCUCCUACUGCUGGCCCGAAGAAGUAGUCUUGCUCCAAUUUGACGCAAAGGGAGAGAUUGUUGGGUCGUGUUUUGUGUUAAGUAUUGCGUCUAUUGGGCUCGUUAGUUAGUCCAUUUUGUAUCUCCGGUAUGGGCUUGUCCAUCCGUGAGUUUAGUAGGGUUUAGUAUAUAUAGGAGCUUGCAUGCUUCCUAGAGGGUAACGAUAGAAUAGAACGAUCAGAGAAUUACUUCAGCAAGUUUAUUGUUAUCGUUCUUGUAACCCUAAAAUCCUCUACAGCGGAAGUUCUUAGUCGAGCUCUGCUGAGGAUUGUUUGAUCUAAUCAUUCGACACAUAUUGAUCCAUACUUGUGUUAUUUACUGCUUUUACAUCCAUCNAGACAACUCUAUAUUCCCAUUUUGACUACCACUUCUGAACAAGAGUUGCCUCUUUUCAGACUAUGUCAAUAUGGUCCUUCCAAUAUUAACAGUAUACUUCCAACUGUCCUUGAGCAACCAAUCUUUGGUAAACCUUAGAUUGUCCUCGACAAUUGCUUAAUCGCUUUAGUCAUAUCCAAUUCUAGACAUUUUCCUCUUAACGCCCCAAGGCAUUUGGAAAAUUCAGAAAGGAUAAAAAUUAUAGCACCUGUAAUCGAUCUUGUACCCAAAGCAAAUGGGACACGAUUCAUGAUGUCUCGCAUAAAGACAUGAUUCUAGAUCAGUCUUUUGCUACAAUAUUUUUAUUUGCCAUGUUUCCAAAAUUUGACUAUGAAGAGGGAUGUCGUAAUCAUAGUUAAAUUUUGAGAACAUAAUAUAUAGGGUUUUUCCUUAUGUGGAACCAAUACAACAUGAAAUUCAUAUAUAUAUAUAUAUAUAUAUAUAUAUAUAUAUAUAUAUAUAUUUUUGUCAAUNNNNNNNNNNNNNNNNNNNNNNNNNNNNNNNNNNNNNNNNNNNNNNNNNNNNNNNNNNNNNNNNNNNNNNNNNNNNNNNNNNNNNNNNNNNNNNNNNNNNNNNNNNNNNNNNNNNNNNNNNNNNNNNNNNNNNNNNNNNNNNNNNNNNNNNNNNNNNNNNNNNNNNNNNNNNNNNNNNNNNNNNNNNNNNNNNNNNNNNNNNNNNNNNNNNNNNNNNNNNNNNNNNNNNNNNNNNNNNNNNNNNNNNNNNNNNNNNNNNNNNNNNNNNNNNNNNNNNNNNNNNNNNNNNNNNNNNNNNNNNNNNNNNNNNNNNNNNNNNNNNNNNNNNNNNNNNNNNNNNNNNNNNNNNNNNNNNNNNNNNNNNNNNNNNNNNNNNNNNNNNNNNNNNNNNNNNNNNNNNNNNNNNNNNNNNNNNNNNNNNNNNNNNNNNNNNNNNNNNNNNNNNNNNNNNNNNNNNNNNNNNNNNNNNNNNNNNNNNNNNNNNNNNNNNNNNNNNNNNNNNNNNNNNNNNNNNNNNNNNNNNNNNNNNNNNNNNNNNNNNNNNNNNNNNNNNNNNNNNNNNNNNNNNNNNNNNNNNNNNNNNNNNNNNNNNNNNNNNNNNNNNNNNNNNNNNNNNNNNNNNNNNNNNNNNNNNNNNNNNNNNNNNNNNNNNNNNNNNNNNNNNNNNNNNNNNNNNNNNNNNNNNNNNNNNNNNNNNNNNNNNNNNNNNNNNNNNNNNNNNNNNNNNNNNNNNNNNNNNNNNNNNNNNNNNNNNNNNNNNNNNNNNNNNNNNNNNNNNNNNNNNNNNNNNNNNNNNNNNNNNNNNNNNNNNNNNNNNNNNNNNNNNNNNNNNNNNNNNNNNNNNNNNNNNNNNNNNNNNNNNNNNNNNNNNNNNNNNNNNNNNNNNNNNNNNNNNNNNNNNNNNNNNNNNNNNNNNNNNNNNNNNNNNNNNNNNNNNNNNNNNNNNNNNNNNNNNNNNNNNNNNNNNNNNNNNNNNNNNNNNNNNNNNNNNNNNNNNNNNNNNNNNNNNNNNNNNNNNNNNNNNNNNNNNNNNNNNNNNNNNNNNNNNNNNNNNNNNNNNNNNNNNNNNNNNNNNNNNNNNNNNNNNNNNNNNNNNNNNNNNNNNNNNNNNNNNNNNNNNNNNNNNNNNNNNNNNNNNNNNNNNNNNNNNNNNNNNNNNNNNNNNNNNNNNNNNNNNNNNNNNNNNNNNNNNNNNNNNNNNNNNNNNNNNNNNGAAGUAUGAAUCAUCUUCUUGAUUUAACCACUUCAACAAUUCAUAACUCCUCUUCUUAACUAUCAGAAUGCACUUAGAGGAUGAAUUGUGAUAAGGUCUCAAAAUCAUUAAGAUGAUCUUAAAACAUGAUACUAAAGUACUCUCCCAUCUUUUCAGAUUUGAGAAACUUUUAUCCUUCUGCCUAAUUUGAUUCUUCUUAUUCUUUCUGUCAUACAAUGAAACUUUUACAAUGUCUCAGAAUUAUACUUAAGUUUGUAAGUAUAACCAUAUUUACUAAACUUUAGUAAAUCAUGACGAAUCGUCUUAUCGUUCUUUUGUGGUGGACUCGACCAGUGCACAAGAAUGUGUACUCGAUCCCUUAGUCCUUCACUUGCUCACAUAUACAUGUGAACACACAACUAGUCUUAAUUUUCCAAAGUUGAAAAUUCUCACACAUCACACUAAACACCUUGUAUGAUUCCAAGUUUCGGUCCAAUUGAAACUUGGGUGAUGAGAAUCUUUCCUUAUUUGGUAAAUUUAGACACUACCACAAAUGAAAGAAUCAAAUUCAUAUUUCCAAUAUUGCUAUAAACAUACAAACAUCAAGUUUUCAUGAAUGCCAUUGUAAGGAGAUAAAAAUAAAGUAAAACACACUUUUAUUUAUUUCAAAAUGCGGAAAAAACUUUUUCCUUACAAUGUAACUUGAAAUGAAAACUAUGCUAUUACAUGUUUCCUAGCAAUCUAUCAUAACUCCUAAGAGUAGCUCAAGAAUCCGAUCUUCAAUCAAGCGAUAGAAAUCCAUCUUCGCGGUCAGAUUCAACAUACUCUUUCUUUAAGUUUCCUUCACUUUUCCUUUGAUUCUUAAAACAUCAACAUGUGAACCAGUCAUAACAUGUAAUAAGAAACACAUAAUAGAAACUUAACCGAGUUAGAUUGUGGAUUAUACCUGAAGUAGAGUCAAACUUAUUGACUUUACUAGCCUUAUGAUCUUUCAGGUAAAAUUGACAACUUUGCAACCAAUCCUCUUUCCUUUUGGCAAUAGAACCAUAUGGACCCUUUGGGAAUGGUACAUGGGACAAUCUCAGACUUAGCCUUUCUCUUUACCAUUUGGUCAACCGAGUUGACUAUGGCCAAUCCCUUUCAAUUGGGAAGAGAAUGCUUUUUCUGGAUUUCCAAUGUCAUCAUUGUCAGUGUCCAUAAAGUUUUGGGAAGUCGAUCUUCUAAUCAAAUUUGCUUUACUAGCCUUCCAAAUCAUUGUUGAUUCAGUAGUACCAAGCAAACUGAUAAGAUCAUUAAGGGUCUUGUCAAAGUCUGUCUCAUAGGAGUCCCAAAGGAACUCACUAUGUUACUUAGAAAGUGAUUAACCACCAACUUUCUCAAGACGUUGACACCCAACUCUCCCGGUUUGUCAAUAUGUGACUUCAUCUCCAAGAUGCAACCACACAUAGACCUUGUUUGUCAAUAGGGCUAGAGUGACCUUGAACUUGUGGGAUAGGAAGAAUAAUUAGAGGAGGUGGAGGAAGUGAAGUUCCAAGAGAUUUGGAAAGAUCAUAAAUGUCUGAAGUAGACAUCUUUUUGGGAGAUAUUAAAGAUAGUUGAUUUAAAGUCCUUAAUAUAACACCCCAAUAUCAAAUAUUAAGGCUAGGACCCAACACAAUAUUUUAUAACUUGGAAGAGGGAUGUCGUAAUCCAAGCUAUAGAAUAUUUGAAGGUAGGUGAAUGACGAUUCACCAAUUUCCACCAUGAAAACAAAAUAAUUUAAUUAGGUUUUACUUGGAUUUGAAACUCUGAGAUCUUUUGAGAUUCAUUGAACUAUUCAAUGGCAUGUUUCAAUCUCGAGUGUGCCCUUCAGGUUUUGUGACUGGGAUGUCGAGGAUCACAAAACAAGGUGUGAAGUAACCAUGCAAAUUACUUGGUACCCUUAAGUGUUUACCCCUCAAUCGAUGUGCCGGUUAACCACACACGCUCCAUCGAUACUAUGAUAAACAUUAAUUUACCCUUUGCCUACCUUGUUAAAUAUGAGUUAGUGUGUCGGUUAACCACACACGCUCUACUAACCGACUUAAACAAAGUGCAAAGUGUAAUUUCAUGGAUUAGCACCUUAUUCACAUUUUCCUAAGUAACUAAGAUUGGGUAUUUAUAAAAGGUUUAGUUACUUAGUAUUUAUCAUUAAUACUUUUAAUGAAGGGAGAAUUUAUAGUCUUUGUCCUACCUGUUCGGCUAACGACCCUCCACCAGUCAAGCAAGCGGUGGGUGAGAGUGGACACCCAUUAAGUUGCCAUUUUAUAGGCAACAACCUUAUACCCACCUUAUAGACCGGCUUCGUGAAUGAGGCGUACUAGCGGUAAGANUAUAUAUAUAUAUUAACUUAUAAUAUUAUAAAGUAUAAGGGUUGAAUUUUAACUUUUAAAAUUCUAAGGGCUAAACUUGGAAUUAAAUUAUUCAUAAGAGAAAAGCUUUUCAAAUUCCAAAACUUGAGGGCAAGUUUUGAAAAUAUUCAAAACUAAUUAAUUCCAUAACUUAUGUGUUUAAAGUAGUUUUCAUUAAAAAACUCAAGUUCCAUAACUUGAGGACAAUUUAUGGAAGAGUUUAAACUAUUAAAGAAUGUAACUCUUCUUAUUUGUAGCUUAUGGAACUAAUUAAAGUUACACAUUUUAAUGAUUUAAUGAAGUGAAUCUUGAACCUCCAUAACUUGAGGACAAGUUAUGGAGUCAUAAAACCAUUUAAUGAUUACAAGACUCUUCAUUUUGUAACCAUUGCCAACUUUUAUGAGUUUUAAGAAACUUUAAUGUGACUUUUCAUGUAACUUGAGGACAAGUUACACACACAUUUUAGAAUCAAUUCUUAGAUUAAAAUGGAUCAACAACGCAUAAUCAAUCAACAUUUUCUUUUAAUCUAAGCAACUCAUAUGAACAAGAUAAUUGGAAUCAAACUUUUUCAUGUAAUUAGCAUAACACUUAAACUAAUACAAAACAUGAAUCUAUUGAUAAUUAUCUUUGAAAUUGGAUUAGUAUGAACAUUACCACAUCAAAAAUAGGUUUACAAAUCCAAAAACAACUUUUUGUAAUGUUCCUAGUCCAAUUCCAGCCAUGAAACCCGAAAAUAUGCUGUCUGGAGGCCAAACUCGUCGAGUUCUUUAUGGAACUCGUCGACUUCAUGCUCUAAUACAUGAACUCGUCGACUUUUUCUUCCAGAUAUUAUCGAGAUUUUGGCCAUGACAGAUUCUUGGCUUCAAAAAAUCUAUUUGCAUUUGGUAUAAGACAAAGCAAGCCUAGGCUCUGAUACCAAUGAUGAGUUUUGAGCAUUCUAACACUCCUAUGGUGUACAUGCAACCCUAUAGACUUUGGAUCUAUGUUUUCUCUAUCAUACAUGCAAAUAAUAGCUUUCCAAGGCUUUAACCUUAACUAGCAUAUUAUGAAGCUCUUAUACUACAAAGUACUAGUUAGAUGACAUACCUGUUGAUGUAGCUUGAUGUCUUCAAGCUUUAAGAGCUUAGUCCCAAUAGUGUGGAAGCCUCAAGUGGAAUAAAAAAUCACCAAAACACCUUGGAAUAACCUUGAGAAUAAGAAUACUUUGGUUCUCUCUAGUGAAAUCGGCUAGCCCUUUUAGUGUGCCCACACUAGUGCCAAUUUUACCAACCAAGGACAUCUUUAUAUAGUGUGGAGACUAGGGUUAAACCCAUGACCUUUCAUUUCAUAUGAUCCAUGGGUUAAACACUCCAUGGACUAUCCAUGAAAGCUUAGCCCAACCUAAAUGAACUUGGCCCAUCACACACAUAUAUCUAAGAGUCCAUAUUUAAUUGGUUCAUUUUGAUCACUUAAUUAAUUCUAAAUUAAUUCUUGAUCAAUACUAAUUAGAUUAUAUUACUCCAUAUUAAUAUAUUUGAAUUUAUAAUAUAUUAAUAUACUAUUCUCAAAAGAUUAUCCAUAUAAAUUAUACUGGUGAAGUGCAACCCAAAUGGACCAUGCCGGGUCGGGUCAAAUACAUACGAAAUAUAGUUAUGGACUUAGACAUUAAUCUAACACCUGGAACAUAGUCAGAUGGCGUAAAUUCUUGGCUAAGUUGAAUAGAAAGCCUGUUGAUGCUGGUCAGGGUCCUGUAGAGAACAACAAGGGAGAAAAGGGAGAGACAAAGAUGUCCCCAACAAAAGCGUAGGUUUGAUGUUUUUAAAAACAACUUCUAAAUAUUUUGGUUUGUAGAUAAUGUUUCUCUUUUUUGGGGGUUGGUAGGCAACCCUUUUUUAUUUUAUGCACAUGGUUUUUGACAUUUAUAUCUCUUUGCUUUUUUGUUUUAUGUGAUUGUAGUAGUAGGAAUUCUGAGGAUCUUCAGAUGGUUAUAUGCAUCUCUAUGGAAAGAGGACAAAAAAUCAUUAACAAUGAUAUAUUCGAUGUUUUUCUAUAAAAAACAUGGCCUAAAAAAAUUAAACGAAAAAAAAUAGGUUUUGUUAUAAUCUCAUGCAUGCGCAUCCAUUAUAGAAGUCUACAACUUUUCUUUUUCUAUUGAUCGCUUUAAAUUCCGACGAUUUAGAUUGGUUAUUUGGUUCCUUGACUAAUAAUAGUUUUCUAUUGCACUUUUCUCUAUGUGUACUUGGUAUCUUCAUACUUUUUCUAAUGAAAAAAAUGGUUGUUGUUAAAAAAAUAUUAUUAUAUUAUAAUACUAUUUUAUAGUCCGUGGAAACAACGGUUGACUUUUAUAAUUAAAUUUUUAUAAUAAAAACUCAUAACUAUUAACCAAUUAUUUAAAAUAAAAUACUAAUUAGAAGAUUUAUGUUUUUUAAUUUAUGUAAAUUAUAAUCGUUGAUUCAAAUAAAUAUGUGAAAUUAUUUUUCAAGCUAUAUUAGAAAGUUUUUUAUUUGUGGAUUAAUGAAAAAAAUGAUAUUGUCUAAUUAAAUGUUAGAUUAAUUAUAAAAAAUAAAAGACCAUGAAAAGUGAAGUAAAUUAAAAUUGAUGUAUGGUAAAUAAGAAAAUUAAGUUGUUGAAACAAAAAUAUUAAAAAAUAUAACAAAUUACAAAUGAAAAUUAACAAUAAAGUUUUAUUAAAAAUAAUUAAAAAAAAUCAUUAUAAUAAAUAAUAUUCUACAAACUACUUACAAAUUUCGAAAAACUUCUUUAUACACAACAUUAGAAGUUUUAUUUGUAUGUCUACCAUCCAUAUCUAAAAUUAACAAUUUUAAUCAUUCUUUACUUUUAACUUUAGAUAAAACAACAUACAAUUGGUCAUGUUUAAAAACCGGAUCUUUGAGAAACAAACCAAGCAUAGAUAAAGACUGUCCUUGACUCUUGGUAAUUGUCAUUACAAAACAAAUUGCUAAUGGAAAUUGUCUUCUUUGGAAUUUGAAUGCGAUUUUUUUUUUCUAGAUGGUGUUAAGGACAUUCUUGGAAUAAAGGUCUAAUUUCCAAUAUUAUUUCUUGAUAUAAUAACUACCUCAAUAACAUGUUUGCCCAAAAAUAUAACUUGUAGUCUAGUUUCAUUACAUAAACAAUUUUUCUGAUCAAUAUUUCUCAGCAACAUAACUGGAACCGCGGCUUUCAAAACUAACUUAUAAUUAGGUAGACCUGAGACUUUGAGACCAUUUAAAACAUCAUGUGAGUAUAAAUUGGCAUCAAACUAAUCAUGGAUAAACUCUGAUUGGAAUAGUUUAUCUGAACUUAAAUAUUUGACUUUACUUCCUGGAAACAAUGAUAGUAAUCAAUCUAACAACUUCAUUUUUGGAGCAAGUAUCGCUCUUUCUUGAAAAUAUCUCGAAUUGUUAGAAUCUUCAAGAAUUGAAUAAUAUUUAAAGUUGAUUAAUGAACCUGUAGGAGCACACGAAUCAUUGAUGAGAUAAUCAUGCGAAAUAUAAAUAAUCGUUUCAUCAUCGUGAGGACCACCAAGUUUGCCUUCUCCUAUAUCUAAGAGCCAUUUUGCAAAAUCCAUUGUUUGCUAAAUAGCAGAUGUAUCAUUUUUUACAGUUAGCCUUAUGAUUUUGGUUAGUUGAUGGACUUUGCAUUGAUUCCAUAAAUAUAAAGAACUUAGAGAAGCAUUAAUAGUGUCUUGUCUACUACCAAUUGGGAUAACAGGCAGAAUUCGUCUGAAAUCUCCUCCAAAAACAAUCACUUUCCCUCCAAAUGGAAAAUUUGAGUUUCUAAGUGAAACAUCCCAAAAAUAUAGUCUAAAAAUUUCACUUUAAAUCAUUAAUAAAAACAUAAUUAUCAUUUGACAUAUAAAAAUUAUAAGUUGUGUAUCCCAAAAAUAUCAUAACAUCUGUCAAAUAUAUAUGAGAGUAUGAACAUCCCAGGCUGAACAAAUGGUGUGUACACUGCAAACAUCUCGAGCUCUCCUUUUGAAAACCAAAGUACCUGAAACCAAAAUUGAAAACGGUAAGCACAAAGCUUAGUGAGUCUCCCCAAACUACCACAUACCAUACACAUAACAUGAAACUAGGAGAUACGGGCCCCACCCACUCUCAUGGAGAUUCGGGCCCCGCUCACACUCUGCUGUCUAGAAGAUUCGGGCCCCACUCAUAAUCCGUUGUCUAGGAGAUUCGGGCCCGGCCCACACUCCGCUGUCUAGGAGAUUCGGGCCCAACCAAAACUGAAAACUGUAAGCACGAAGCUUAGUGAGUCUCCCCAAACUACCAUAUACCAUACACAUAACAUGCAACUAGAAGAUACGGGGCCCACCCACUUUCAUGGAGAUUCGGGCCCCGCCCACACUCCGUUGUCUAGGAGAUUCAGGCCCCACCCACACUCCACUGUCUAGGAGAUUCGGUCCCCGUCCACACUCCACUGUCUAGGAUAUUCGGGAGCCGCCCACACUCCCCAACUAACAUGCAUACAAAUAUCACACGGACGACAAGUAUAUCUACUCCUAUCAAGCAGUCAUAUAUCUAUACUUAAAUAAUACUACGAGAUUCGGGCCCCGCCCAAACUCGACUACUAUGAGAUUCGGGCCCCACCCACACUCGAACAAUAAUGAGAUAUGGGCCCUGCCCACACUCACAUACAUAAACAAGCACAUACAAGUAUCACACAGACAACAAGUAUAGCAAUCCAACAAUCUGACUGAUAUUUAUACUCUGAUAAUAAUAACAUACGGGCCCCGCCCACACUUAGCUACUAACAUAUCACAUAUACGGACCGACCUUGGUGCCUUAGACCCUUUUCUACUGAAAGAAACUCACAUCGCCAUGCUGAAGUCCUGCGAAUAAAUCUCGGGCUAUUGGCUGACAUAUCCCCAAACAGUCAACAUCAAAACAAAACCUAAAUAAACAUUUGGGCUUCCUAUGCAUUACUCUAAAAUCCCCACUUGGGGUAAAACGACCAUUUUACCCCUAACCUAGCUUGGUCCAAUAUUAAGGCCCAAACUCAUACUUUGAAGGCCCAAAGCUCAAAUAAUCAACCAAGGCCCAAUAUGACCCAUCUAUGGCCUAAUUUUCCAAAUUGGGCCCAAGAUUUCCAAUGGGCCUUAUCCUAAGGCCCAAUUCAAUACUCUAGUCCUUAUACUUGUUCUUGGAUGGCCCAUCAAUAGUCCAAUCAUCUAGGCCUAACAAAAAAGACCCGACUCAAAACCCAACACAAUUAGGGUACAUGAAAUGACGAUUAGGGUUAAGUGUUUCUUACUUAACUCAUUAAACACUUAAUCCAUUAAGUCCCAUUAAUUUGCUAGGUAAAUCAUAUAGUGUAAUUAGCCAUAAGCCAUACAUUUAUCCACUGCUCCAAAUGAACGUCCUGACAAUCCAAAACUAACAUUUUCUAAAAUUAGGGUUUUCUAAACCCUAAUUAGGGUUUCUAACCCAAGCACAUGCCAUUGAAGUCCAAGAUAAAGCUAUUGGGCCGAUUAGGGUUUCACCAUGUUGAGCACCACCCACUGCUACCUCGGUCGGUGGUGGUCGAUAGCGGCACACGGCAACAGCCACCACCUCAUGGUGGCGAUGGUGGCUUUUCCUUCAAUCCUUACACCAAAAAACGUUUAUAAAAGUCCAAAUUUACUACACAUACUCAUAAUACCACAUCAUACUGUAACAUCCAUCCCUCGAGGUAUUAUUUAAAUUAUGUAGCUUAAUAUUAGCUUUGAACCUUUAGGGGUGGACCUUAGCAAAGAUGGGCCAACAAGUUGGGCUGCCCAUAAGCCAUAAGUUGGGCGUAACUUGGCAUACGCGGGGCGUAGUGGCACAUUGGAUUCGAGGGACUCGGGGGCGUACGUGCAGCGUGCCAAGAGGUACGCCCAACGUACGUGGGCAGAUGCCAAUCCCUAAUUUUUAGGGUUUAAGACAAAUAAAUACCCCAUUAUAUCCUCCUCUCUAGCCUCCUCACCAAUCGCUCACCCUCAAGAAAAACCCUAAUUCGCCUCUUACCCCAUUGUUGUGUGUGCUUGACCUUUUUGAGUUCAUUUUUGUGAAGAAAGGCUUAGAAGAAGUGAAGAGAAGUUGGAGGAGAAUCACUUGAGUAUCUUAAGCUCAAGGAUCUGUAACAAGUUCAUCUUUUGGCACCCAAAGGAGGUAUAAAGCUCCUACCUUUCCUCUUAGAAGUAUAGAUUUAGUGUUUUGAAGCUUUGGACCUUUUUAGGUCCAAAAAAUGGAUCUUGUUCAUGCAACUUUGUUUUUGAGCUUAGGGUUGCCACCUUGAAGUUCAAAGUGUCCCUUAAGUAGUAAAGUUGCAAGCUUAAAAGCUUUAAUGUAACCAUGCAUGAGAUCUAGCCAUCUCCAUGGAGGUUUAUUACUAUUUUUAGAGUUGGGUUCAUUUGGUGGGUUGCAAGCCAUCAAGUGAUCAACUUUAUGGGUCAGGAUGAAGUAUUAGACUCAGAUCUAUAGUGUAGACGUAGUGUCUUAAGGGAUUAAGCAGUUUUGGAGGAAAUGUCGUAACAGGAGAGUACGAUGGGCAUACACGCCAGUACGCGCAGCGUACAAGCCAUUCAAGCAGCACGUGCAAUAGUUGGGCCUUGUUUUGGGCCACGAUUUGGAUCUAGCAGUAAUUGGUCUGACGUUGGACUUCAGAAGUCAUUCAAGGUCCUAAGGACUUGUUGGGCUUGUGAGGAAAAGCCAAUUUGAGAAGUUGGGCCCAAUUUAGAAAAAUUGGGCCAUUAUUGGGCCAUAGUGGGCCAUGAGUGGACUUAUAAGAACUUGUUGAAAUUGGGUCUUGGAUAUGGCCCAAAGUUAGAGCAGGGGUAAAAUGGUUAUUUUACCCUUAGUGGGAUUCUUUGUUUUUGACUAAGUGUUAUUUGGUCAUAAUAGCCGAAGAGUAGUUGGAGCAGCAGACAGAGUUACCUUGCAUGAGUUUUCAGCAGCCAGGUUGAGAGGUGAAUUUCUCUCCAGUAGGAGCGGGUCUAAGGCCACAAUGUCGGCCCGUUUAGAUGUUAGUAGUUCCAGACUUCGGUCCGAUGCCGGGGCGGUCCCAAGAAGAGUAUAUGUAUGCUUGAUGUCCUUGUGAUUCAUGCAUGUUAUGUAUUAUGUGUUUCGGGCUUCAGACCGAUAUCGGGGUUAGCCCGAUGCAGUUUAUAUGUUAUGUUAUGUUAUGUGUUUUUGAUAUAUGUUAUGAUGUGUAUGUGCCGGGGUAAGGCCGAUGUCAAGGCAAGUUGAUGCCAGACGUAGUCUGAUGCCGAGGUAAGCCCAAUGUCGGGCAGGAGUCCGAUGCCGGGUAAGCCGAUGUCGGUUUCGUCCCGAUGCAGUUGGGAGUAGUCCCAUAGUUAUGUUAUUUGUUAUAUGUUAUGUGGUUGGUAUGUGGUAGUUUGGGGGAGCUCACUAAGCUUCGUGGUUACAGUUUUAGUUUUGGUUUUAGGUACUUAAUUUAACAAAGGGAAGGGCUCAGGUUGAUAGCAUGGAACACACCACAGUCUUUCUGGCCUGGGAGAUUACUCUUAUAUUUUAUCAUAUGUUUUUGGCACAAUAUUUGAUCUGAUGUUUUGUGAUACAUGAUACAUGGUUUUCUCUAUGAUUAUGGAUGGUUUAUGGUUUUAUAAUAAUUUUCAAAAUGAAAUUUUUGGACUGUAUUUUUGGGUUGUUUCAAGUUAGUAUCAGAGCCUUGAUUUGAGGGAUUUGGGCACACUCUCGGAUGAGUCUGAACUCAAACUAAGGAAUAGGUAUGAAAAUUUUCAAAAGAAAAUCGUUUUUAUAAAAAGAACUUUGAGAUAAAGAAAAGAAUUUUGAAAAGAGAGAAGGGUGUGGUGCACAUGAUCAGUCGAGCUCAAGUAAGUACUCCCAAAUUACCCAUACAAGUUAUUGUUAUGUGAUGAUUAUCAGCUUUAUGAGAACAACAUGCUAGAAUUACAACUAAGGAUCUAGGGAGGAUGCCUUAUGUGCCUAUUAUAUGUGUAUCAGCAUUAUGAGAAUUGCAUGCUUGUUUAGGACUAAGGAUAUAGAAAGGAUGUCUGAUGUGUCUGUUAUAUGUAUCUCAGCUUUAUGAGUUGUAUGCUAGUACAUAUUAGUCAGGGGUAGCCUAAGAGAGAUAUUGUUGAUUAUGUUUACUCGAUGCUCGAAUGCUGCUUGCUUUGUGCUUUAGGAGUUCUAGUUAUCUUUUACUAAAUAGUAAGUGAAUAUGUUACGUUACAUAUUGCAAGGAUUAAAUAAUUUCAGAAGGUUAGGUCUAGCUCUAUUGCGCAGCUCUUGUUUGAGUCCAACCGUUUUAGGGUAGGAUCUCUCAUUCGAAGUAUUAUCUAUUCUUAGUAAUAUGUAAUAAUAUUCACGAACUAGUUAGUGGGUAGCAGGGACUUCUUAUACAGCUGAUAGCGGAGAGUGGGUUGGUGAUUACCCUAGGACACGCCUAGGAAGAGUUUAGUAUGAGAUCAGCAGUAGUAGUGGUAAAAGGGACUUGUUGGAGUCGAAGCAGUUCUUGAGGAAAGUACGGAUAGAUGUGGAAGGUAGUAUGGGCCCGUACUACUAAAAGCAGAGGACCCGUACUCGAAACAAGGAAGGCUGAGAUAAGAUCAGGGAACUAGUAGUGUAUGUGAUCCCUCGAGUUAUGAUAGUAUUCUGACGUUUGUUAUGAUGUGUUUUUCAGAAUUGUGGUUUUGCAGCCUAGACCAGUGGUUGGCAGUUCAGGUGCCGGAGAGGGAUCGGGCUCAGGCUCUGGAUCCGCUCAGCUAGAUGAGCUGACUAGGGAGUUCAUCUCCUCAGAGAUUACGCGUAGCAUACUAGACCAGAAUCCGGUGAUUUUUGGAUCGGUCAAGGAGGGUAUCUUAGAGCUUCUGGAUGAGAAGCUAAGCGCCUUCUGCACCGAGAUAGCGGCCAUGAUGGAAUCGCGCACAUUGACUUUCAAGGAGUUCAAAUCUUGUGGAGCUCCCGACUACCCUGGGGCUCGGGACCCCAUUGCGAGUACCAGAUGGUUGGCAGAUGUCUCCAAUGCAUUCCGCACCAGUCAAUGUCCCGAGGGGGACAAGGUUAGGCUUGUGUCCUGUCUUCUGAAGGACAGGGCACGUGAUUGGUCGGAGGAGGUUGGGAGAGCCAUGGGUGAUGACACAGUGUUGGAUGCGAUAACCAGGGAUGACUUCAGGACUAGGUUCAGAGCCGAUUUCACACCUAUUAUUGAGGUGCAACAGCUUGCUAGGGAGUUCCAGGGUCUCCAGCAGACGAAGGAGAUGGUGGCGAGAUUACUGCCAACUUUAGAGAGAGGGCCCUACUUGUUCCGUAGUAUCUGGUGGAUGAGGAGAUGAAGAAAACUAGAUACCAUGAGAUGCUAAGGAGUAACAUUAGAUAGUUUGUGAUCCACUCUAGCUGCAAGACGCUGGAGGACAUGAUUGAUAGAGCUCGAGAGAGGGAGUUGGAUUUAGAGAUGGAGAGGAAGAGGAAACCAAAGGGGGUUCAGUCAGGGGGUUCGGGCUAGAAGCCCAAGGUAUUAGAUCACAGAUCUUGGAGCCAGCAGAGCCAUGGCCGUUGUGGCAAAUGCGGCAAGAUACACGAGGGGACGUGCAAGGCGGGGAGUUCGGGCUGCUAAAAGUGCGGCCGAACUGGUUAUAUGAGUCGGGAUUCAAAAACCACUACCACCACCACGACAUCAUCAGAUCUGAUUUGCUUCUAGUAAAAUCAAAGGGGACACAAGCGGUCCCAGUGCCCGAGUUUAGCAGUAGCAGGGAAGGUGGCAGUGCCUUCUCCUGCCACAUUGAUGAUUACAUAUGGUCAUCAGGUCCGGGCUGAGGCACGUACGUUACGGAGUAUGGCUUUUCAGCUUACUGUAGAGGAGGCACGAGCAGCUCCAAACGUAGUGAUGGGUAUGUAUCUUUCUCUCAUCUCUUUAUUGAUAUUUUUUGUUGCUUAUGUUUACAUGUUUAAUUAUAGGAUCGUUCCUCGUGAACGGUAUAUCAGCUUUAGUAUUGUUCGAUUCGGGUGCCACCCGAUCUUUUGUGUCUCUCGUGCUCAACAAAUGGUUUGUAGGAUCUCCGGGGGAGUUGGGUUGUCCACUUGAUGUAGAGAUAAUGGAUGACUGGACCAUUAGGGUCACGAGGGUUCACAAAGGGUGUACACUUCAGUUACUUGAUCAGCAGUUUUUAGUAGAUCUGGUCCCUAUUCCCCUGCAAGGGAAUAAGGUUAUAAUGGGUAUGGAUUGGUUGAGCCCCAAUGGGGCAGUGAUUGACUGUAAGCAGCAGCUGGUUAGGUUUCGCACUCCUAGUGGGGGAGAGUUAUGGAUCCAGGGUGAAAGGCCACAGCGCGGACUAACUUUCUAUUCAACAGCGAGAGUGAGGCGCCUCAUUCAGCAAGGUUGCGCAAGAUACGUUGCUUAUGUCAUGGAUACCCAGGAUAAGGGUAACGCGACGGUGGAUGACGUACCGGUAGUGCGAGAGUACUUAGACAUAUUCCCGGAGCAUUUACCUAGAAUACCUUUGGAAAGAUAGGUUGAGUUUCGGAUUAAUCUGGUCCCUGGUGCGGUUCCGAUAGCCAAGGCACCAUAUCAGUUGACUCCUCCCAAGAUGCAGGAGUUGUCUACGCAGCUACAGGAGCUGCUAGACAAGGGUUUCAUCAGGCCGAGCAACUCAUCAUGGGGAGCCCCGAUCCUGUUUGUGAAGAAAAAGGACGGGUCACAUCGUUUGUGUAUCGAUUACCGGGAGUUGAAUAAGGUAACGGUGAAGAACUGUUACCCACUUCCGAGGAUAGAUGAUUUGUUUGAUCAGCUGCAGGGAGUAUCCUGGUUCUCCAAGAUUGAUCUACAGUCAGGAUAUCACCAGAUGCGAGUCAGGGAUGAUGACGUGCAGAAGAUAACUUUUAGGACUCGAUAUGGACAUUAUGAGUUUGUGGUGAUGCCAUUUGGCCUCACCAAUGCCCCAACCGCGUUCAUGGGCCUCAUGAACCACAUGUGUAUGUCGAUGUUGGAUCGGUCUGUAAUAGUAUUCAUUGAUGACAUCUUGGUUUACUCUAAGAAUCAGGGGCAGCAUGAGGAGCACCUGAGGGAAGUGUUGGAGACACUGAGGAGGGAGAGAUUGUAUGCGAAGCUCUCCAUGUGUGAGUUCUGGUUGCGUGAGGUGUAGUUCCUUGGGCACCUUGUCAACCAGAAGGGUAUUCUUAUCGAUUCGGCCAAGAUAAAGGCCGUGAUACAGUGGGAGAUUCCGAGGACUCCAUCUGAGAUUCGGAGUUUGCUGGGUAUGGCAGGGUAUUAUAGGAGAUUUAUCCAGGACUUCUCCAAGAUUGCAGUUCCGUUGACCCGACUGACUAAGAAGUCGGUGGUUUUUCGUUGGGGAUCUGAGCAGCAGGAAACCUUUGAGACACUUAGACAACGACUGUGCGAGGCACCGAUUCUCACCCUGCCAAAAGGUGUAGAUGACUUCGUAGUUUACUAUGAUGCAUCGAUCACAUGCAUGAGAGCAGUGCUGAUGCAGCGAGGACAUGUGAUAGCUUAUGCCUUGAGACAGUUGAAGCCUCACGAGGCUUACUAUCCGACACACGAUUUAGAACUGGGGGCAGUGGUGUUGUCCCUCAAGAUUUGGCGACAUUACCUCUAUGGCGUCCGGUGUACCAUUUACACGGACCACAAGAGUUUGAGGUACCUCAUUGAUCAGCCAAAUCUGAACAUGAGGCAGCGUCGGUGGUUAAUGUGGUGAAGGAAUACAAUUGUGAGAUCCUUUACCACCCCGACAAGGCCAACAUGGUGGCUGACGCCCUGAGCCGCAAGGCGGUAGCGGCCCCGAUUCAAGACAUCUGCCUGAGGAUGACAGUGAUUACUCCACUAUUGAAGCAGGUUAGAGAGGUGCAGGUUGAGGGCUUGAAGGAAGAGCGUCAAAAGUGAAAAAGGAUUGUAGGUUGGGUGGCCUCCUUUGAUUAUGACAGUCGAGGCUUUGUUGACCCUGCAUGGAAGGGUCUAGGUACCAUAUUCGGGCAGAGUACGACAUGUAUUGAUGGAUGAGUCCCACAAGUCCAGAUUCUCCAUCAAUCUGGGGGCGACGAAGAUGUACAAAGAUCUUCAACCUGAUUACUGGUGGCCCUGCCUGAAGCGGGACGUAUCUUGGUACGUGGAGAGAUGCCUGACCUACAGUAAGGUCAAGUCGGAGCACCAGAGGCCGCAUGGCAAGAUGCAACCGUUAGACAUCCUUGUGUGGAAGUGGGAGGACAUUACUAUGGACUUUAUCACUAAGCUUCCUAGGACCGCACAUAGGGUCAAUUCGAUAUGGGUCAUCGUGGAUCGGUUGACCAAGAGCGCCCACUUUAUAUCGAUCCAGGAGAGCAUCUCAGACGAGAAGUUAGCCGAGAUUUACGUACGAGGGGUGGUGACACAGCAUCGAGUGCCUGUCUUAGUAGUGUCAGACCGAGAUGUCCGUUUUACUUCCAGAUUUUGGAAGCAGUUUCACAACGAGAUGGGUACUCAUCUCCACUUCAACAACGCUUUCCACCCUCAGACGGACGGACAGAGCGAGAGGAUGAUUUAGACGCUCGAGGACAUGCUUCGAGCAUGCGUGUUGGAUUUCGGUGGCAGUUGGGAUACGUACCUUCCGUUAGCGGAUUUUUCGUAUAACAAUAGUUAGCACUUUAGUAUAGACUGUCCUUUCUUUGAGAUGCUUUAUGGGAGGAAGUGUAGGACCCCAAUCUAUUGGGGUGAGGUCGGUCAGAGGGUCAUGGGGAGUAUGGAGGUAGUACUCAAGACUACAGAGAGGAUCCAGCAGGUUUGAAGCAGGCUUCAGACAACCUAGUGUCGGCAGAAGAGUUACGUCGAUAGAUGGCGUUCGGACUUGGAGUUUUAGGUGGGUGAUAUGUCCUCGUGAAAGUGUCACCCAGGAAGGGUGUUAUCCGGUUUCAAAAGUGGGGCAAGUUGGGCCCUAGGUACAUCUUCAUGGUCGUAACCCGGGUGGGCAAGGUGGAAUACCGAUUGGAUCUUCCAACCGAGCUCAGUUAGAUCCACAACACUUUCCAUGUUUCUCAGCUUUUGAAGUGCUUAGUAGAUCAGACAACGAUUAUACCCUUGGAGGACAUUCAUGUUGAUGACAGCCUGAACUACAUCGAGAAGCCAGUGGCGAUUCUGGAUCACAAGACGAAAGAGCUGAGAUAUAAAAGAGUCCAGUUAGUGAAGGUACAAUGGCAACACCGGAAGAGUUCAGAGUGGACUUGGGACUCCAAGGAGGAGAUGAGGGAGCACUACCCGGAGUUUUUUUUUUUGGAUUUAGCAGCAGCAGGCUUUGAGGACGAAGUCUGAUUCAAGUGUGGGUGAAAUGUAAGAUCCGUCUCUCGAGGUAUUAUUUAGAUUAUGUAGCUUAACAUUAGCUUUGGACCUUUAAGGGUGGACCUUAGCAAAGAUGGGUCAAGAAGUUGGGUUGCCCAUAAGUCGUACAUUGGGCGUAACUUAGCGUACGCAGGGCGUAGUGCACAUUGGAUUCGAGGGACUCGGGGGCGUACGUGCAGUGUACCAAGAGGUAAGCCCAACGUACGUUGGCAGAUGCCAAUCCCUAAAUUUUAGAGUUUAAUACAUAUAAAUAACCCAUUAUAGCCUCCCUUCUAGCCUCCUCACCAUUCGCUCACCCUCAGAAAAACCCUAAUUCGCCUCUUACCCCAUUGUUGUGUGUGUUUGACCUUUUUGAGUUCAUUUUUGUGAAGAAAGGCUUGGAUGAAGUGAAGAGAAGAUGGAGGAGAAGCACUUGAGUAUCUUAAGCUUAAGGAUCUGGAACAAGUUCAUCUUUUGGCACCCAAAGGAGGUAUAAAGCUCCUACCUUUCCUCUUAGAAGUAUAGAUCUAGGGUUUUGAAGCUUUGAACCUUUUUAGGUCCAAAGAAUGGAUAUUGUUCAUGCAACUUUGUAUUUGAGCUUAGGGUUGCCACCCUUGAAGCUCAAAGUGUCCCUUAAGUAGUAAAGUUGCAGGCUUUGAAGCUUUCAUGUAGCCAUGCAUGAGAUCUAGCCAUCUCCAUGCAGGUUUAUUGCUAUUUUUAGAGUUAAGUUCAUUUGGUGGGUUGCAAGCCAUCAAGUGAUCGACUUUAUGGGUCAGGAUGAAGUAUUAGACUUAGAUAUGUAGUUUGGACGUAGUGUCUUAAGGGAUUAAGAAAUUUUGGAGGAAAUGGCUUAACAGGAGAGUACGUUAGGCGUACACGCUAGUACGCAUAACCUACAAGCCAUUUAAGAAGUAUGCGCAACGUACGCUCAGACAGUGGGCUUUAUGCUAUUAGGGCGCAGUUUGGGCCAUGCUUUGGAUCUAGCAGUAAUUAGGCAAAGAUGAGCCUUUAGAAGUCAAUCAAGGGCCCAAGGACUUGUUGGGCUUGUGAGGAAAAGCCCAUUUGAGAAAUGGGCCCAAUUUAGAAAAAUUGGGCCAUUAGUGGGUUUUAGUGGGCCAUGAGAGGACUUAUAAGGACUAGUUGAAAUUGGUUCUUGGAUAUGGCCCAAAGAUAGAGCAGGGGUAAAAUGGUCAUUUUACCCUUAGUGGGAUUCUCGGUUUUUGACUAAGUUCUAUUUGGUCAUAAUAGUCGGAGAGUAGUUGGAGCAGCAGACAGAGUUACCUUGCAUGAGUUUUCAGCAGCCAGAUUGAGAGGUGAGUUUCUCUCUAGUAGGAAUGGGUCUAAGGCUACAAUGUUGGACCAUUUAGAUGUUAGUAGUUCCGGACUUCGGUCCGAUGCCAGGGCAGUCCCGAGAAGAGUAUAUGUAUGCUUAAUAUCCUUGUGAUUCAUGCAUGUUAUGUGUUAUGUGUUCUGGGGUUCGGCCCGAUGUCGGGGUAAGCCCGAUGCAGUUUAUAUGUUAUGUUAUGUGUUUAUGAUAUAUGUUAUGUUGUGUAUGUGCCAGGGUAAGCCCGAUUCUGGGGUGAGCCCGAUGCCAGACGUAGUCCGAUGCCGGGGUAAGCCCGAUGUCGGGAAGGAGUCCGAUGUUGGGUUCGUCCCGAUGAAGUUGGGAGUAGUCCCAGAGCUAUGCUAUUUGUUAUAUGUUAUGUGUUUGGUAUGUGGUAGUUUAAGGGAGCUCAUUAAGCCUCGUGCUUACAGUUUCAGUUUUGGUUUCAGGUACUUCAGCUAGCAAAUGGAAAGGCUCGGGUUGAUAGCAUAGCACACACCACUAUCUUUCUGACCUGGGAGAUUACUCUGAUAUUUUAUCAUAUGUUUUUGGCAUAGUAUUUGAUCUGAUGUUUUGUGAUAGAUGAUACAUGGUUUUCUCUAUGAUUAUGGAUGGUUUAUGGUUUUAUAAUAAUUUUCAAAACAAAAUUUUUGGACCCUAUUUUUGGGUUGUUUCACAUACACACACAACCACCACCAUACGGCAGUUGGUGGCGGCAAAGCGGUGGCAGGAGGCGGCAACCACCACCCCAUGGUGGUGGCAGUGAAUUUUCGGCCAAAAAUACACAUAUCUCACACCAAAAAUAUUGAAAACAACCACUACACUCUAACAUAUGCAUAUUCACCCACCUCUUAGGCGGCGAACGUCGCUGGAAAAAUGCAACAGCGGCCCUUCAUGACCACCGACGACGGCAGUGACGAUUCCAGCGUCACACCCAUAAAGAAUGAGAAAGAUAGAGGAAGGAUAGGUUAACGGGGACUUACUGUGCAUUCCAGGUGGCUCACGACUUGCACAAAGACGGCACAUCGGGUUUUUCCCCGGUCCUCGGCGGUUCUUUGGCUGCCCAUGACGUUUUUGGCAGAAGACAUCGCGAUGGCGAUCAUCAUUGGCACUGCAGCGGCGGCACUCAAACUUUGCUCGCCCACUCAUAUAAUGGAUUUUAAGGCUACUAAUCAUUUAUUAAUUUUAUCUAUUUAUUUAUUUAAUAAACAGGGUGUUACAAAUCUCCCCCACUUAUAUUAGAUUUCGUCCUCGAAAUCAUUCGUCACCAUCCCUUACACGCCAGACAACUUGAACGCCAUUACCAGAAUCCUGAGCAUAACCUAGCCUUUCCAAGGAAACCAAAACCAUCCCUCGCAGGGUUCUUAAAACCCGAAGAUGCACGAAUUCCUGGCAUUAUUAUCACAUUACUCAAUCUGAAAUCCGAAGUUUCGAUAUGGUCUGACUCCCUGACAAACCGCCCAUAUAGAUUCAUUAUAGCCGAAUCCAGUCCACUUAUCUCUCAACUGACUACUUAAUUUCUGAUAACUCGAGGUUCCCACUAGAAAAUGGAAUUACGUACCCAAUUAUCCCUGCAUAUCACUUAUACUUGGCCAAGGCUCAGAUAAUCCCGGUGUGAGUGACUUAGCAUAACCCAAGCUAUUUGUGACUCUAUCCAUACAUGAAAUCCUAAAAUACCAUUACUGCUUGAGACACCGAGAUUGUCCGGAGCACUGAACUGCCUGAAACAGUGAACUGCCAGAAACAAUAUGAUGCGCCAUGGCUGCCUUCUAAAACCUACCGAGACCUCCCUGGUCUCAAUUCGUUCACCAGUCAUCUGAAAUAUCGGGUUCCGGCCCGGUUGCGGAGCCAAAGGACUCCCACGUGGUCGUUCCAUACAAUUUUCGAACGAAAUCCUUGUCUGUUAAUAGUUGCCAUUAGUUAUAUUGCCACUAUAGAUCUAACGACCUCCUGAUCCAUACGAUCAGGUCCAUACGUUGACUCCUAAAUUUACCAAAUCCAAGGCUAAAAGUGAUUGCUACAUAACCAAGGGUAGCCUUAUAUCACAAACGACCUUAAACAGUCCAUCGCUUCCUUGAUCCCCUGACUGCAGUGAUAUUCCUACAGUCUUAUCACCGGCUCAAGCAGGUCUAAUUCAUCUGGGGAAAUCCGUAAACCAAUAUGUGGAUUUGCCACGCCCUUACCGCUGCACCCGAACUAGUGGGUACCACUGUUCCUUCUGCGAUCUAACAACACUCCCAUGCUAUCUACCAACCUAGUGAAUGUUACGGCUACACCUGCAGUCUCACAACACUCUAGCUCUAUCUGCCAACCUUGUGAAUGCUAUGGCUACACCCGUAGGCUUACAACACUCUAGCACUAUCUGGCUACUAGUGAAUGCUACGGCUACACCCACAGACUUACAACACUUUCUCACACUAUAUGGCUGCUAGUGAAUGCUACGGCUACAACCGUAGACUUACAACACUCUAACAAUAUCUAGAUGCUAGUGAAUGCUAUGGCUACCCCCGCAAACUUACAACACUUUCUCACACUAUAUGGCUGCUAGUGAAUGCUACGACUACACUCGUAGACUUACAACACUCUAACACUGUCUAGCUGCUGAUUACUAAUCUGAACACAUCCAACGUUGAGCGUACACCUGACCUCUCAUCCCAAACUGAACUCAUAUCCUGACAGGAUUCACCAACUUGAUUCCCUAAGGCUUGCUAUCAAACAUUCAGAGAACGCAAUCUCAUUAUUGGCAAAUUUUUCCGAACUUCCAACUCACACUAUCCUCGAUCCAUAUAACUGCUCGGGCUGUCUUCCUUGAUGACAAGGAUGCGAAACUUAUCCCAAUUUCAAAACUACUACUACUUCUGAAUCCCUGGACGAUUCUCCCCCACUUAGAUUUGACUAAGUCUUCGUAAUACAUGAAAAUUGGAAAAUUCCCCAUCCUUCUCACUUUCCAACAAUCAAUCCAAUGACAACCAACUCUUACCAACUAGUACUCCAUUACUAGUCAAUCAAUAACGGUUACUAAGACAACUAAAUCCUGUCGAUGUUGGAUAACCAUCCUGCGGAACCCUGACUGCAGACCUUCCAUAGAACACUCCUGAUCCGAUCUCGACCAUAAACUAAGCUGACACUGUACACUCCCAACCCCACAAUUAGGGAAAUAACCUUUCGCUACCCACUAAUAAUUCUCGGUAUGCAAUUGGCAUAUGACAUCUCUUGGAAAUAUAAUUCAAACACAGACAGGGGAUAAACCCAGAGUGACACUUACUCAAACCCUCGGAACGAAAGGCAUCCAUCGUGCAGUUUCCCGCAAGUGUUCCACCGAAUCUGGCCCUGCUGGCCUCUUUAAAGUUGAUCCUAAAUCUUGGCUCUAUUUCCAAGGCCCUUCAACAUAUGCAACUAAUCUGGUUCCCUCUUCACAAUGUGCUCCAAGUCAAUAUCCCAUUGUAACGACCCAAAAAUUCUUCUGUCAACGAGAUUAGUUUCCGUCCCACGAAUAUUUAUUUGUGUAGGAUUAUUUUGGUUUUAUGAUGAUAAAAUAAAAUAAGGAUGCAUAAAAAAAAAAAAAAAAAAAAAAAAAAAAAAAAAGAAAAAAAAAAAAAAAAAAAAAAAAAAAAAAAAAAAAAAAGCGAGUAAUGGUUAAAAUAAUUAAUCGGUAAAAUAUGAAGUUGCUUAAUAUAACCUCUAAGUUGAUAACGUGCGAGAAAUUUGAUGGAUUCUGAUUAUUUUUUCCGUCCCUUUAACUACGUGCAACUUAUGAAGGGUAGGUCGGUUUUGUUUUGGUGGGCUGCUAUUACUCGCUCGAUUUAGUGCAACUAGGUAAAAAAAUAGAUUUUUAAAGAGGUAUGCAAGGAAACAGAUCGGGAAGCAAAGGCAAAGCCAUGGCUGGUGCUUGAAGGUUUCAAUGAAGCAUCGAGGUCCGGAAUUCUCUGGUAAGAUUCUCACUUCCUCUCGUAAAUGGGGUUAUCAUGCAUGUAGUUGUGGCCGAUUUUGGGAAGCAAACUCGAGUGUACGUGUGCGAUUUUCUGAAUUUUGUUCCAUUCUUUUCCAUGAUUUUCUGUGGGUUUUCUUGCAGUUCAAGGGCUGCUAUGAAUCAUCCAUACGGCUCUCUAAACAUCCCCUAGAGGCCUUGAUAUGUGGGUAACUAUGAUGUUGUUUGGACUAACAAAGAUUGUUUCAAAAGUCUAGCUUGAAAUUCCUCACAACUCUUGGUAGUAUUGUUUGUAUCUUUGGUCUCCAAAACCAUGACUUGGAGGUUGAAAUAACAAUUGUGAAUACUACAUAAUGUGUGUCUAAAGUUCACUCAAAGUUCAUCCCUACAUGUAUCUUGAUUUUGAACUAAUAAAAGUCUUUAUUGGUGUAUGUAGAUUUUUGGUGUUUGGUGUAUAAGGGCAUCCUACAUUCAAUAAUCUUUUAGUCAAUUCUUGGUCUUUUCAUAAACCACUUAAUUGAUGUUUUAAUACCUUCAUUCAAUCUUUUGGUGUGUUAAAUCGUGUGGCUUUAAUCCUUUGUCCAAGGUCAUGAAUCAUAUGGUGAUUUUUGGCAAUUAUUAGAAAUCUGCACAGCAACUUUUCCCCAUCUUGCGAGGGCUGUAGCUGAGAAUAUGACCAGAAUUGGCCGAUACCCCUCUCUGGAUAAAAUGUAGGAAAUCGAGUCUAGUUUUCAAAAAGUAUAGAUUGAGAUCAAUUGGAGUUACGGAUUCUGUUUUAUGCCCAAAACACUGAAAAGUGGUCAAGAUGUGAAACUUUAAAAAAAAUAUGUAACCCAUUAAGAAAUUUAAAGGUGUUAAUGAAACUUGGACCCUAUUUUGAUGAUUGCUUGGUAUGUGUGAUUAUUAGGUGAAAAAUUGACAACUUCAAGAAGGGUCAAGGCUUGAAUUAAAAAGGAGAACUCGCUUCAAACAUAAGGUGAGUCGACAAUUUUUGUUGACUUUAGUGCAUAACCGAAAACCACAUCUCCUAGGUGGAUUGUUGAUGCAAAUUAGGAAUCAUGCUAGAUUUAUAAAUGCUUGUGAUAAUUAUCGAAAAUAUGUUGUUUGUAUCUUAUGUGUUGUUAUUCCUUGGUAUCAGUUGAUAUGGUGAUAUUCACGUUAUGUGAUAGUUGUAAAUUGCAUGCGCAUAUGAUGUUUCAUGAAUUGGUAGUUGUAUGCUAAAGUAUGGUGACAACUUAAUGAACUUCAUUAGAUGAUAAUUGCUCGUUUAAACUGUAUGUGAAACAUGAUUAUUUUGGUGUAUGCAUGCUUUUGUGGGGUAUAAUGGUGAUAUGGGUAGAACCUUGCAAGUCUAAUCGGUUGAAAGAGCUUAAGCCAUAAUGGUGAUUACUUACACGGUCUUUGUAGAUGGUCGUGUGACACGUGGUUCGUGUGCACCUCGGUGUACAGGAACUAGAGUGGUGUUGGCUUUAUGGUGUGGCCGGAUCAAACAUCACGUAGGAAUCGGGAGGUGUAUCGAUAGAAUUGACACCGUUUGUACCGAUCCUGAACGACACCAUAAAGUACUUGUACUUUGCAAGUCGGAGUAGCGAAAGUGGAAGUCUUGGGGUUAUUGUAUUCGGGUGGAAGUCAUGAGCCACUUAGAGCACUAAACUGGCUAAGCACAUGAGUAGUGAACGGGGUUAAGUUGUUGGGUAGACUGUCCCUAAGGAACCCCCAAAGUAGUUAAUCAGUUGAAUUAAAAAUUACAUAUAAUAAACAGUGAAUUAAAUUAUAUGUAAUAAUCGGUUGAAUUAAGUUGAAAACUAUAUGAUUGAAAUAAAUUAUGAUACCAUGUUAUUUGUUUUUCUGGACUAUGUUAUUAUCACAAUUUGCAUGGAUGACCCUUAUGAGAAUUGUGUGUUUUCUUUUUGGUUGUGUACAACUUGUCGGCUCACGUGGCGGUUGCUAACAUUUGUUUCUUUGCUGGAUGCCUUUUGAUUGGUACAGGUAGCUUAAGAGCAUGACUUAGUGAGUUUGGGUUCCUUUGGGUAGUUAGUUUUAAUAAAGAUGCCACUUGAGCACGUUUGGUGUUUAUUUUCCUUUGAACCUCUUUUUUCAAUAAUUAAAUGGUUGAAUGCUUGGUUAUGAAAAUGGUAACGUGUGGUUUUGAAAAUGUUUUGAAUUAAAAACAAAGUCUUCCUCUCACGUAUUCUGUUAAAUAAAUGUUUUAAAAAGAAAAAAGUUAUUGUGGUGAAAAUCAUGACAUUAUACCCAUUCCCAGGCUCCAGAAGUCAUAUCAUUCAGUGUCUCACACCCCAAGAUACUCACAAUCUCCCUGCUAUCAUUCUGAAGUAUGUCAUGAUACUUUACCUUCUUCAUUUCCUCAUCUGUUGCAUACUGCGGUAGCAACUAAGCUCUCUCCCGAGACUUGGCAGUGAUCUCUGCCACAGUCUCAGUAGUAUGGCGGAGAUCUAACAACUCGCACGCCAAUUGUUGCGCCUCAAUCGCCUGAGCAAACUCCACCCAGAAUUUGGUCGAAAAGUCAUCCCAUGACACAGCGUCGACCGCAUCAUCACCCAACUCACUACCAACCUCUUCCCAUCAAUCACGCCCCUGUCCUUCAGGAAACAUGAAGUAAAUCGGACCUUGUCCCUCUCGUGCAACGGUUGGUACGAAAAGUGUUAGCGACAUCUACCAAUCCCUCUGUUACUAGCUAUGGGGUCCCUAGCCCCAUGAUAAUCUGGAGCUUCACAAGCUCUAAAUUCCCGAAUCAUCAACGUACACGUCCUUAUCAUGGUUGCUAUCUCAGUGCAGAAUGCACUCAACCUCUCAUCACAAAUCUCUAAAGUUUCAUCCUUGAUCAUACCGAAGAUCACAGGAGUCUGGUAAAUGAUAUUGUGCGUACUCUCAGAUGUAAUUAGCUCCCUCAUCUAACCAUCAAGCUGCCCGGUUCCAGAGUCCGAGCUUGAUCCCUUUCCGGCACCAAAUCUGACAUCUGGUCUACCACAUAGCAUCACCAUACUCAAGUAUACUAUAACAAUAUCAGAAUACUCAUCAUAAAUCAAGGGAUUACACACACUACAAGUUCCCUGGGUUUGUCUCAGCCUUCCUUGAUUUGAGUAUGGAUCCCCUACUUUCAGUAGUACGAUCCCAUAUUGUUGGAUUAGUGUCUAAGGCUGUAACUAUAUUUGGUAAAUACUUGACCCGAUUGUGCAUGGUCCUUUGGGGUUGCCUUCACCAUAGCAACUUGACAGGGUGAUUUGUAUAGAGAGAAGAGAUAUUAUUAUUAAUGUAUUAUAAGAAUAAUAUGUUAAAGGAAUAAUAAUAUUUUUUUGAUUAAUAUAUAAGUCAUAAAUUAAUUAGGAAUUAAUUUGGUGACUUAAAGAGAUUAAUUGAAUAAAGGGGCAUAAAUUGUCAAAUGUGUGAUAGUUGUAUUUUGGGCUAAGGAUCUUUACGGAUAAAGGGGUGGACGAUUUUAGGGAUAUGGAUCUCCUAGAAAUCGUCCAAGGCUUAUCUAGAAUGAUUUUUGGAUUGCUUUGAGGCUAAGUUAUCCAAUUAGGGUUUAAAGUGAAACCCUAGGAGCUCACAGUAUAAAUAGGCCCUUAGGGUUCAAGAAAUCGGCCAUGUUUGAGGAAACCCCUAGAGCCGAUUUCUCACCUCUCUCCUUCUCUUAAAUCAUCUUCUUGAUAGUUGGUGUUUGUAAGCCAUUAGAGGAGUGACAUUUGUGACUCUAAGCUCCAAGAAGAAUAAGGUUUUCAAGCAAGUAACUCAAGGUAUUAUUCUAGAUCUGUUUUCAUAUGUUAUGAUUGUUAGUUUACAUUAGAUCUAGCCAUGAAAGUCUUGGAUAUAUUUCAUGUUCAAUUAGAGAAACCUAGAUCCAAGCUAUAGGGUUGUAUGUGCACAUAGGAAAGUUCUUAUGUCUAAAACCCAUUAGUGGUAUCAGAGACAUGAUUGGUUUCAAUUGAAUGUGAUGCUUAAUUGAUUUACUUGCUGAAAAUAGUUUUUCCUCACCUGUGUCCGACCCAACUCGGCGAGUCAGUGUCUAGACUCGGCGAGUUGGCCCUACUCGACGAGUCCAAAGCUUGAGUCGGCGAGUCCCAGCGUCAGACAGAGGAUAAUUCGGGAUUUUAUUGCUGUUUUGUCUUGGAUUGAUACCUAAAUCGUUUUAUUAUGUAAAAAUCCGAAUUUUAACCUAAUUUAAUGAUUAUCCUUGACAUAACAAUAGAUAAUUUCAAAUCUUUUGAAUAUUAAUUAUUUAUAUGAUAAAUAUGGACUAUUUAAGAUUAUUUGGUAAUUAUCUAAUGACUAAAAUUGAAUUAGGUCAAAUAUAGAUAAUUAUGAAAUUAAUUGUUUAAUUUGAAUUAUUUGUUAUUUGAUCCCUAUUGUUUUGAAAAGUUCAAUAUUUAUCCCGAAGUUUUGAAAUUUGAAUUUGGUGAUUAAUAGUUUAAUUUAGAAGAAUUUAAAUUUCAACCCCUAGAAUUUUACAAGUUUAAAAUUCAACCCUAUACUAUUAUAUUAUUAAAAGCUUAAUAAAUAUAUAAGUAAAAUUAAAAUGCUAGUCUUACCGUUAGUAGGCCUCAUUCACGAAGCCGGUCUAUAAGGUGGGUAUAAGGUUGCUGCCUAUAAAAUGGCGCUUAAUGGGUGUACACUCACACCCACNNNNNNNNNNNNNNNNNNNNNNNNNNNNNNNNNNNNNNNNNNNNNNNNNNNNNNNNNNNNNNNNNNNNNNNNNNNNNNNNNNNNNNNNNNNNNNNNNNNNNNNNNNNNNNNNNNNNNNNNNNNNNNNNNNNNNNNNNNNNNNNNNNNNNNNNNNNNNNNNNNNNNNNNNNNNNNNNNNNNNNNNNNNNNNNNNNNNNNNNNNNNNNNNNNNNNNNNNNNNNNNNNNNNNNNNNNNNNNNNNNNNNNNNNNNNNNNNNNNNNNNNNNNNNNNNNNNNNNNNNNNNNNNNNNNNNNNNNNNNNNNNNNNNNNNNNNNNNNNNNNNNNNNNNNNNNNNNNNNNNNNNNNNNNNNNNNNNNNNNNNNNNNNNNNNNNNNNNNNNNNNNNNNNNNNNNNNNNNNNNNNNNNNNNNNNNNNNNNNNNNNNNNNNNNNNNNNNNNNNNNNNNNNNNNNNNNNNNNNNNNNNNNNNNNNNNNNNNNNNNNNNNNNNNNNNNNNNNNNNNNNNNNNNNNNNNNNNNNNNNNNNNNNNNNNNNNNNNNNNNNNNNNNNNNNNNNNNNNNNNNNNNNNNNNNNNNNNNNNNNNNNNNNNNNNNNNNNNNNNNNNNNNNNNNNNNNNNNNNNNNNNNNNNNNNNNNNNNNNNNNNNNNNNNNNNNNNNNNNNNNNNNNNNNNNNNNNNNNNNNNNNNNNUUUGCAUGUUGGAUUACAGUAUCCCUUUUCUAAUAUGUAAAUAAUGUUGUUGGGUCCUAGCCCUAAUUUUUCAUUUUGGGUGUUUCAUUAGGGAUCCAAUUCUAAUCAGACUUCGUCCUUUUUAUUUGUAGAUUCAAACGCAANNNNNNNNNNNNNNNNNNNNNNNNNNNNNNNNNNNNNNNNNNNNNNNNNNNNNNNNNNNNNNNNNNNNNNNNNNNNNNNNNNNNNNNNNNNNNNNNNNNNNNNNNNNNNNNNNNNNNNNNNNNNNNNNNNNNNNNNNNNNNNNNNNNNNNNNNNNNNNNNNNNNNNNNNNNNNNNNNNNNNNNNNNNNNNNNNNNNNNNNNNNNNNNNNNNNNNNNNNNNNNNNNNNNNNNNNNNNNNNNNNNNNNNNNNNNNNNNNNNNNNNNNNNNNNNNNNNNNNNNNNNNNNNNNNNNNNNNNNNNNNNNNNNNNNNNNNNNNNNNNNNNNNNNNNNNNNNNNNNNNNNNNNNNNNNNNNNNNNNNNNNNNNNNNNNNNNNNNNNNNNNNNNNNNNNNNNNNNNNNNNNNNNNNNNNNNNNNNNNNNNNNNNNNNNNNNNNNNNNNNNNNNNNNNNNNNNNNNNNNNNNNNNNNNNNNNNNNNNNNNNNNNNNNNNNNNNNNNNNNNNNNNNNNNNNNNNNNNNNNNNNNNNNNNNNNNNNNNNNNNNNNNNNNNNNNNNNNNNNNNNNNNNNNNNNNNNNNUGUGACAUCCCCAAUUUCACGGCCAGAAAAGACCGAUUUGUUUAUGCUUUGUUUUUAUAAAAUCAGAGUAAUCUUUUGAUUAAAAGAGUUGCGGAAUUUGUUCCCAAAAUAAAAUAUGAUAAAAUUUAUCAAAACGUUUCUCAAAGAGAAUGUAUUUUCAUUAAAUAAUAAAACCUCGGGAUGUCAUGUUCGAUACAGACCAAAAGCAUAAACAAUAUAAAAUAAACCUUACAACAGUUAUUUAUAACUAUUGAUCUAUAAUCCAAAAUCUCUACUCAAGUCAACCAACUUAUACUCUUGUGCCAUCACCUGUAAUGUAAAGAAAACUGAGUGGGUCAGGCUUGGGAGCCUGGUGAGCAUAUAGGGUUUUCAAUCCACAAUAAUAUAAUUAUUAUAUUUAAUCAGCAAACAAUCAACCCAAUUACCCAUCCCGAUUAUCUUGUUAAGGUUUUACCCUAAGAACCAACUAUCCUUCACACAUUUAUUCCUAAGGAAUUGGCACGAAAUCCAUUGCUGCCAAAGUUUAUUUAUCAAGUACUAAAUCCAUAGUUAUCAGGCGCUAACUCCAUAGUCACCAAGGUUCACUUUAACAAGCGCUAACUCUAGUCGCCAANACAAGCGCUACCUCCAUAGUCGCCAAGGUUUAUUCAACGUGCGCUAACUCCAUAGUCGCCAAGGUUUAUACAAUAGGCGUUAACUCCAUAGUCACCAACUAUCCCAUCUACCCAAGUUCUACCCAACAUUUUCAUAUAUAUAAAUACUUACACAGUUUACAUCAUUUAACACUAGUAUACAACAUCAAUUCCACGUCCAUCUCAAAUAGACAAAUAAUAUAUAAACACAUAGCACGUAUUUCAUAGCAAAUACUUCAUAUUUAUGUGUUAGAAGAAAGUAACUACACACUCACUUGAUCAGAAGAUGCUCGGACAGCACUACGGCUUAUAGAAGUAUUAUUCUUCGAUAGAUCUGGAAGAUCUUCACAAAAACCGGACUCCUCGCGGGCAGAGCUUCGGCUUAGGAAUUUCACUUCUCGGGAUCUUCGGGGCCUCGGGACUUGCUUCGGGGCUCAGGAAUGAUACCGGGGCUUCAGGAUAAUUCUUGCACGAAAAACGAUGCAAAAACGCGAGAUAAAGGGAAGAAAUGAGCAAAGAAGUCGGUUGCCCUCGACACCCUUUUAUAGGGGGAUGGAAACCCAUUUACGCUGAGCGUAAAUUUACAUUACGCUAGGCGUAAUGUGGAUCAGAUCGCUGACUCCCCCCAUGGAUAAUACCGGUUAAUUUAUAAUUAAAUUAAAUAUCGAAAAUAUUUAAUAAACUUCAAAAAUUCAUAUCUUCCUCAUACGAACUCCGUUUUUGACGUUCUUUAUAUCCCCGCGUAGGUGAGACUACGCUCUGCAACUUUCGUUUAGACUCCAUCGGCUAAUUUUGAAUUUAUUUUUAUUAUUUAUUUUUAGUAGGCCGGGACAGGAAAAUUCCGUUAUAAAUUUAUAACUUCUUCAUCUGAUGUCCGUUUUCACCUAUCUUUUUAUCGUUUCACUACUAUUAAUGAGAUCUUCGAUUCUCAUUUAGAUUGUUUCGGCUAAAAACCGCUCGAUCUCAAAUCGAGUAUUCGGGCUGCAUACCGCUAAGUCAAAACUUAGAAAAAUCAUAACUUCCUCAUACGAAGUCAGAUUUGGACGUUCUUGUUAUGCAUGCUCACGGUUUAACAUAUUCUACAACUUUCGUUUAGAUCCCUAAGGCUAAAUAUCGCUCUAACGUAAAUUCACCUCGCGUUGUGUCGUGUCGGUUCUGUCGUGAAACUUCGACGGGUCAUAACUUCUUCGUUAUAACUCGGAUUUUGGCGUUCUUUAUAUGUACGGAAUCCUUGUAACAUAUACUACAACAUAGUUAAGAUUAUUCAUUCUAAAUAAUAUUUUAUCAAAAAGUCAUUUUUGACGCUUAUCGUCUCUAAAUUGACUAGCCCUGAUCUACGGGCGUUACAGUCACCCUAAGCAAAUUCCAAGGUCUCCUGUGGACUGCUGAGAGCAACCUUAAGGAUAAGUCUGUUGCACCAACUCCUGCACCAACCGCUGCUCCUGUUUUGGCUAUAGGGCAGGGAAGGGGAAAGAAGAGGAAAGCUCCGUCAAAGAGCCACCGCAAGGGAAAGUCUCAAGAUGGUUCCUCUUCUAGUGGGACCAAGGUUGAUCCUGCUAAGCACAACCUUAACCCGGAGGAGGCAGAGUGCCAUCAUUGCCACAAAAUAGGGCAUUGGAAGAGAAGCUGCCUAGAAUAUCUUCAAGCCAUCAAGUAUGGAAAGAUCAAGCCAUCUUUUGUAGGUAUAUACACAAUUAAAUCUAAUAAUUCAUCUCAUACUAUUUCUUGGGUCCUUGAUACAGGAUGUGGUUACCAUAUUUGUUCUGAUUUGCAGGGACUAAGAAGAGAUAGAGAUGUGGAGCAAGGAAGAAUAAAUCUAAUCAUGGGAAACAAAAGAUCGUCGCCUGUCACCAAGAUUGGAGUGUAUUCUUUAGUGCUUAGUAAUGGAUUAGGUUUAGAUUUAAAUAAUUGUUGCUACUCGCCAGAUAUGGCAAGAAACAUCAUUUCAUUUCAUGGUUUGUUUAGACAAGGAUUUAGAUAUUCAUUUAACAAUAUGAAUGGUUCUAUUUAUGCUUAUCUAAAUGGUGUUUUAUACUUUCAAGCAAUGCCUUGUAAUUGAAUUUAUGAAACUUUUAUGGUUGUAGAUAACCUAGGAAAUGAUGUGUUGUGUAUAGAUUCUUCCAAUAGUAUGGAUAAAGCAUCUUUGUGGCAUUGUCGUCUUGGACAUGUCAACAAGAAACGCAUAGCCCAACUCCAAAAGGAUGGAGUGUUGGAGUCAUUCGACCUUAGGGAAGAUGACACGUGCGAAUCUUGUUUACUUGGAAAGAUGACCAAGUCACCCUUCACUGGCACUUGUGAGAGGGGUGAGGGUUUAUUGGAUCUCAUACAUACCGAUGUAUGUGGGCCCUUUAGAUCCACCACAAAGGAUGGAAACCGCUUCUACGUGACUUUCACCGAUGAUUAUAGUAGAUAUGGGUAUAUUUACUUAAUCAAGCACAAGUCUGAAACGUUUGAAAAGUUCAAAGAGUUCAAGAAUGAAGUGGAGAAUCAAUUGGGCAGGAAAAUCAAGAUGCUUCGAUCCGAUCGAGGAGGAGAGUACCUAAGUCUUGAAUUCCACGACUAUCUCAAGGAAUGNNNNNNNNNNNNNNNNNNNNNNNNNNNNNNNNNNNNNNNNNNNNNNNNNNNNNNNNNNNNNNNNNNNNNNNNNNNNNNNNNNNNNNNNNNNNNNNNNNNNNNNNNNNNNNNNNNNNNNNNNNNNNNNNNNNNNNNNNNNNNNNNNNNNNNNNNNNNNNNNNNNNNNNNNNNNNNNNNNNNNNNNNNNNNNNNNNNNNNNNNNNNNNNNNNNNNNNNNNNNNNNNNNNNNNNNNNNNNNNNNNNNNNNNNNNNNNNNNNNNNNNNNNNNNNNNNNNNNNNNNNNNNNNNNNNNNNNNNNNNNNNNNNNNNNNNNNNNNNNNNNNNNNNNNNNNNNNNNNNNNNNNNNNNNNNNNNNNNNNNNNNNNNNNNNNNNNNNNNNNNNNNNNNNNNNNNNNNNNNNNNNNNNNNNNNNNNNNNNNNNNNNNNNNNNNNNNNNNNNNNNNNNNNNNNNNNNNNNNNNNNNNNNNNNNNNNNNNNNNNNNNNNNNNNNNNNNNNNNNNNNNNNNNNNNNNNNNNNNNNNNNNNNNNNNNNNNNNNNNNNNNNNNNNNNNNNNNNNNNNNNNNNNNNNNNNNNNNNNNNNNNNNNNNNNNNNNNNNNNNNNNNNNNNNNNNNNNNNNNNNNNNNNNNNNNNNNNNNNNNNNNNNNNNNNNNNNNNNNNNNNNNNNNNNNNNNNNNNNNNNNNNNNNNNNNNNNNNNNNNNNNNNNNNNNNNNNNNNNNNNNNNNNNNNNNNNNNNNNNNNNNNNNNNNNNNNNNNNNNNNNNNNNNNNNNNNNNNNNNNNNNNNNNNNNNNNNNNNNNNNNNNNNNNNNNNNNNNNNNNNNNNNNNNNNNNNNNNNNNNNNNNNNNNNNNNNNNNNNNNNNNNNNNNNNNNNNNNNNNNNNNNNNNNNNNNNNNNNNNNNNNNNNNNNNNNNNNNNNNNNNNNNNNNNNNNNNNNNNNNNNNNNNNNNNNNNNNNNNNNNNNNNNNNNNNNNNNNNNNNNNNNNNNNNNNNNNNNNNNNNNNNNNNNNNNNNNNNNNNNNNNNNNNNNNNNNNNNNNNNNNNNNNNNNNNNNNNNNNNNNNNNNNNNNNNNNNNNNNNNNNNNNNNNNNNNNNNNNNNNNNNNNNNNNNNNNNNNNNNNNNNNNNNNNNNNNNNNNNNNNNNNNNNNNNNNNNNNNNNNNNNNNNNNNNNNNNNNNNNNNNNNNNNNNNNNNNNNNNNNNNNNNNNNNNNNNNNNNNNNNNNNNNNNNNNNNNNNNNNNNNNNNNNNNNNNNNNNNNNNNNNNNNNNNNNNNNNNNNNNNNNNNNNNNNNNNNNNNNNNNNNNNNNNNNNNNNNNNNNNNNNNNNNNNNNNNNNNNNNNNNNNNNNNNNNNNNNNNNNNNNNNNNNNNNNNNNNNNNNNNNNNNNNNNNNNNNNNNNNNNNNNNNNNNNNNNNNNNNNNNNNNNNNNNNNNNNNNNNNNNNNNNNNNNNNNNNNNNNNNNNNNNNNNNNNNNNNNNNNNNNNNNNNNNNNNNNNNNNNNNNNNNNNNNNNNNNNNNNNNNNNNNNNNNNNNNNNNNNNNNNNNNNNNNNNNNNNNNNNNNNNNNNNNNNNNNNNNNNNNNNNNNNNNNNNNNNNNNNNNNNNNNNNNNNNNNNNNNNNNNNNNNNNNNNNNNNNNNNNNNNNNNNNNNNNNNNNNNNNNNNNNNNNNNNNNNNNNNNNNNNNNNNNNNNNNNNNNNNNNNNNNNNNNNNNNNNNNNNNNNNNNNNNNNNNNNNNNNNNNNNNNNNNNNNNUUUGAGCAUGGUCAGUAGAUAUCAAGGGAAUCCUGGUAGAGCGCAUUGGAUUGCGGUCAAGAACAUCCUUAAGUACCUUCGGAGGACCAAGGAAUGGUUUCUAGUCCUCGGAGGGAGUGAUGACUUAAAGGUGCGAGGGUAUAGUGACGCCAUUUUCCAGACUGACAGGGACAACUACCGUUCGCAGUCGGGAUAGGUCUUUACCCUUAAUGGAGGAGCGGUAACGUGGAAAAGUUCCAAACAGGAAACUGUAGCCGAUUCAACGUGUGAAUCAGAGUACAUUGCCGUGAGUGAAGCGUCAAAGGAGGAAAUAUGGUUGAAGAACUUCAUUGGCGAUCUUGGAGUUGUGCCUGCUAUAAAGGAGCCCAUGGAAAUUUUCUGUGAUAAUAAAGGAGCGGUUGCCUUGACCAAGGAAGCGAGAGAUCAUGGUAGAUCUCGGCAUAUCGACAGAAAAUAUCACUUUAUUAGACAUCGAGUAGAAGAAGGACACCUCGUGGUUAAGAGGAUAUCAUCAGAAGAUAACCCAGCAGAUCCGCUUACAAAGGGACUGAGCAGGGUUAAGCACUUGUAGCAUGCUAGGAGUAUUGGGCUGAAGGAUGAUAUUAGUUUAGAUUAGAUAGUUUUAGAAACAUGUAAUAGGUAAUUGUAAUUGACAUUUGAUGAUUAAAUAAAAGAGUAUUAUUUAUAAGUAAAGUUACUAUCUUAUGUUAAUCGUUUAGCUAUUGUUUCACUUUGCAUGUUUUGACUUCCAGAAUAAUUGAGUUUAUUAAGAAUAAUCGAAUUAUUCAAACUGUCCACAAUCGUUCAUAUGUUGGAAGUAGGUAUGAAUGAAGAUUGUCAUGAAUUGNNNNNNNNNNNNNNNNNNNNNNNNNNNNNNNNNNNNNNNNNNNNNNNNNNNNNNNNNNNNNNNNNNNNNNNNNNNNNNNNNNNNNNNNNNNNNNNNNNNNNNNNNNNNNNNNNNNNNNNNNNNNNNNNNNNNNNNNNNNNNNNNNNNNNNNNNNNNNNNNNNNNNNNNNNNNNNNNNNNNNNNNNNNNNNNNNNNNNNNNNNNNNNNNNNNNNNNNNNNNNNNNNNNNNNNNNNNNNNNNNNNNNNNNNNNNNNNNNNNNNNNNNNNNNNNNNNNNNNNNNNNNNNNNNNNNNNNNNNNNNNNNNNNNNNNNNNNNNNNNNNNNNNNNNNNNNNNNNNNNNNNNNNNNNNNNNNNNNNNNNNNNNNNNNNNNNNNNNNNNNNNNNNNNNNNNNNNNNNNNNNNNNNNNNNNNNNNNNNNNNNNNNNNNNNNNNNNNNNNNNNNNNNNNNNNNNNNNNNNNNNNNNNNNNNNNNNNNNNNNNNNNNNNNNNNNNNNNNNNNNNNNNNNNNNNNNNNNNNNNNNNNNNNNNNNNNNNNNNNNNNNNNNNNNNNNNNNNNNNNNNNNNNNNNNNNNNNNNNNNNNNNNNNNNNNNNNNNNNNNNNNNNNNNNNNNNNNNNNNNNNNNNNNNNNNNNNNNNNNNNNNNNNNNNNNNNNNNNNNNNNNNNNNNUUGUGCAUGGUCCUUUUGGGUUGCCUUCACCAUAGCAACUUGACAGGGUGAUUUAUAUAGAGAGAAGAGAUAUUAUUAUUAAUGUAUUAUAAGAAUAAUAUGUUAAAGGAAUAAUAAUAUUAUUUGAUUAAUAUAAGUCAUAAAUUAAUUAGGAAUUAAUUUGGUGACUUAAAGAGAUUAAUUGAAUAAAGGGGCAUAAAUUGUCAAAUGUGUGAUAGUUGUAUUUUGGGCUAAGGAUCUUUACGGAUAAAGGGGUGGACGAUUUUAGGGAUAUGGAUCUCCUAGAAAUCGUCCAAGGCUUAUCUAGAAUGAUUUUUGGAUUGCUUUGAGGCUAAGUUAUCCAAUUAGGGUUUAAAGUGAAACCCUAGGAGCUCACAGUAUAAAUAGGCCCUUAGGGUUCAAGAAAUCGGCCAUUCCAUGUUUGAGGAAACCCCUAGAGCCGAUUUAUCACCUCUCUCCUUCUCUUAAAUCAUCUUCUUGAUAGUUGGUCUUUGUAAGCCAUUAGAGGAGUGACAUUUGUGACUCUAAGCUCCAAGAAGAAUAAGGUUUUCAAGCAAGUAACUCAAGGUAUUAUUCUAGAUCUGUUUUCAUAUGUUAUGAUUGUUAGUUUACAUUAGAUCUAGCCAUGAAAGUCUUGGAUAUAUUGCAUGUUCAAUUAGAGAAACCUAGAUCCAAGCUAUAGGGUUGUAUGUGCACAUAGGAAAGUUCUUAUGUCUAAAACCCAUCACAUACUACCUUCCACAUGUAUAUGUACUUUCCUCAAGAACUGCCUCGACUCCACCAGGUCCCUUCUACUACUACUGUUGAUCUCAUGCUAAACUUAUCCUAGGCUUGCCCUAGGUUAAUCACCAUCCCACUCUCCCCUUCAGCUACAUAUGAAGUCCCUGUUAUCUCCCCGUAACUAGCUCGCAAAUACCAUUACAUAUCCCUAAGACUAGAUAAUUCUUCAAACGAGAGGUUCUACCUUACAACAGUUAGACUCAAAUAAGAGCUGCGAAAUAUGGCUAAACCUAACCUUCUGAAAUUAUUUAGUCCUCGCAAUAUGUAACUUAACAUAUUCGUUUACUAAUUAGUAAAAGAUAACUAGAACUCCUAAAAGCACAAAGCAAGCAAUAUUCAAGCAUUGAGUACACGUAAUCAAGCAUAUUCUAAUCAGGCCAUCAGACCAUUGACUAAUAAGUACUAGCAUAUGAUUCAUAUAGUCGAGCAAGAUACAUAUAACAGACACAUAAGGCAUCCUUCUUAGAUCCUUAGUCCUAAUCUUGCAUGCAAUUCUCAUAAAGCUGAUACACAAAUAAUAGGCACAUAAGGCAUCCUCCUUAGAUCCUUAGUCCUAAUCUAGCAUGCAGUUCUCAUAAAGCUAUUACACACAUAUAAUAGGCACAUAAGGCAUCCUUCAUAGAUCCUUAGUCCUAAUCUAGCAUGCAAUUCUCAUAAGCAUAUCAUAACAUAAACUUGUAUGGGUUAUUUGGGAGUACUUACUUGAGCUCGGCUGAUUCCAUACAGCACACCCUUUUAUCUCUCUCAAAGUUUUUCUCUUUUCAAAAUUCUUUUAUUUUUCUCAAAGUUUUUUUCAUAAAAAUGACUUUCUUUUGAAAAUUUUCAUACCAAUUCCUUAGUUUGAGUUCAUACACACCCGAGAGUGUGCCCGAAUCCCUCAAACCAAGGCUCUGAUACCAACUUGAAACAUCCCAAAAAUACAGUCUAAAAAAUUCAUUUUAAAUCAUUAAUAAAAACAUAAUUAUCAUUUGAAAUAUAAAAAUUAUAAUUCGUGUAUCCCAAAAAUAUCAUAACAUCUGUCAAAUUUAUUAGAGUAUAAACAUCCCAGGCUGAACAAAUGGUGUGUGCACUGUCAUCAUCCCGAGCUCUCCUUUUGAAAACCGAAGUACCUAAAAACCGUAAGCAUGAAGCUUAGUGAAUCUCCCCAAAUUACCACAUACCAUACAUAUAACAUGCAACUAGGAGAUACAGGCCCUGCCCACUCUCAUUUGAGAUUCGGGCCCCGCCUACACUCCGUUGUCUAGAAGAUUCGGGCCCCGCCCAAACUUCGUUGUCUAAGAGAUUCGGGCCCCGCUCACACUCCACUGUCUAGGAGAUUCGGGCCCAACAAAACCUGAAAAAUGUAAGCACGAAGCUUAGUGAGUCUCCCCAAACUACCACAUACCAUACACAUAACAUGCAGCUAGGAGAUACGGGCCCCGACCACUCUCAUGGAGAUUCAGGCCUCGCCCACACUCUGUUGUCUAGGAGAUUCAGGCCCUGCCCAGAAUCUGCUGUCUAGGUGAUUUGGGCCAUGCCCACACUCCGAUUUCUUGAAGAUUCGGGCCCUGCCCACACCCCACUGUCUAGGAGAUUCGGGCCCCGCCGACACUCCACUGUCUAGGAGAUUCGGGCCCUGCCCACACUCCACAAGUAACAUGCAUACAAGUAUCACAUAGACGACAAGUAUAUCUACUCCUACUAAGCAGUCAUAUAUCUAUACUUAAAUAAUACUACGAGAUUCGGGCCCCGCGCACACUCGACUACUAUAAGAUCCGGGCCCUGCCCACACUCGAAUGAUAAUGAGAUACGGGCCCCUCCAACACUCACAUACGUAAACAAACACAUACAAGUAACACACAAACAACAAGUAUAGCAAUCCAAUAAUCUGACUGAUAUCUAUACUCUGUUAAUAAUGAGAUACGGGCCCCACCCACACUCAGCUACUAACAUAUCACAUAUACGGGCCGACCUUGGUGCCUUAGACCCGUUCAUACUGAAGGAAACUCAUCUCGCACUGCUAAAGUCCCGUGAAUAAAUCUCGGGCUGCAAGUUGACAUAUUCCCUAGCUAUCAACAUCAAAACAAAACCCAAUUAACCAUUUGGGCUUCCUAUGCAUAACUCUAAAAUCCCCACUUGGGGUAAAAGGACCAUUUUACCCCUAACCUAACUUGGCCCAAUAUUAAGACCCAAACUCAUAUUCUGAAGGCCCAAAAUUCAAAUAAUCAACCAAGGCCCAACUAUGACCCAUCUAUGGCCCAAUUUUCCAAAUUGGGCACAAGACUUUCCAAUGGGCCUUAUCAUAAGGCCUAAUUCAAUACUCCAGUCCUUAUACUUAUUCAUGGAUGGCGCAUCAAUAGUCCAAACAUCUAGGCCCAACAGAAAAGGCCCAACUCAAAACCCAACACAAUUAGGGUUUUCACAUGAAAUGACGGUUAGGGUUAAGUGUUUCUUACUUAACCCGUUAAGGACUUAAUCCAUUAAGUCCCUUAAUAUUCUAGGUAAAUCAUAUAGUGUAAUUGGCCAUAAGCCAAACAUCUAUCCAAUGGUCCAAACGUGGGCCCCGACAAUCCAAAUCAAACAUUUUCUAAAAUUAGGGUUUUCUAAACCCUAUUAGGGUUUCUAACCCAAGCACAUGCCAAUGAAGUCCAAGAUCAAGCUAUUGGGCCGAUUAGGGUUUCACCAUGUCGAGCACCACCCACUACUACCUCGGGCGGUGGUGGUCUACGGCGGCACACAACGUCAGCCACUACCUCACUGUGGUGGUGGUGGCUUUUCCUUCAACCCUUCCGCCAAAAAACAUUUAUACAAGUCCUAUUUUAAUAAACAUACUCAUACUAUCACAUCAUACACACACAACCACCACCAUACGAAGGUUGGUGGUGGCGAAGCGGUGGCAGGAGGCGGCAGCCACCACUACAUGGUGGUGGUAGUGGGUUUUCUGCCAAAAAUACACACAUCCCACACCAUAAAUAUCGAAAACAACCACUAUACUAUAACAUACACCCAUUCAGCCACCUCUUAGGCGACAGGCGUCACUAGAAAAACGCAACAGCGGCCCUUAAUGGCCACCGACGGCGGCAGUGACGAUUCCGGCAUCACACCCACAAAGAACGAGAGAGAAAGAGGAAGGAUAGGUUGAGGGUGACUUACUGUGCAUUCCCAGUGGCUCGCGACUUGCACAACAACGGCACAACGGGUUUUCUCCCGGUCCUAGGCGGUUCUUCGGCUGCCAUGACGUUUCCGGCAAAAGACAUCGUGAUGGCGUUCUUCAUCGACAUUGCAGCGGCAGCGGUCGAACUUUGCUUGCAAGCGGCGCUGAGAAAAUUUCCAAAAACGGUGGUGGUGGAUGAACUCAUCUAGGUUUAAGGUUAGAUGGUGCAACGAGAGGGAACGAAUGGUUCCUGUUUAAUCUUGUGUUCAUACAAACUCAAUGCAUGUUUUACACUUCCAGUCCCUCCUUCUCAUAAACUCUUCAAAACAGAUCCAUAAGUUACCAUUUAGCCCCCAUCACUCCCAAGUCCUUUCAAUUUAGGUCCUAAUAAUUACCAAGCAGCGCCCACUUCUAAAAUCCGUUUUCAAAUUAAAUCAGAAAUUACAUUUUAACCCCAAAACCAACACCCACUAAAUAUUAUAGAUUUUAGGGCUACUAUUCAUUUAUUAAUUUUACUUAUUUAUUUAUUUAAUAAACGGGGUGUUACACUAAGUUUAUGAUACUUUAAUAGAUUUUUGAAAGUUCGAUCUAAAGCUUCAAAUGCAUGUUUGUGAAUCAUGGUUGCUUUAUCCCAAAUGAUCAAUGAGAUUUUUUAUAAUAAACUGGCGAGUUCACUAUCUGGUGAUAUGGAGCAAACAAAAUCCACAUUAAGAACCAAAACAAUUAUAAACCGGAAGUGUGUCGUCUUGCUGCCGGUUAAUAAUAAAGAAGCAAUCCUACUUGAAGCAAUAUUUAAAACAAUUUGAGCAUUACAUCUAACUACGGCAGAUAAUGUCUUCUAAAGAUAGGUUUUACCUGUUCCACCGUAACCAUAGACAAAGAAAACACCUCAUUUAUUAUUCUGAAUUGCAGUCAUGAUGUCAUCAAAAGUGCUUCGUUGCUCAUGUGUUAAGGCAAUGGAAAGCUUAUCAAACUCGUUCUUUGAAACUAAUAUGUCAUAAUCUAGCUCCUUAAUGAUAAGACGAUGGUUUGAAGAAGAUAGAGAAUCACCAUCAAGGAAAUGUAUCCUUAUAUAUUUUUUGAGACUUGAAUUGUUACCGAGUAAAAUUUGUUCAAUCUGAAACAAAAUUAUGUUCUUAAUUUAAUUUUCAUUAAGUGAUAAACCUGCAAAGAAAAUGAUAUAAUAAUUAGAAUCAAUUAAAAAAUAAGUUUGUUUAGAAAAUAAUACUAUUUUUUUAUUAGCAAGGAUAAAUAUAAUUUUAAUUCUGAAAAUAGAUUUAAUAGAAAUAUAUAAUGUGGCAGUCCUAGGAUUAAUAGGUGUUCAUAGCAUACCUUUUUUUUUUUUUUUUGGCUAAAUUUGCUCACUAUUUAAGCCUCUUAAUUUUUUUAGAACGGCAUUUACGACUCUUAAUGACUUUAAUGGCAUAGUUAAUAUCAGUUAAUACGAAACAUAGAUUCGCAUGGCAUUCUUGAAAACAACCCCAUUACAUAAUCUCUCUCUCUCUCUCUCUCUCUCUCUCUCCCUCUCUCUCUCUCUCUCUCUCUCUCUCUCUCUCUCUCUCUCUCUCUCUCUCUCUCUCUCUCUCUCUCUCUCUCUCUCUCUCUCUCUCUCUCUCUCUCUCUCUCUCUCUCUCUCUCUCUCUCUCUCUCUCUCUCUCUCUCUCUCUCUCUCUCUCUCUCUCUCUCUCUCUCUCUCUCUCUCUCUCUCUCUCUCUCUCUCUCUCUCUCUCUCUCUCUCUCUCUCUCUCUCUCUCUCUCUCUCUCUCUCUCUCUCUCUCUCUCUCUCUCUCUCUCUCUCUCUCUCUCUCUCUCUCUCUCUCUCUCUCUCUCUCUCUCUCUCUCUCUCUCUCUCUCUCUCUCUCUCUCUCUCUCUCUCUCUCUCUCUCUCUCUCUCUCUCUCUCUCUCUCUCUCUCUCUCUCUCUCUCUCUCUCUCUCUCUCUCUCUCUCUCUCUCUCUCUCUCUCUCUCUCUCUCUCUCUCUCUCUCUCUCUCUCUCUCUCUCUCUCUCUCUCUCUCUCUCUCUCUCUCUCUCUCUCUCUCUCUCUCUCUCUCUCUCUCUCUCUCUCUCUCUCUCUCUCUCUCUCUCUCUCUCUCUCUCUCUCUCUCUCUCUCUCUCUCUCUCUCUCUCUCUCUCUCUCUCUCUCUCUCUCUCUCUCUCUCUCUCUCUCUCUCUCUCUCUCUCUCUCUCUGUAUAAAAAGGUACAUUGAGCCGUGCCAUUGUAUCCUGUAUCGAUAUACAUAUCGAUCCCUUUGUGGAAGUACUCAGUUUAUCAAGGAUCAUGGGUAAAACACCAAGCUUAAACCUUCUUAAGGGUACAAAAACCAUCGAAGAUACAGUAAAAUAUGUGUGUUUGAAAGAGGGAGAAGGCGAUCAUGAGCAUGAGCCAUUGAGUGCUGGGGCUAGGUUUUUUCAUGAGCCAGGUUUUAAUGUCUACAUCCUCACUAAAAUUGGUUCAAAAUCGUCAUUCGAUAUCGACCGAACUAAAGCCUAUCUGAUUCAGAUGAUUGAUAAAUAUCCUUGCUUCUCUCAAGUGGUGGUAUACUACUAAACUACAGAAUGAUGUUUUUACACCUUCAUAUGCAUUAUAAGCUAGAGUUUAAGAAUUUAACUAUCAUUCAUGAAAGUUCUUUUUUCAGUCUUUCAAUUGUCUGAAAUACUAUUCAUUGGUUGUUAUACAGGUUAAAGAUAAAGAAAGUGGGAGCAUGAAGUGGGUUCACACACAUGUUAACAUAGAUGACCAUCUUAUUGUACCGGAUAUCGAACAAAACAUGGAUUCCUCAGACCAAUUCAUCGAAGAUUACAUCUCAAAUCUUACUGUAUCUUGUAUUGACAACUUGAAACCAUUAUGGGAUGUACACAUCCUCAACACAAGGACCUCGGAUGCACAAGGCACAUGCAUCUUUCGUGCUCAUCAUUCACUUGGAGAUGGUCUCUCAUUUAUGAGUAUGUUGCUUUCUCUUAGUCGAAAGGCCUCCGAUCCUGAGGAAUUGCCUACACUUCCCAUGAAUAUGAAGGCUCAUCAUCAUACCACCACAGCUACUAAUGUUAUUUCCUUUUGUAUGGUUCUUUGGAACACUUUUGUCGCACUUAUGUUGUUUGUGUUAACUACCAUGUUUCUAAAAGACACAGAAACACCUAUGAAAGCCUCACCUGGUGUUGAAGAUAGACAUCGGCGCAUUGUUACUCGAAGUGUUAGCCUUGCUGACAUAAAGUUGGUGAAAAACGCUAUGAAUGCUGUAAGUACGUAUAUAUUUAUUCUUAAAUUAACUUUGCAUGUUGAUGCCCUUUUGGCAAUGAUAUUAUCACAAAUCUUAAUUAUCGAUAAGUUUGUUCGGUUAGCUCUUUUCUGUAUAUCAUGAAAGCAUUAUAUUCUUUUUUGUUAAGCACGAUUAUUUGGGAGAUCUAAGAACACCAAUAUUAAGUGCGUCUAAUGAACAAACGAUCUUUAAUAUUAACAUACGAAAACUUAUAAUGUGUACGUAUUACAAUAUUACAUGUUCACCGAUACUUGUUUUAUAGACUGUGAACGAUGUAAUAGUUGGAGUUAUACAAGCUGGUUUCAACCGUUACCUAAAGCGGAGAUAUGGUGAGCUUCUUUUUAUAUAAAGUACAAAACUUACGAGUAAGAAACUAUGUAGCUGCACAGAGAAUAUGAACAAUAACAAAAUAUGAAACCCUGUUACAGAAGAGAUAAAUAGUCCUGUUCCAGAAAACAUUCUCCUUCGUGCAAUGAUUUCUUAUAACUUGCGAGCUUCUGUGAAUGUUGAUGUGAGUAUUUUCCCUCCUUACUUUUCCUGUAUGUGAAAGAAUGUCUUAUUAGUUGUUGCGUAAUUGCUGAACAGUUUUAUGUCUGUACGAUAUAUACUAGGCUUCUGCGAAAAAUACAAAUGAAAACGAAACAUGGGGAUACAAGGUAGGUUAUAUACUACUUCCAUUCAACGUCAAUCAUAGAAGUGACCCGUUAGACUAUGUACGGGAAGCAAAGUCUACCAUGGAACGCAGAAAAGCUUCUUUAGAACCAUUUGCCACUAGAUUCUUUGCGAAGUCAUUGGUCAAUAAGUUGUUUGGUAUGAAGGUACUUGAUCUAUACAUGUACAAUUGCUUUGCCUAGAGAAAGUAAUUUAUUGAGAUUAAAUAUCCUCUAAUAUAUAUUUCCCUCAUUGUAUAUUCAACAUUACACCUCAUUUGAGCCAUUCUUUUUCAUUAUCUUCCCUUAGUUUCCUCUCUUCUUUUUUCAUUGUCUUUUCUUUUGACCGACGUUUUGAUAUAUAUGAGGGGCUGCAACAAAUAAGCCCUCUAACAACGACAACAAAAAAGAAAAGAAUUUGGAUAUGUAAACAAUGAACAAAAAGAAGAUUCAACCACUUUUCUUCGCUUUCGUUUGUUCCUUUUUCCCAGUUAGUUAAUCAACCUCUUGCGAACGCCCUUGCUCUUGUUGACUGUAAAUCUAUUUUUUUACUUCCCAUGUCUGUGUUGCACGUUGGUUCGCCAUGCAUGGCACUCGUAAAAUUAUAGUUAUAGGGCCAAUGUGUGCAUGUAAUGGUAGUCUAUCACUGAUGCGAAACAGCCAACGACAACCCUUGCUAUAAUUAUCGUGACUCUAACAUUAUACCCUAGCAUACAUAAUCUAAAAAGCUUAUUAAUCGGUAUUAUUUACAAUUUAUUUGUUUUAUUUUAUUGAAUAUAUGGUUAGCAUUCAUUUAUCUAAUUAUUAAGUUAUUUUUAUUAUUUGUUUUCACCAUAAUAACAUAGCUAAUUUAUCAUUUGAGUUAUUUAUUAGUUCUUUUUUUUUUAUACUUAUUAUAAUUUUAUUAUAAUUAUUAAGUUGUUGUUUUUUAUUAUUUUAAUUAUUUGGGUUUUAUUUAUAUAACUAACCUUAACAACCAACAUUAUUUUAUUCCUUAACUAUGAAUCAUUCAGCACUAAACCAUUUAAAAGUUACAAAACAACCACUAAAAAUUAUUACAUAUAUAGAUUGCAGGAAAGUUGAAUCGAAAUGUUUACUACAACACAACAUUUUGCUUCUCCAAUAUGCCUGGACCAAAAGAAGAAAUAUGUGUCCUUGGCCAUGAAGUUACCUAUCUUGCUCCUAGCCUUUACGGGAUACCCAGUGUGAGGACGAUUAAUUAAUUCUUUAAUAGUCACUAAAAUCAAUCUAAUUUGUGAAAGCUUGAAAUUCAUGAUUUUUUUUUUGUUUCAUACAGGGAUUGAUGAUUCAUGUGAUCAGUUAUGUUGACAACGUGACAUUUGUGCUAUCAGCAGAUGAAAAAACUAUACCUGACCCCCGAAGGUUAUGUGACGACCUUCAACAAUCACUGCACCACAUCAAGUGUUCAGUUUUAGCUAAACCAUGUGUAGAGAACUAGGUUUCGAGACAUAUAUGAUUACAACAUUGUGUAUGUAUAAGUGUGUGUUAGAAUGUGUAUGCAUAUUUGUUUGCUUAUUCACAUAUAAGGAUCUCUAGAACAUAUCAAUAGUUUAUUGAGUAACUUACAGCCUUUACCCUUGUGGUUUAUAUGAAAUAAUAGUCUUGCUCCUACUUAUGGAAAAGUAAUGCACACCACUCAUCCUUAUGGAGGGUUUUGGUAACAUUGAUAGUACUCCCUUUAACAACCCUAAAAGAUGGGUUUUCAAACGUUUCAAAAAGACAAAAAUGAUCUUCUACCAGUGCUUCCACCACCACCACUCAUCCACCGUAACUACCACCCACCUACUGUUGGAACUUUGUCCUGUAUAAUACAAUGUGGGACUUGUCCCACAUAGGAAGAAGAGAAAACAUUCUCCCUCUUUAUAAGACUUUUCUCACCCAUUUAAUCAAAUGGAUCAAGUAAUGGGUUAAACAUCUUGGGUUUAGGUUGUGGUGUUGGCCUAAUCAAAUUGAGCUAGUAGAAGGCUUGAAUCUAUUAUAUAUUAAUGGUCAAAGAUAUGGCAAUGGAUGUUGGAGGUUUUCUUGGAUAAUUAAUAUAUUUUUAUUAUUAUAAAUCCGAAAUUAAUUUUAAUUAAUUAAUUUUUAUUUAGUAAAAUUAUGUUAUUUAGAGAGUUAACUGUUUGACAAUUUUUAGCAGUUAGUUUUGGUUGGUAGUUUACAACCACCAUUAGAUGGUUAUAAAUACAUAGAAUCGGACAUAAUUUGAAGACUAAUGAAAACAUGCACUUUCUCUCAAAAAUUCCUUCUUCAUAUCACAAGGGAUCAUGGUGAUGUUCGACAUAUUCAUGAUCUUGUUCUUUAAUUGAUUGUUGUAUCCUCAAGACAGAACCAUUUCAGGGCAAUUUCUGUCUUAGGACACUGCAAUUCGCAGGCCUCUCUCUCUCUCUCUCUCUAUAUAUAUAUAUAUAUAUAUAUAUUCAUAUUUGUGAUUAUGUUGUAAACAUCAACAUUCAAGUAUGUUUUCUAAUUAUGAAUUACAUAUAAAUUUGAUUUAUUUGUGUUUAUGUUUGUUGUAUUUCGUGUUUUGAUUACUUUUGUCAUAACACCUACCACCAUCAGCCUCAUCGCCGCCAAUCACCGUCAACACCACCACUAUCACCAGCAUCACCAGUCACCACAACCAUCAUCACCAAUCACCACCACCCUUAGAACUACCAUGCCACUGCCAGUGGAAAAAAAUCGAAAGAAAAAUAAGUAACUUUUGCCUAUUUCCAUCCACCAUUACAUUCCCUCAUUUUGGAAUUCGUCAACAAUCUACCCUUUAUUCUAGAAAUUUUGUGACUCGAAUUCAUUUUAAAUGAAACCCACUUGGAUAUUGUGAAAAAUAGUUUCAAGCAUUAAAGAGGAACAAUAGGAAAAGUCAUCAAGUACCAAAAGCAACUCGUAUUUUACUAAUGGAAAGUAACAUAGUGCCUUCAGAAAUUGAACAUGGAGUAUAUAAUGAUAAUAAAAUCAAGAGAUCAUAACUCAUAACAGAAAGUAGCAUAGUGUUUUCAUAAAUCAAAUUAGGGAAAAUAUUAAGCCUAUUCAUGAAGAUCACGGGAGUUCUUAAAUAUAUAAAAGUAGAAAAAAAAUCAAUAUAAACUAAAAAUGGAACUCCUAAGCAGCUUUCGUUGUACACGGAGUAUGAAGAAUUGAUGAUUAGUCAUCAUGAUCGCCACAAAUUUUAUUAGAUCUGAUGAUCUACGGAUAAGUUUACUUUAUCUUACCUUUCUGUCGAUUACAAUGUGAUAAAUUCUAGUUUUCUAUAUUGCUAGCUUCAUUGCCUUUUGUCUCCGCUAUGAAACCCUGUUGUGGAAAAGCAAAAUUUAAGACAUAAAAAAUGCAUGAAAUGCGUCGAAAAGAGAGAGAAAGGGAUACAAGGAGAAGGAUAGAUUGUUUAGAGACAGAAGGUGUUAAUGAUAGGUGACUUCGAAGAGGAAAAGAAAGAGCCCAUAGGUGGUUCUGAUGGUCCCGAUAGACUGCUUCUAUGGAAAUAAAUAAAACCUCCCUUGACUGUACAGGGAUGAGAUGAGGAAAAAAUUUUCAAAAUAUUUUAGAAAUCAUGCUUCAGCUUAUCAAUAAUAUCAAUAAAGGGAGUAAAUUAGAAAGGGGUAUAUUGGUAUUUUCAUGAGGUUAAGUCCUACGGACUAUGAGUAUUACCAAAACCAUCCAUAGGGAACAGUGGUGUUACUUUUCCAAAAAAUAGGACCAAGAUUGUUAUUUCGUAUAAACCAUAGGGACCAAGACUAUAACUGUAACGACCUAAAAAUCACGACUAAAAAUUUCCUUUAAAACAUUACUAAAACCAUAUUUAUAUAACCAUAUCAUAAGUCAUAACAUAAAUUCGGAGUAUCAAUUCAAAACAUGUUCUUAUUAUCAGAGUAAAACAUCACAGGCCGACUAACUAUGGUGUGUGCCAUGCGAUCACCCCGAGCUCUUCCUUCCACUACCAGAAGUACCUAAAACCAAAAUUGAAAACCGUAAGCACGAAGCUUAGUGAGUUUCCCAACCUACCACGUACCAUACACAUAACUGCAUACUUCAAAUACUGGGCCUCGCUUGGCUUCGAGCCCCGCUCGGUGUACAUAUCUAUUUCUCGUAGGCCCUGCCUGUCUUUGGGCCCCGCUCGCUAAACAUAUACAAACAUAUAACAUAUUGCAUAACACAUAACUAUGACUACUCUACUGCAUUCCUGUACUAAGGCCUCACCUAUCUUGGGCCCCGCCCCUGUCCUGCUACUGAUGAGUCAUAGAACCCCGUCCACACUCCUACUGAUAGUGAGAUACAGGCCUAACCCACACUGACUCCAUUCCUAACUUGGGCCUCGCCCCUGCUCGGCUACUGAUGAGAUAUGAAACCCCAUCCAUACUCUGCUAAUAGUGAGAUAUGGGACCUCGCCCACACUCACCUCCCUACCAGGCACAUACAGGUAUCACACAGACAACAAGUAUACUCUAUCAUGCAAACCAUUCCUUGGGCACUCGCCCGACAUUAGACAUUGGUCCUGAAUAUCAUAGUAGCAAACAGUGCCUAGGUCUAACCCCCGGGUCUUCCUACUAAUAACUACAUGGGCCGGCAUUGUGGCCGUAGACCUAUUCACACAAAGGGAAACUCACCUGCACUACUGAACUUUGUUGAUAACCCUCUGGCUGCUAUCCGACAACUCUCUGAACCGUUGCUCCACUAGCUCCUCGAACUACCACUACCAAUGAUAGCAAUUAGCCUAACUGUCCUCUUGAAGUCAACUAGGUCAACUCUGGUCAAGGUCCUUCUCAAGGUCAAAGUCAACGGUUAGAGUCAACUCCCAAUUGACUCGACUCGCCGAGUUGUUCUGCCAACUCGUCGAGUCCAUGCUCCUCAAAUCCCAAAACAACCUAGACUCUACUCGUCGAGUCUAGCAACAACUCGACGGGUUCUCCUUCAGCUAUACAUUCGGGACCAUCUUCAACCGACUCGUCGAGUAGUUCUACAACUCGUUGAGUCCAUCUUCAUAAGAUAAGGAGAUUGCCUUGGACUCGUCGAGUUCCUCCUUGAACUCGUCGAGUACUAUGAUCUUCAUGUCCAUUACGGACCCAGUCUGGUUGAAUCCUUUACUAACUCCACCCACUGAUCCGAAUCAUAAACAGGAGGGUUUGGGUUAGCGACCUGGCUCGCCGAGUCCACCUUGUGACACCUCUAUUCUGUCGAUCACAGUCCAUUCCAACACCUUCAACUCAUAGAUACGGACUUCUAAUUCUAGCUUUGCAUGUAAAGUUGCUAACUUUACGUGCAUGCCAGGUGUUAUGAGGCUAGAACCCUUAAUCCAAGCUUCAAAGAAGGCCUAGGUCAUGAAAUGAAGCCAUAGAUGGAAAAAGCUACCCCAUCAGAGCUUCUAAAGCUCAGAAAUGCAUAGAUCUUAAGUCCUUUUUUCCUCAAUGGCUCAAAGUUCGGAUUGACCUUGGAAAUGGUCCAAAUGUGACCAAAUCUAUAUUAGAAAGGGGAUCUAGAUGAUUUCCAGCCAAGGUAUAAGCUUUUUACCUCUAAAUGGAAUGAAAUGUCACCCCAACUCUGGAUCUCUAACUUCUUCUUGCACCACCAAGGUCCUUCUUCCUUCUCCAAGCUUCAAUUCACUCUCAAGCCAAGAACUAGCUCAACAAUGGAGUUGGGUGGCUAGGGUUUCGAGUUCUAGACAAUAGGGGCCGCAAAUGAGCCGUAGGGAAGAGAAUGAGAUGUUUAAAUAGGGCACCAAGUCCCGAAAUUAGGGUUUCCUAACCCAGACCUGACUCGAUGAGUCCACUCUCCGACUCGUCGAGUUGGUCACUUAACCUUGCACACAGAUCCCGCUCCGACUCGUCGAGUUCUUCCUUGGACUCGAUGAGUUGACCCUUUUUGACUUAGGGUUUCCUUUCAUUUUUUAGUCCUUGUGAUUCUGGGUGUUACAAUAACUUACUCUAGUUUAUUUAUUAUAUGAAGUCGAGGAGAUGUUCAAGCAUCUACUAGGAGAAGUAUAUAAAUAAUCAAACUUUUAUAACCUUGUUUCUUAUUUAUAUUCAUUAAAUAAAAACUAAAAUGCAAAUAUGUUGUUGUGUUUUGCUNNNNNNNNNNNNNNNNNNNNNNNNNNNNNNNNNNNNNNNNNNNNNNNNNNNNNNNNNNNNNNNNNNNNNNNNNNNNNNNNNNNNNNNNNNNNNNNNNNNNNNNNNNNAUAUAUAUAUAUUAAGGGUGAUGGGUGACCAUCCCUCCUAAUCUCACAACCUUGAUGUAACACAUGCUCUACAUUAACCUUUUCUCUCUCCUCUUACUUACAACCCUAAACACAAGGAAUUCAACAUUCUCAUCCUAGACCGUUUGGUACAAAUAUGGAUACAUAUGGUACAAGUUGAGUGUAGAGAAAAGAUAGAAGGAGCAUCAUCCUGCUUAACCCGUGAUGGAUGCCAUUUUAUGCAUCCUUUAGGAUAGUUUUUAUUAGCAUUUAGCAUCAUAUUUUACAUAUUUGCAUGUGAUUAGCUUAAACAAUGUUUAGCUCGUAUCUUUUUUCGAAAUUCUCAUACCACUAGCGUUUUUGUGUCACUUUCAGAUAAUCCGAGAGGAGCGGUACUUUGGGAGUAGUUGGAUGCAUCUUUCGAGCCUAAAUGAAGUUGGAACUAAAGAAAGAUGUUAAGGGAUAACUUGGAAUGCUGAAACUGAAGAAUCACAACCAAAUUGUGCCGAAAAGCCAAAAAUGCAAUUGUAUUUUUGGGCAUCUGCGACUGCAUUUGUUGAUCGAGGAUUGUUAAGGUCGAAAAAGUCAUUAGGAGGGAAAGUCACAAAAAAUGUGAUCGUAUUUUACCUUUCUGCGGUCACAUUUCCAUGUCAUAACUAAAAAAUGUCAGAAAUAGUGUUGUACUUUAUUAAACGACGAUUCGGGAGAAAAUCAACAAAAAUGCGAUCGCAUUUUUGAUAUAUUCGAUUGUUGAUUUAGCUACCUUGCUCCAGAAGGUUCCUUCUUGCAUAUAAAUACGACCCUCCUGGUCAGGUUAGAAGGUGAGAUGAUUCCAAACGAUGAAAAACCCUUCUAAAGUCACUUUCUAAUACUUUUUAGCACUUUCUAAAGAUCUAAAGGUUGUGAAUCAUCUCCUACAUUUAGUUUAACAAGAUUAAUCAGUUAGUUUAACUUUUUAUUAGUUUUAAUUCAUUUUUGGCCAUGCCUGGCUAAAAACCCUAGUUUUCAGUACUAUGUUAGACUAGUAUUUUCAUGUGAUCAGUUAUCAGAUUUGGUUUUCAUUGUGUUCUUUUAUCAAGUUGUUUCAGUUUGACUUUAAUGAAUGUUUGGUUUUUAAUUCUUGUUAGUCUUAUGACAUAGUUAGGUUUUAAUCAUUCUAGUUAAUCAGCUAAUAAAAUUCAUAAAUGUUCUUGUCAACUGGUAAUAAGUAACAAAUAUCAUAAUGGCUCCGGGUUGGGAUUUAACUCAAAUAUAAACUGAAAUAUCAUACAUUUACGCUUCCAAGUUUAUGAAAAGUAUUGGGUACCGUUGGGAAUUUUACACAGAUUUUAAUGCAACUUUCCUGAUCUUAAUUAAGAGCUUUUUUAAUUCACUACUAGAAAAAUAGCCUUUUACGACGCGCAAAUUACGACACUCAUUAAUAUAUGUUACGCAAACGAGAGUGACAUUAAAAAAGUGUCAUCUCUUCAGAAAAUUUAAGGAUUUAGGUCACGCAUUAUUGCGUGCCUUUAAAUUAGUGUCAAAAGAAAAAAAAUUAAAAACACGGAGGGCGCUGUACCUUAAAUGCGCGCCCUCUAUAUGUGUCGCUUUAUAAUUUUAAUGAACGCGCAUUCCUUAGUUACAAGCGGGAAAAGAAAUAGCCAAAAAAUUAGAAAAGCCCGCUACCCUCCCUGCCCUAAGCAUUUUCACGCAUCUUUCAUUCUCCUCACACUGUUGUGCACUCUCUUGUAUCUCCCUUCCUUCUCUCUGUAAACCCUAAAUUGCCACCACCAUUGAACCCUAGAAACUCAAUCCAUACUUCACGCUUUCUGUGAUUCUCUCCUCUUCGACUCUCUAAUCUACGAUUUCAGUCUGAAAACAUCUAUAGACCUCCCUGCUUCGAUUAGAAAGCCAAAAAAUUAGAAAAUGUCACAUCAUCGAGCAUGUUGGCGCCGGUACUCUGGUGUGUACCUUGUCACCGUUUUAUAAUUUUUCCAACCCUUUAAUUUUAGCAAACCCACCGGAACCCUAAGUCUUGCCUUUUAUGCAUUCACAUCUUUCAUUCCCUAACCGCCGAUAUUUAACUCACUAUUAGGGCAUUUGGGUAAGAACUUAACGAUUUCACUAUGCCCAUGGCAAGUCUCGCAAAUUCUGCCAUGGAAGCAGCCUCUCGCUCGUUAGCUUCUAAUGAUUGCAGUACCAGAUUCACUUUUUGGAAAAUGGCUACAAAUCGUUUUAGUCAGAGAUGUCGAUGGAAAAAGCCUUUUGGGACGCCUUGAACAACGCAAUUUCAUCCAGAAUUAAAUCAUGAAACGCAUUUGAUGAAACCUUUCUCUCCGAUUUCCUUGGUAUCUUUCAAGAAUGGUGAUUUCACCCAUAAUCUAAUCACUAACGUCUCACAUUCUCUCCUCCCCUCUCAAUUCUAAUGGCGAUUUUGGUUUAUAAUUGUUUGUUUUUAGGCGAUUUCACCCACACCAUCAAUUUAAUGUUAUUUUUUUCGGUGAACAAGCUAUGUCCCGAACAAUGUAAGUGUUUUCCUAGUAAUUUCUUAUUUUUAAUAUUUUCAAUUGUUUGAUGGCUAAUAAUCAUACUGCUUCUACUUAAAAUUCUUGAUUUUAGGUUUCUCGUUCCCAAUAUUAUUUCGGUCCAUAUGACAAAUGGUCGGUUAAAUGGUAAUUUUUUUUGCUUUACAUUGUAUACGUAUCAUCAAGUCACUUGUUUAAUUGAUUUGUGGUAUGAUUUCAUUACCUCAGAGAGUUUAAUGAGACGAGUUAAAUAAGUUGUAUCAUGUUUGAGUAUAAAAUCCCAUAUCGACUCUCUCUAUUCAUGGAUAGCUUGAAGUUUAUACAUCUUUUGUAUAUUCUCUAAAAUCUUGCAGCUAAUUUACUUUUCUUAUUUUAAACCAAGGAUUUAAAUGGAUAGAUGGUUUCAUUUUUUUUAAUUCAAAAAUUGGAACUCUUAUACUCUGUAAUAUUUUUUUUCAGCUGAUUUGAUACAAGAAAUUGACAGCAAACUACCUGUUGUACAGCUUGCUCUUGAGCUCACUCACAAGAUCUUUGGUUCUUGUCCACCUAUGCAAAGUUUUGAUCCAGCCAAGAUGCUCACAGUAAGAUUUUAUUUAACUAUAACAUUGAUGCAAUUUUCCCUUUUUCCUAUUCCUAAAAUGAACUGAUGGUAUAGUAAUUAGGACUACGGGAAGCUUCAAACACUUGAUAUAACGGUUGCAUGCAGGAAAUCAUCAUGUUCUCCUGUUUGCUCGCAAAUCCCAUUUUGGCUCUGUUUUUUUUAAUCAAGUGCUGUUAAAAAAAAUAUAUUUUAUAAAAUGAAAAUGCACUUGAAAAAUGAAAAUGUUUGAUGCUUUCAAGAAAAGAUACAAACAUGUUUGAUGCCUUUUGUCUUUGCCUUUUCUCCUCGUGAAACCAGGGGCUCACAUGUACACACUUCAACUAUUCAACACACACUCACAUACGUAUUUUUAUAUGUAUUUCAACACGUCUUCCCGUUCACACCCUCCAACUGUUUGAUUUAAUGUCCCAGUGAGUUUUUAUUUUCUAUCACUUUUAUUAUUGCUUCUCUCUCUCUCUCUCUCUCAGAAGAAAAAGAAGGGGAGACUCAAUUCAGUGUUUUGAAUUGAGAAGAAAGAAGAAGAUCAAUAUCUGGAUCAAGAUGGGUUUUUGUUUCAGUGUUAGAUUGAAAAUUGAAAGUUCACGUUGUUAUAACUUUUAUAUUUUUGUGAUGAAUUUUUAUAUGUUUGUCUAGAAGAACUUAUACUUCUCAUUUCAUUUUCUUAUCGAUAAUCUGUGGAUGCAUUGUGUAAAUAUAAAAAUAGAACAUAAUAAAGUUGAAUUUCUUCACAUUUUUAUAUUUUUGUGAUGUAUCCAGCUGCAUAAAAUUAAGCAGUAUAGAGAGUAAUAUGGUCUUUUUGAUUAAAAAAAGGGUGUUAUGAUCUUUUUGAUGUGUUUAAACUUCAACAGGUAAAGUUACAUCUACAUCAGUACCUCCAAGCUCUUGGACUCCUAGAAGUCAAACAGAAAUCUUACAAUUGGGAAAUUUAAAGCCUUUUAGCUUCAAUGUACUUAAAUUGGCUACAAGAAAUUUCCGACUCGAUAAUGUUCUUGGAGAAGGUGGAUCUGGGUCGGUUUUCAAAGGAUGGAUCGAUGAACAAUCCGUUAAGAGAUUAAAUCAAGCGAUCUUCAAGGUCUUCAAGAGUGGCUCGCAUGUUCUUAUACAUAAGACAAAUUCAUUCUCGAAUCUUCUUUAUUUAAAUCAAUGAAUUACAACUCAUAAUUUAUUUUUUUGAUCAUGUUGCAGGCAAAAUUAAUUAUUUAGGGAUGUUAAAUCAUCUCCCCCUGGAGACACGAUAUUGAACUUUGGAUCAAAGACAUCAAUACCAUGAAAACUUAGGACAUUUACGUUGGCUUCUUCAUAUCACUUGACUCGUCCUUAUUUGCAAAUCUCUAUUCUUGGCAACAACAGUUGGCUUCUUCAUAUCAUGCUUCCGAAAUUACCCCUGCAUAAUCCUUGGCAGCUAGUAAUAACUUAACAUUUAGUACUUUGACCUGAAAAUUUAAAUAGAAUUUGUGAGCGGGAUGAAUAUAAAGAAAUUUUGAAAAUUAAAGGGCUUUAUACUUGAAGUAAUUGUGAACUAAACGCCCAACUUCAAAUCAUCAAAAUUAUUUAUAAGAUGAUCACAGCCUGUUGGUAUACGAGUUUUUUCAACUUGUUUUUGUCCUCUCCGUAGGCUCCUUUUUAUACUUUUUUAAACUUGUUUUUUUUUAUCAAAAACUUUCCUAACAUAUUAUUUAUUUUUACGUGAAGGAGUUUGGAUUGGGAAUUGUUACUUAAACUAUCAAUGAAAAUAAUGAAGCUUCAAGUUUCCUUUUAAGGUUUUGUAUUACAUUUUUUUAGGUUUGUGUUAUUAUAUACAAAUUGUUCUACUCAAUAAACAAGAUGUUUGCCUAAAAGAAAGAGAAACAUUUGGGAAGGUCUAUGGAAGCUCAAAACAGGCUGAUCAGGCUGUUGUAAGUCCCCUGUAUUUUACAGUUCCUUUGAUAGAUUCAUUCAUAUAAAUCAAACAAAAGCCCUUUGUUACAUUGUUUCUGAUUUGCAGCUGACAGAAGCAUUUGGGAAGUUCUAUGGAAACUCAAAACAAGGAACCAGCAAUGAUAAAUCUCAUGGUGGUGUUCAUGAGAACUGCAUCAAGUAUAUAUCACCAUUCUUACUUUUUUUUUUAUUUAAUUUAUUAUUCUUAAUGUUAAUGUUGUGAAGGCAUAAUGACAUAUAUAUAGGUUCCACUUCAAGUUUUGGUUCGAAGACAAAUAGCUCGGUUGUUGGAUCAUUGUCUUCAAUGUGUUAGACUUGUAUACAAUGAAUUAGUAAAGGUAUUAUCUUUUUUUCUUUUUCUUUUUCUUUUUUUAUAAUUCAGAAUAAAUAAAUAUUUGGGAAAUAUUUCAGAUCACCCAUAGUUGUCUAGUGCAUGAACUACAAUAGUUUCCUGUUCUUAAGAUGCACAUUAAUGACAUUGCUGGGAGUUUUUUGUUUGAAGGUCUUCAACCUUCACAAACAAUGAUUGGACACUUACUAGAAAUGGAGGUAUUAGACCAAAGUACUUCAAUUGCGAUUUUUAUACAUACAUGUUCCUGUUUAUUAAACCAAAGUAUUUAUGGUGUCAGGUUACUUCAAUAAAAACUUGUAGUUGGUAUUCACCAUUGACUAUUGAUUGACUUACUUUUUUCUGUUUGAUGCAGAGUCAAUUGGUAGGGAAAUUGUUAAUUUUUCAAAGUAAAACAAAGGGUUGAUUGAACGAGAGAAAAGAAAACACCAACACUCCAUGGCUAAUAAGAAUAAAAAAGAUAAAGAUAUGAGGAAAAAAGGUAAAACAAACUCGUAUGUAUGAAUAUGAUUUGUAUGGUAAUUAAAUUUAUAGUGUAUGUAUGUUUUGGUUUGCAUGCAGUCUUUGUUUGGCAGCUUGGACAAACUUUGUAGCACCUGAUCGUCCAUGCCACUCUUGGUAAAACAAAUUUAUAGUGUACUUCUUCCAAUUCAUGUUAGUAAUUUCUCAUUAUGAUGUGUUGUUUCUUGUGCAUUUUUAUUUUUAGGAGGUAUUUUACUUUCUUUAAUAUUUAAAGUUACAGGACAUGAGUAUCGGCACAUCAUGGAACAUUUAGGUUAGUUGUUGUUUUUCCUCUUGGUGAUCCAUCAAUGAAGUGGCCAACAUCAUGUAAUAACAUUUUAGGGGAAGAUGUAUGUAUAUGUUUUUUUUAAUGAAUAAUGUAAUCAUAUGUAUGAAUAUAAAAUACAGUUUGUUAUUUGUAUGACAAAAAAUUUUAUGUAAUGGAUAGUAUUUUUUAUAUAUGGUAUUUUAUUUUCUUGUUAUGAGACAUUAAAUGCAAAUUUAAUUUAAAAAUUAAUAAAUAUAUAAAUAUAUUUUUUUUAGAACAUUUAAAAUUAUGAUACGCAAAAAUGUGUGUCAUCUUCAUUUAUGACAUGGCCUUUCUUGACAGGGGCUUCCUUGAUACGCAUUGCGUGUCAUAAACACGCGCGUCGUAAGGUUACGACACGCAAAUGCGUGUCGUCUUCAUUUAUGACAGGGCCUUCCUUGAUACGCAUUGCGUGUCAUAACCGCGCGUCGUAAAUGCGCGUCAUAAAUGAGCGUCGUAAAUGCGCGUCGUCUAUAGAUGACGCGCAAAAGCGCGUCGUCUCUCUUUAUGACAGGGCCUUCCCUGUGUUAUCCAUUAGUGCAAUCCAGUAAUGAUAAAUAUUAUUUGCUUAAAUCGUGCAUGGCAACGGUUUAACAAAUUGGCGUCAUUGUUGGGGACACAGUGUUUCUAAUAGUUUGUAUGUUAAGAACUUUUUGUACAUGUACACCUCUAGUUUUUAUCUAGAAAUUGAGAAAACUGUAAGGAAACUAAAGAAAGAGGCAGGAAAAUGAAAAUAAUCAGUUAGUUUCUUUGGUUCAUUAUCAUCCUCCCUACCACCUGAAAUCACCACACCACAAGGUAGACCCUUGUGGAAUGAAAUAGAAAUUACCAUAGCAUCCUUCCCAAAAGUACCCUCGUAUUCUCCUUCUAACAGCCCCUUUAAAAAAUACUCGCCAGCACCCUCUGAAAUUUCAUAAACACCAGAAUCUUCAGAAUCUAACUCCAGAAAAUCAACCAUCAGUGGAGACGAUGCAAAAAAGACUCUCAGAGAGUAGGUCACCCAAUAGGUCAAUCAACAGCCUCUUUGUAUCACUUUUACAGAAAUCCAAAACUUUGAGCUCAAAUAUGGGCUUAUACACCUUCCCCCUAUUAUGUUUAGAGGCUUAGAAAACGAAGAUCCAUAUAAAUUUCUUAAGGAAUUUCAUGUGGUUUGGUCCAGAAUGAAACCACAUACCAUAAAAGAAGACCAAAUAAAGUUAAGGGAAUUCCUUUUUUCACUUCAAGAUUCAGUGAGUGAAUGGUUGUAUGAGCUCAUCUCCGGUUCGAUCACUCAUAGACUGACCUCGCAAAAUUAUUUCUAAGAAAAUAUUUUCCAGAAACGCAAGUUCGACUCUUCACAGAUAAAUCCUUGGUAUCAAACAAAGAAGAAGAGAAGCCUUACGUACAUAUUGGGAGCAUUUCAAAAAGUUGUUGGUUCAUUGCCCCCAACAUGGAAUCAAUGAUUACCAGCUCUAUAAUUGUUUAUGUGAAGGUGUGAGACCCAUGGAUAAGCGUUUGAUAAAUGCUUCAAGUGGUGGAUCCUUAGGUGAUAUGACACCUACUAAAAUAUGGGAACUGAUAGAAAAAAUGGUGAUUGAGUCUAAACAUUUCGAGAGCGAAUAUGGGUGGUAUGCAGAUCAGCUAAGGGGAGUAAAAGAAGCCAAGAAUGAUUAUCUGGAGUCCCAAAUUUCUAAGUUGACGAAAGUUGUUUUAUUAUUAACAAAGGAAAAAGCAGCUGCAAAGAAACAGUGCAGAAUCUGCCUGAAGACUAGACAUCCAACAUAUAUUUGUCCAUUACUACAAGAGGACGUGGCUUCAGUGACAACUGUCGGAGGAUACCAACAACAUAAAAUUUUUAACUAGCCUCCAAACUUUUAUCAAAAUUGAAAUUAUCAACAGAGACAGCAAUUUCAGCACCCUCUGGGUUUUCAACAACAAAUUUUUUAGCUGAACUUUCAUAAUUAUCCCAAUUAUUAGAAUCAUCAGCAACAGUAAUUUCAGAACCAUCCACUAAAUCAACAACCUAGUAGUUCUAGCAUGGCCUUGGAUGAUAUAAUGAAGAUCCUUGCUACCAACACUCAUGCAUUUCGAAUGAAACCAAAGCAAGUAUAAAAAAUUUGGAGCAUCAAAUGUCUCAGUUUGUCGCUUAUGUGAGUUGAAUGGAGUCUCAAGGAAAACUACAUGCACAAACUGAACACGAUCUGAAGCAUCAAGUGAGCACAAUUUCCUUGAGAAGUGGGAAGAAUUAUGAAAGCCUAAGCAGAUUUGAGCCUGACAGAGAAGAAGCAGAAAAAGAAUCUGAAGAGAUGGUGACUAUAAAUAUGGAAGAAAAAACAACUCCUAAGUAGCUCAAGCAAGUUCUGAAGGAGUACAGGCCAUUUCCAUAAUUCCCAUCACGCCUGAAGAGUACGAAGCGAGAGCGAGAGGAUGUGGACAUCAUGAAAAUCUUUCGUAAGGUGGAGGUAAAUCUUCCACUUUUAUAUGUUAUAAAAGACAUCCUUCGUUAUACCAAUUUUUUCGAGAUCCCCAAAAUGAAACAAGUAAAAAGAAGGAUCCUUACCAAUAGACAUCAGAGCAGUGAUGGAAGAACCUUCUUGGAAGAUAGAGUGGUCAGACUUCAAAGAUCUUUUAGCCUCAAGCAAAGCGAGAAAGCUUUCAACCUUCUCCUCAGUAUCUUUAGCAGGUGGAACAACUUCCUCGAAUUUCAAAAACAUGUCAAAACAAAACAAAUAAGGAUGUGCGAAUUUUGGGAUAUUUAUCAUAAGUAAAUAAAAUCCUAUCCUUUUUAACCUAGUUUAUUGGCAAGAGAUAGUCGUUGGGGAUAGAUUUGUGUUUCAAAAAGAAAAACCUUUCUUUUCCAGACACCAUCUUUUUUUGUUUUGAUUUCAAACUUAAAUGUGAUUUAUUGGUUUUGACUUUGAGCAGGAAAUGAGAAGAUCCAAAAUUUUGAAGAUCAUAAACAUUGUCCAAUUCAGCUAACACCAUGGCAUUGUUUUUAAAUUGAUUCAUCCGAUCGAUCCAAAAAAGGAUCCUUCAGAUCACAUGCAUAGUUUUAAAAUAUAUUUUUUUAUAACUUCUAAGAACUCAGAGAUGAUGCCAGAGAAAGGGUGUGUCAAGCCUAGGGAGAAAGGAUAUUCAGGAAAACAAACCCAAAUAGGAAAGAUAAAGCCAUGUUUGGACUUAAAAUCAAAAGGAUUGAAAAUGACAUUGGCGGGAAAAAUUCCGAUCAAUUUCAAGGACUCAAUGUCGUUAUCAUCAAAAAGAUCAAGUAUCUUCGUAAUAAAUGAUCUUCUUAUCAACGCAAUCCUCGUCGGGAAGAUUAGGGAUGCUCGAGCACGAACGAAGUCCCUUUUUACCCAUGAUCAUCAAACAAGAAAAAUGAUUAGAAAGGAACAAUAACUUUACCUUCGAGGUAACUGAUAACACUUGAAAGAGAUCUAAAAGAAGUAAAAGAAGAUCAAUAACCAUUAACCCAUAUAUAUGCGGAUCAUAGAGGAUAGAAAAGUGAUUUGAAAUACUUGAAAUUAAUAAAAUUAUACACUUUACAUACUUCAAAUUAAUUUAAUUAUUUUGCAGGUUUAAUUUUAGGGGUCAAGAUACUUAAACCUAUACUGGAUCCUAGAUCUUAAAGGAGUCUCAGGAUCCCAAACAUACAUCAGGAUCUUGAUCAUCACCAUUAUUAUUUCGAAAUAAGUUUAACGGUUAAAUUUCUUGUUUAUUUCUGACAUGUGCAGAAAUGGUCGACAUAAGACUCAUUCACAAUGAAGAAACGUUUCAAUCAAGCUUAAGACCCGGAAAAACAAGGUCAUAGAAAGUGAAAAUACCAGUUCAACAAGAUCCCGAAAAUAUAGGAGUUUUAGUAACUUAACCUAGACUAUAUAUACAUCAGAAAAACACACACAACGAACACAAUUAUUUGACACGUUACAAACCUAGAGCUAGGAAAACACUUUGCAUCAUCAUCUCUGUAAUUUACAAUCAAAUCAAUAAGAUCAAACAAGGCAGGUGAUCAUUAUCACCUUCCAAGGUCUUAUAUCGGAGAUGCUAUCAAGGAUCAAGAGCUUUCAUUUUAAACCAAUUGUGUAAUUUUUUCUAAUAACGAUAAUCACUUAACCAACACCACCACCUCUCAUUCACCUUGGUUGAUAUUCAUUUGAUUGAUUUUUUAACCAAAACAAUAACCAAAUGAUAUUCACAUUAAUAUGUACAAUAUAAAAGUACAUUGCCUAAAAUGGUGGAGAAACAAAGUUUGAGCACAUAUAUACUCAUUAUUUCAAAAAUAUCAAAAAUCAACUCUUUAUAUAUAUAUAUAUAUANNNNNNNNNNNNNNNNNNNNNNNNNNNNNNNNNNNNNNNNNNNNNNNNNNNNNNNNNNNNNNNNNNNNNNNNNNNNNNNNNNNNNNNNNNNNNNNNNNNNNNNNNNNNNNNNNNNNNNNNNNNNNNNNNNNNNNNNNNNNNNNNNNNNNNNNNNNNNNNNNNNNNNNNNNNNNNNNNNNNNNNNNNNNNNNNNNNNNNNNNNNNNNNNNNNNNNNNNNNNNNNNNNNNNNNNNNNNNNNNNNNNNNNNNNNNNNNNNNNNNNNNNNNNNNNNNNNNNNNNNNNNNNNNNNNNNNNNNNNNNNNNNNNNNNNNNNNNNNNNNNNNNNNNNNNNNNNNNNNNNNNNNNNNNNNNNNNNNNNNNNNNNNNNNNNNNNNNNNNNNNNNNNNNNNNNNNNNNNNNNNNNNNNNNNNNNNNNNNNNNCACACAUAAAGUUAUGUAAAAAUGAACUUAAAAACAAAUUAUUAUAUUUUUUUAAUUAUUAUAAAAAUAUAACUCAAUUUUACUCAAUUACGAAUUUUAUUAGAUAUGAUAGUAUAGUUGUUUCAUGAUUUAAUAAUCGUAUUAUCGUAAAGUUUUCGUCUUAUUGAAUAUGUAACUUAUUAUCUUUAUUGAAAUUAUCCCUUUCACUUUGGUUGAAACUUGAAAAUUGCUCUAAAUAGAGUCGUUAUGUUGCACAAAUUUUGUCAUGACAAACAUUCAAAUUUGGAAAUAUGAUAAGUCUUGUAAAUCCUAAACAUUAAAAGUCUUUAAUCAAUACUUGUUCGUAAACGACAAAGAAUUGUAAUGUUCUAAUAAACUUAUAAUGGAUAGUUUAAGACUAGAAUGCCUAAAUACAUUGAAAGUAUCGAAAACUCACAUGUUUUUCCAAUAUGAGCAAUGUUCGUUUCUAAAUAAGACUGUAAAUCAUAGUAAAAACCCUCUGCAUUAUAACCAUGUUAAUCCAUAUGGCACGAGAAACGACAUGUAUAUGAUCGAUUGCUUAGAUUUAUAAGGGUAGACAUCCCUGCCAACGAUUGCUAGCUACAAUUAUCAUUUGACGAGUCGAUUUGGGUGUUGACAUUUCAGCUCUACUUUUUACACGGCGUUGAUAAUGCGUUGAUGUGGACUUUCAACAUGCCCCUUUUGUAGUACUAGAGUAGGGGUUUCAUGUCAUAGUUCAGUUAUUAGCUCAUUAUAGACCCUUAAAUCAUUUGGUUGCCGUAGAGAAAUAAAAUAUGAUUUAUACGUGAUUUUGUUCACUUAUACAAGUUGAAAGAGAUUGUAUGUACUGAAAAAUUUGUGACUAAAAAAGAUAAGUGUCAAUUUACAAAUUAAGUCAUAUAAUAGUUAAUUAAUAUUAAGACACGGCUAGAAAAUGUUCUUAAACUUAUAAUUAAUAAGUUUCGUAUACAAAGAACUCCAUUUUUGUACGAAAUCAUUUUGGUGGACGGAUCAUUUUUAACAUAAUUAGAAAGGUACAACAUGAUUUCUUUUUUAAUAUUCAAAAAGCUUUUUAUAAAAUUAUACUUGUGGCUCUAAAAAUAAAUGGAGUCUAAACAUAUAGAAUUCACCAACAAUAUGUUGUUGACGUAUCUCAAUACAUAUAUUAGUAAGGCACAAAUAUUAGUAAGGCGCAAAUAUCUACAUGUGGGUUUUAUGGCAUCCUUAUUUUAUAUAAAUAAUAUUUUACUGCCACUUUGCAUCAAUGGACAUUUGUAAUGAUACUUGAAUUUAUGUAAGAUACAUUUGGUAAUCCUUAAUAUUGAUACUUUUUGCCAUUAUGUUCAUGUAUAUUUUGAUUGUGAUAUUCAAUUGGUGUCGCUCAUCCCGGUGAUUCCACGGUCAGCCAGUGUGACAGUUUGAUGUUGACAACAAAUACAAAUUUCGCAUGUCACCAAAUGUGAAAAUAAUGUCUAUGUUUGGCAAUAUUGUAUUUUUAGCUAUGUUGUAGAAAAUGUUUGAGGAGAUUAGAUAUUAUGGACAUUUUAUCGUAAAUAAAUAUUUCACUACAAGAAAGCUUGGCAUUAUCGGCGACGCCUUUAGCAGCGACAAGGGGCAAUAGCGGUGACAUGUAAUUGACGCGUCACAUGUCGCCGCUAUUGCCGCAUGUCACCGCUAAAGGAGUCGCCGGUAAUACUCGCAAACGACGAUCCACGUCAAAUUACCCCCAUCCGUCCGAUUUGUUUUCAAUCCACUGGUUGUACAGGAAAGCGAAAACGCACCGACUUUUCCCUCCAAGGUGUCGCCGCUAUUGCCCUAUUGUCGCCGCUAAUACCCUAACGUCGCCGCUAUUGCCUGUCGCCGCUUAUACGAAGCGCUGAUAACCCCCUUCCAGUUCCCUUUUCCGCGACAUUUCUGUUGUUUCUUUGCUUCUCUCGCUCUCGUUUCUUGUUACUGUUUCUCAACAAAUAUUGGACCAGUCGAUUAAGUGGAGGAACAACAUUUAAGGCGGUGCUAGCCCUCCUGUCACCACAAGACCGCCACUCCUUCCCCCGUUACCGGCUACCAUUGAGCUCAAUUCCAAAAUUGCCCACAUUCAAGGUCAAAUUCCGCCUAUUUGCUAUUAUUUUUCUAUUUUGGAUGAUAAAUUGGUUUGAUAUGUCAGAAACUGCCUCUUCAAUUGGUGUUAUAUUACUGAUAAACACAAGACUCAUUCGUAUUUUUUCUUGUUUAUUAUAUGUUCAUGAAUAUAUAAAUUGAUGCUAUAUGUGGGUAAUUGCCUCUUGAAUUGUUAUUAGAUCACCUAUAAACACAAGACCAUUAGUAUUUUUUUUCUUGCUUCUCUGCUUGCUUCUUGCACCAUGAAGGAUCGAUGAGGAGGAAGCAAGAGGUAUCAAACCUCCUGAAUUAACCAAACUCUAUUACAAAGUAUAUAUGAUUAGCCCCUUAACUUUUGAUUUGUACAAUUUUAGUCCCUUGCUCUAAAAAAUAAUUAAAAGUCUAGUCUUAAACAAAGAAACUUCAAUUAAAAUCUUCAAAGUUUACCCUAUUGAAAUUUGGCAUGUUUUUGUAAUUUUUGUUUAUACCACAUUGGCUUAAAAAUAAAAUUUGGCAUGUUUUUGUAAUAUUUGUUUAUACCACAUUGGCUUAAAAAUGAAAUUUGUGUAUGUUUUUGUAAUUUUUGUUUAUACCACAUUGGCAUGAAAUUGAAAUUGAAUAUUGAAAUUGGAUGUGUGUGUGUGUAUANGUUUAAUUAGAAAAUCAAAUUAACUUAUCUUUAGAAUCAAAUUAAGUUGCCUUUAUAAAAUCAAAUUAAAUCAAUUAUAAAACCAACUUAAUAGUAAGAUACUUUUAGUGACUUAAUGUUGGUCAUUACAAAUUUAGCUUAAUUAGGUUAUUAAUAGCAACGUACUUCUAGUAAUUUUAAUUUAAUUAUACAAAAUGCUUUACUUGAGGAGAUCAACCAACGAACCCAAGUAACAUAUGAAGCAAGCGGUCUAGCACUAACUGAUAAAAAAGAUUGUUUUGAAAGAAUAUUAGGUGUUCGACGCGGACAUAUCAGAGGCAUUAGGCGUAAACCCCCUACCGUUGUAUCCAUGUACGAUCAGGAACAACCAAUGACAUAAGAACAAUCACAAUCACAGGUAAUUGUUAGUAAAUGCUAUAAUGGAAAGUAGAAUGCUAUAAUGAUAUGUUGGUUAUGAUUUGAUAUGUUGAUAUUUUGUAGUUUGGUAAUUUUUGGAAAGUACAAUGCUAUAAUGGAAAGUAGAAUGGUAUAAUGAUAUGUUAGUUAUGCUUUGAUAUGUUGAUAUUUUGUAGUUUGGUAAUUUUUGGAAAGUACAAUGCUAUAAUUGAAAGUAGAAUGGUAUAAUGAUAUAUUGGUUAUGGUUUUAUAUGUUGAUAUUUUGUAGUUUGGUAAUAUUUUGGAAAGUAAAUGCUAUAAUGGAAAGUAUAUGUAUGUUUAAGUGUAUUUGAUAUGUUGAUAUGUUGAUAUUUUGUAGAAUGGUAUAAUUAAUUAUAAUGUUAUUUUGAUAUGUUGUUAAAUAUUUUGUUUUUCUUUAUAGUUGGAAAUGCUGCAAACAAUACUAAAGGACCCGACCUGUUCUGCAGCAUUGAAAGAGUGGUUUCGCUCAUUGCUGCCAACAAAUAAUGAAGGAAAUGAUGAUGAUGACGAGUAGUUACUUUAGGAUUUUAUGAAAUAUUUUGUAAUCUGGAAGAAUACUUAAUGUGGUAUGGAUUAAUAUUUUGGAUUGAUUGUAUAUGUAUUAAUAUUUCUAUAAAAAGUUAUCAGAUUUUAUAAAUGAUAUAUGGACUAAUAUUUGGAUUGAUUAUAAAUUUAAUGUUAAAUAAAUAAAUUAAAAAAAAUAAAACAGUAUUAGCGGCGACAUCUUUUGUGGCGACAUGUACUUAUUAGCGGCGACACAUAGUAUUAGCGGCGACAGGAAAUAUUAGCGGCGACAAGAAGCGUCUUAGGGACGAAGCAUUACCGGCGACGCAUUUGCAGCGACAUGUCACCGCUAACCUUUAGCGGCGACAAGCGUCACCGAUGUUGCCCAAUCUUCUUGUAGUGGUUUAGGUUAAUAAAUGGUUNNNNNNNNNNNNNNNNNNNNNNNNNNNNNNNNNNNNNNNNNNNNNNNNNNNNNNNNNNNNNNNNNNUAUAUAUAUAUAUAUAUAUAUGAUAAGGCUAGUUUUUUGAGGUAAUAUAUCGAGACAAGGUCUUCUACGUACCCUUUUAUUUUAUUUUUAAAAUACACUUUUUUAUUGGAAGGCAACUUGUUUUUUCAUAUUUUUAAGUCUUUUAUAAUAGACAAAAAUAUAUACUAGACAAAAAUAUAUUUAAACUUAACAAUACCCAUUUAGGUAUUGAUAUUGGUAUUUAUAUCUCGUGUCAAAUGUGUCCAACACGUAACGGAAGGUUAGAGAUCGAAGAAAGUGAAAAUCUAAUGUUUUGAAAAACGGUCCGGAGAUCGAACCGUUUGUCUUAGUGGUUCAAUAGUUCAUAUAGCUCAAUUGAACUAGAUGGACCAAACCUAAAAACUGUGUGCUUAUAUAUAUAGACAAUACCCAUUUAUACUAGACAAAAAUAUAUUUAAACUUAACAAUACCCAUUUAGGUAUUGAUAUUGGUAUUGAUAUCUCGUGUCAAAUGUGUCUAACGCGUAACGGAAGGUUAGAGAUCGAAGAAAGUGAAAAUCUAAUGUUUUGAAAAACGGUCCGGAGAUCGAACCGUUCGUCUUAGUGGUUCGAUAGUUCAUAUAGCUCAAUUGAACUAGAUGGACCAAACCUAAAAAUUCUGUGUGUGUGUGUGUGUUGAAAACCAAAUCGGAUCAGGCUGUUCCAGGAGUUCAACUGGGAACCAUUAGUGGUUGUGAUUUUUUGCUUCCAAAAACCGCUUGCGCAACAAACCAUAAUAAACAACGGUUUUGUUUGAACCGUGGUCCAAGCGGACCGGUUGAAAUGCCUUCAGAACCCGUUUUUUGAUUUUUUUUUUUUUUUUUGUUUUUGAUUUUCUUAAAAUUCAUCGGACAAAGGAAAUUCUCAAACUUGCAAUCAAAAUGACCAGACACACACCGAAACGUUAAACCUAAUGUCCACUUCUCAAGUUUAGUAUUUUAUGUUAUUCUAUCAAUAUUAUUGUUAUUCUUCUAUUUAAGUUUAAUUUUUGCUAAAAUUAUAUCAUUAUUUGGUAUUGAAGAUGAUGAAGGAGAUGAUGCCGGAGUUAUGCUUAGAAAUUGACAUAGAUUUCCUUAGAUGAAGAUUAAUUGAAUGUAAUGAAGUUUAAUUUUUUUUAUACAUUUUAUGGUAUUUUGAUGUUGAUAUAUUUAGAAUUUUGUUCCUUUUGAAGACUAUAAAAUCAACAUCCAUCAACUUUCAUGAAUUUGUAUGUUUGAUAUUUUUAUUUAACGUUGAAGACUUAUAUUUAUUGGUAUUUUUGUUUUGUAAUUUAUUUUUGCAUAUUUUUGAAUAUUUUAUAAUUUUAAGUAUAAUAAUAAUGUAAUAACGAUGUUAUCCGGUUUUUUGGAUUGGGUGACCCAUCGAACCGGUAUGCCGUAUGGUUCGGUGCCCGGUCCCAUUUUCAAAACUUUGGUAAAAAAAGCAAUUAUGUUGAAUAAAAUAUUUUGAUAAAAAGCCAACGAAAAUUAGAAUUUUUGAUGCCUUUUGUUUUCUUGUUCCCAAAAAGAAAUCUACCUUUAAUCAAUAGGAGGAACGUAAAUAGAUGUUAGCGAAAACUACAAAACCUUCCCACAUCGGUGCAAAAUAAAGUCAAUAACUUUGUUUGCUUAGAGCACCUUCCCCAUGUGUUAGCAAACUCAAUCAAUUCUCCCGCACUAUUAAUUGUCUUCAUACCAUUUACGCCUCUUAAUUUCUUUAGGACGGCGUUUACAAUUAUUAAUGACCUAAAUGGCAAUAGCUAAUAUCAAAUACUACAUUUUUUUUUUUUUUUACAACGGCACAAUUAUUGCAAGCAUAGGGGUACCUCCCUCAUUAUGUGAGGAUUUCUUAAAUAUUGUUCUAACUACGAAACAUAAAUUCGCAUUACAUUCUUGAAAAGAAGCCCAUUACAUAAUUUAUUAUGCUAUAACAUUGAUCUCUCUCUAUGUAUGUGUAUAAAAGGGUUCAUUAUGCAUAUAUUGAGCCGUGCAAUUGUAUACUUAUAUCCAUAUACAUAUCGAUCCCUUUGCAGAAGUACUUGAUCUAUUAAUUAGAUCAUCAAGGAUCAUGGGUAAAACACCAAGCUUAAACCUUCUUAAGGGUUCAAAAACCAUGAAAGAUACAGUAAGAUAUGUGGAGUUGAAGGAGGGAGAAGGCAAUCAUGAGCAUGAGCCAUUGAGUUCUGGGUCUAGGUUUUUUCAUGAGCCAGGUUUUAAUAUCUACAUCCUCACUAAAAUUGGUGUAAACUCCACAAUCCAUAUCGACGCAGCUAGAGACUUUUGUAUUCAGAUGGUUGCUAAAUAUCCUUGCUUCUCUAAAGUGGUGGUAUGCUACUAAACUAAAGAAUGAUAUUAUUUUAUCCACCUUCAUAUGCAUAAUGCAUUAUAAGCUCGAGUUUAAGAACUCAACUACCAUUCAUGAAAGUUUUUUUUUUUCCGUCUUUCAAUUGUCUGAAAUACUAUUCAUUGGUUGUUAUACAGGUUAAAGAUAAAGAAAGUGGGAGCAUGAACUGGGUUCGCACACAUGUAAACAUAGAUGACCAUCUUAUUAUACCAGAAAUCGAUCAAAACAUGGAAUCAGGAGAUAAAUUCGUGGAAGAUUACGUCUCAAAUCUUACUGUAUCUUGUAUUGACAACUCGAAACCCUUAUGGGAUAUACACAUCCUUAACGCAAGAACCUCGGAUGCAGAAGCCACAUGCAUCUAUCGCGCUCAUCACUCACUUGGUGAUGGUCUGUCAUUUAUGAAUAUGUUGCUUUCUCUUAGUAGAAAAGCCUCGGAUCCCGAGGCAUUGACUACACUUGCCGCGAAUAAGAAAGCUCAUCAUCAUACCACCAAAGCUGCUAGUUUUAUGUCCUUUUGUAUGGUUCUUUGGAACACUUUUGUCGCAUUUAUGUUGUUUGUGUUCACUACCAUGUUUCUAAAAGACACACAAACACCUAUGAAAGCCUCACCUGGUGUUGAAGAUAGACGUCGGCGCAUUGUUACUCGAAGUGUUAGCUUUGCUGACAUAAAGUUGGUGAAAAACGCUAUGAAUGCUGUAAGUAUAUAUUUUUUCUUAAAUUUUGCAUGUGGAUGCUCUGUGGCAAUGAUAUCAUCACAAAUCUUAAUUAUCGAUAAGUACUUUAAUUAAUUUAGUUUAAACACAUAUUGUUAAAAAGGUCCAAAUAAACCAAAAUUAAGCGCGUCAACUGUAAUAAAAAUAAUAACAUUACAUGUUCUCCGAUACUUGUUUUGUAGACUGUGAACGAUGUAAUAGUUGGAAUUGUACAAGCUGGUUUCAACCGUUACCUUAAGGGGAGAUAUGGUGAGUUUCUUUUUGUAUAAAGUAAAAAACUUACGAGUAAUUAAUAACAUAACUUGAACCCUGUUACAGAAGAGAUAAAUAGUCCUGUUCCAGAAAACAUUCUCCUUCGUGCAAUGAUGUCUUAUAACUUGCGAGCCUCUGUGAAUGUUGAUGUGAGUAUCUUCCCUCCUUAAUGUUGUGUGUGAAGAAUGUCUUAUCAUAUAAUUGUUGCUUGCUGAACAAUUUUAUGUGUGUACGAUGUAUAUAUACUAGGCUGCUACAAAGAAUACAAAUGAAGACGAAACAUGGGGAUACAAGGUAGGUUAUAUACUACUUCCAUUCAACGUCAAAAAUAGAAGUGACCCCUUAGACUAUGUACGGGAAGCGAAGGCUAUCAUGGAACGCAGGAAAGCUUCUUUUGAGCCAUUUGCUACUAGAUUCUUUGCUAAGACAUUGGUCCCGAAGUUGUUUGGUAUAAAGGUACUUGAUCUAUUCAUUUACAAUUGCUUUGCCUAGAAAAAAUUACUUACUUAUUUAGAUGCGGGAAUCCGGUAUUUAUUUAUUUAUUUAUUUAUCACAACAAGAAGAAAUUGGUGAAAACUAAUAUAAUUAAUCUAAAUGGUUAAUUAUUAUAUCAACUAAUUGCGAGCAUAACUUGAUAUAUUUAUACAAGUACAAUAUUUCAUAACCUUUAUGAUUAAUGGUUUUAAAAAGAUAACCAUAUAUCAUAGCUCAUUUUUGUUAUUUUUAUUGAUCAAACUUUUAAACAUUAUACAUGCUUCUAGCUUUCUUAAAAACCCUUUAUUGCAAAAAGAAGAAUUUCCAGCAAUUAGUAUAUCUUAAUUAGAUUACUUUAUAGUUUUUGAAAUGGGCAACAAUAUUAAAGAUUUAUAAUUAAGAUUUAAAUAAUAGAUAUAAAAAGAACUAAUUAAGAGGUCGUUUGUUUCAUCUUUUAAUAGUUUAACAUUCAAGCUGUUCGGUUAACCAAAGUUCAUCAUAAGGGUCACAAAAUCCUCUGAAAGAGUUCAACAUUUACACCUCAUUUGAACCAUUAUUUUCCUUUUCUCUUCGUUAUUCUUUGUCUUUUCGUGGGACCGAUGUUUUGAGGGGUUCUGACAAAUAAGCCCUAACACCAACUACAAGAAACAACAGAAUUUGGAUCCGUAAACAAUGAACAAAAAGGAAAAAGUUCCAACCACUUGUCGUCGCUUUCACUUGUUCCCUUUUCCCGGUUAGUUUAUCAUCCAUUUGCGAACGUACAUCCCUUGCACCUCUUGUCCGUAGGUCUAAUUUCUUAUUUCCUAUGUAUUUGUCGCAUGUUGGUUGGCCACCGCACUCGUAAAAUUACACUUAGAAGGACGAUGUUUCCAAACAACCCAACAACAACCCCUUUUGCAAUUAUGGUACAAGAUUAGCUAAAAAGACACCUCAUUUUGCAAUAUAGGAACCCUAAUUAAUUUUUUAAAUAUUUUUAUUGACUGAAAUUGUAUUUUUUUUCCGGAAAAGCUGAUUAUAAGCAGUUUUUAUUGGUUGACUUUUUAAAAAGUGGUCAAUGGGGUAUCCAAGGGGUGUCUUGUUAAUGUUAGUAUUAUUUAUUAUCUAUUAUUUAUUUGUUUUUUUAUUGAAUAUGUGGUUAAGAUUCAUUUUAAUUAAUAACUUGUUUUUUAGCGAAAGAAAAUUUUGGUAUGAAGGUAAAAAGUUUUUUUUCUAUAUAUUUUUUUAGCGAACAUACAAAAUGAAUCAUUAGAUGAUUCAAAGUUAAGAUGAUUUACAAGAAAAAGUUCCCAAAUAAAUAUAUUUAUGAUUUAUUUUUAAGUAAAUUAAGAAAAAAUUCAUUUUUAUAACAAUUUUGGUGAAUAACAACAAAACUAUUGUAUAAAUAAAUCAUCGGUGUGUUUUUUUGAGAUUAUUUUUGAUGAAUCAUGUUAUUUUUUAUUCAUCUAUGGAUUAAUUUCUUUUGUUCGUCUGAAAAGUAUGUAGAAAAAAACUUCUUACCUUCCUACCAAAAAAAAAUUCUUAUCGGAUCUAUAUAUAUAUAUAUAUAUAUUAUUUGGCAUUUAUUAUAAUUAUUAAGUUGUUUUUUUAUUAUUUGGUGUUUAUUUAUAUAUUCAACAAUCUUACCAACCACAUCAAACAACAUGUUUUCAUUCAUAACAUCUAAUCAUUCAAUGCAAAAUCAUUUAAAAGUUAACAAAACAACCCCUAAAAAUUAUUAAAUAUAUAGAUUGCAGGAAAGUUGAAUCGUAAAGUUUACUAUAACACAACGUUUGGCUUCUCCAAUAUGCCUGGACCAAAAGAAGAAUUGUGUUUUCUCCAACAAAAAGUUACCUAUCUUGCUCCUAGUAUUUAUGGCAUACCCAGUGUAAGGAUGAUAAACUUUUUUUGGGAUGAUUAAUUUUUUUAAUAAUUAUUACAACCAACCCAAUCAAAGGAAGCUUAGAAUUUAUGAGUUUUUUGCUUUAUACAGGGAUUGAUGAUUCAUAUAAUCAGUUAUGUUGACAAAGUUACAUUUGUGCUAUCAGCAGAAGAAGAAACUAUACCUGACCCCCAAAAGUUAUGUGAUGACCUUGAAAUAUCAUUGCACCACAUCAAAUGUUCGGUUUUAGAUAAACCAUGUGCGGAGAAAUAAGUUUCAAUACACAUAUUUACGAUUACCAAGGUGUGUGUAUGAGUGAGUGUGUGAUUGUGUGUAUGCAUAUAUGUUUUCUUGUUGACAUAUAAGCAUCUCUACAACAUAUCAAUAAUUUAUUGUUAUAUGAUGUCGAGGAGGUUCUCAAGCAUCAAUUUCGAGAACUAUAUAGACAUGCAAACUUUGAUAACCUUGUUUCCUAUUUUUAUUCAUUGAAUAAAAACUAAAAUACAAAUAUGCUGUUGUGUUAUACUAUAUUUUUUAUGUUUGAUUCAACGUUAGUUUUUGUUAUAGAUAUUUUAUAAGUGUGGUGGGUGUCUAUCCCUCUUAACCUCCCAACCAUGAUGCAACAAAUGCUCCAAAUCUACUUCUUCUUACUCCUCUCACUUGCAGCCCUCCCAACCCUAAACAUAAGGAAUGGAAACUUCCAUGCCCACACAUAAUGGUACAAAUAUUGAUACAAAUGGUACAAGUUGAGAAGAGAGAAUAGAGAGAGGGAGCAUUGUUAAACACAUCGUUAAUGUCUUGACAAAUUAAAAUCACUGCUUGGUUGCACUAAUGGGCAGCACAGGAAAGUAGAGUCGAGUCCAGAGAGACACGACCUAACAGUCAAUGUCUCUUUGUGUAAACCACAAAUUAGACAUAUAACACAAAAUGAAAAAAAGGGGAUUUUAGUUUAGAAUUAAAACAAAAAAAUUAAAGAAAUAAAAUAAAUAAAAUUCAUUAAUAAAGAGCGUUUAUGUAGUGACUUUCCUAAUUAUUCAAUUAUUCUAGAUCUAAUUAUUUAAGAAACAUUCUAUCUAAGCUGGUACUCAAAGCUGCUAACAAACUCUAGUAAGUUCUCUUUUACCUAGUUAGUUAACCAAAAAAAAAUUCUUCGGUUAAUCCUCAUUUUUUUACUAACUUAAUUAAACAAGCUCUUAAUCAAAUAAGAAAUGCAACAUUAUGGACACUGUAAACCUCCCAGGAACAUUCAAUACUUUUCACAAGCUUGUAAGCAAAAAAUAUGUGAUUUUCAGUUUAUAACAUAUUCAAAUCCUAACAUGAAACCGAUCUGUUAUUUGUUACUUAUUACCAGUUGAUUAAAAAAAUUACGAAUUUUAAUAAUUGAUUAACUUAAAUGAUUUAAUCCUAAUCUGGUGAUUAGUCUAAAACGAACUAAAAAUCAAACAUUCAUGAAGAACAAAACUAAAACCACUAGAUAGAAUCACAAAUUAAAAAACAAAUCUAAUGAUUAAUAACAUAAAAAGUAUUAAAUAGAGUUUCAACUCUGCAGCGACUCUUCUAAUUAUGUAUCCAUAUCUAAUUAUUUAAUAUGCAUUCUAUCUAAGUUGAUAUUGAAAACUACUAACAAGCUGUAGUAAGCUCACUUUUACCUAAUUAAUUAAUUAAAAAAGAUAUUCAGUUAACCCUAACUUUUUAAUAACUUAAUUGAAAAAAAAAAUCUUAAUCAAAUCUUAAAAGCAACAUUAUGAAUAAUGGAAAAUUCCCAAUAAUAUUCAAUACCUCUCAGAAGCUCAGAAGCAUAAAAAUAUAAGAUUUUUAGUUUAACAAAAUCAAAUCCCAAAGCAUAACCGAUAUGUUAUUUGUUACUUAUUACCCGUUUAUUAAAACAAUUACAAAUUUUAUUAAUUGAUCAACUUAAAUGAUUUAAUCCUAAUCAUGUGAUUAGCCUAAAACGAGCUAAAAAUCAAACAUUCAUCAAACACACAACUAAAACAACUAGAUCUAAUCGCAAAUUAAAAACCAAAUCUAAUGAUUAAUCACAUAAAAAAUACUGAUCUUUUGCAUAAUUGAAAUCUAUGGUUAUUAUCCAGACAUGGGUAAAAAGAUCUAAAACUAAUAAAAAGAAAGAUAAAAAAAAUUAGAUCUUAUAAAACUAACUGAGAUAGUCUUUUCAAAGUCUUAAGAUCUUUAGAAAUCGAUGAAAAAGUGAAAAUCUCACUCAAAAACCAUUUGGAAAGGGUUACCGUUCGUUUCUCCUGAAUUGGGAUCAAAUAUGGGUAUUUAUAUGCAAGAAAACAUCUUCAGACGACACAUCUUGGAAAACUCACCAUGGGAACGCCGAGCUCUUAUGAAGCCACACCAUGCUUUCAGUAAACUACGUUUGUUUUUCGUGUUUAACGAAGUACAUUGCUAUUUUGGAUAUUUUUUGAAGCACGAGCAUGAAGAAUAGGUCGUACUUGGGGUGUCCAGGUCCAACUUUCUCAUUGCAGCUUGAAAAUUUGAGGAAAUUAGAAAAAAUACUUCGGGAAGGAAGCACGGCCUGUGCUUAGGCUUCACAAAUAUCAAAAUUCAGAAAUUCUCCAGAGGUGGAACACGACAUGUGCUUGGUAUUUCCAGCGUUUCAACUCCAUAUAAGCUCUAGAUAUGCUCCAGAGACUUUCAAACUACCAAUCUACUUUAAAUUACUUGAAAUAUACACCAAGACUAGAGUAGUGUGAGAAUUCUUAAGAAAUACAAGAGUUGUCAAUUAUUUAAAUGAAUGCAAACAUUUAAGCAUAAAAUAUUAAGCAAAAUACUAUUAAAAACUAAUAUAAAAGAUGCAUAAAAUGAUAUUUAAUAAAUCUUCCCAAGUUUAAAACUUACUUGCCCUCAAGUAAUAUGUAACAUUCUGAUGAUAAGGUACUUCUAAUUUUAACCGUAUAAUUUAAUUAUGAUGGAUUUUGGUCCCUAAAUUUAAGAAAGAGUGCAAAAGAGCCUUAGUGGCGUUUUUGUAAAUAAGCCUUGGGAGAGUACGACAUGCGUAUGCGUGUACGUUGGACAUACAUGUUGUACGAUAGGCGUACUUACCAAAUAUGGAACUCCUAAUUUUUAGGGUUUGGCUUGUAUUUAAACCUCAUUAUAGCAUCAUUUCCCGAUACCUCAUUUUGUACCUUUCUCUUAGAUCGUUCUUCCAACCCUAAUUUGCCUUAUAGAUCCAUUUUAAGCUUAAGAGUGUGUGUUUUUGUGCUUUGAAGAAGAAGGAAGGGAGUAAAGCUCACCUUGGAGGAGUAAAGCACUUUGAAUCUGGGAUUUGUAGCUCAUUGGCAACCAUUUUAAGGUAUAAAGCUUAAAACUUUAUCACUCGAUCAUAUAGAUCUAGAAAUGGGUGUUUCAAUAAUACUUUUUGGUCCCAAAAUGUUAGAUCUUGAGCAUGGCAUGUUCUUGACCCAUUAAGUUGUCCUUUGAGUCCUAAUGGUUGGUUUUGUCCCAUGCAAGUUAUGGAGAGUCUUAAAGCAUUAAGAUAUUGGGUUUUUAUGGAUUAAGCACUUAUUGAGCAUGCAUAGCCAUAAAGUUGGAAACUUUAUGACUCCUAAUGAAAUUUUGACCUUGGAUCUGCAUUUUGACAUGUUAAGACGUUAUAUUAAGCACUUAAUGGGAAAAAAUAAAGUAUGGGGUUACGUCGAGCGUACCUGGGUUACGCCCAACUACGCACUCAACGACCCCGAUAUGGUCAAACGGAGGAGUACGCCCAACGUACCUCCAUAUUACGCCAUGCAUAUGCUUGUUGAGUUGAUUCGACUGGGUUGACUAGGUUGGGUUGACUCAGUUGAUUUAUCAACUUUGACCAGCUUGACCUUGACUUUAAUAAAGUUUGACCAUAGGGGUAUUUUUGGUAUUAUGGGAUUUUGAUUGUGAUUGGUCACUUGGAUGGUUAGGUAUCGGUUGGAGCUGAUAUUCAGAGUCGAAACCUCAUCAACUUUUUCCAGUUUGUGAGGUCACUUUCCUCAAUGUACUUACGGGUCGAAGGCACCAAGGCCGGCCUAUUGGUUUGAUAUCCUGCUAUUCUCUGAGAUGAUGGGUAUGGAAUAGAUAGGCAUGGUUAUGCUAGUUAUCGAUAUGCUAGUCUAGUAGAUCUGUAGGACUACCUGUGAUUUUGUCUACAUGAUUAUCUUGUUGGGUUUUGAGCACUAUAACACUCCUAUGGUGCACAUGCAACCCUAAAUACUUUGGAUCUAUGUUUUCUCUAAUUAUACAUGCAUUUUCAAUUUUUCCAAAGCAUUUUCCCUAUCUAGCAUACAAUUGAAGCUAUAUAAUAUAGAACUUAUUUUGGAUGCAUACCUCUUUAGUAGGGUAGAGUUCUUGACCUUUGAAAGCUUGAGCACCUCAAGUGUGAUGCCUCUAUUGGUUCACAAAGAUAAAAAUUCAAGAGGAGGCUUAAGAGAAUAAGUUGUCUAUCUCCAAGAGAUGGUAUAGCUGAUUUUGGAUCUAGGGGGUUCUAUUUGUAGUGUUGCACAUGUUAGGGUUACACUUUGUAAACCCUAAUAACCCAUGACUUUCCACAAUCUCAUGCUCCAUGGGUUUAACCUCAUCGACUAUCCAUGGAUUAUUUUAUCCCACCUAUAUAAUUAUGGAUCAUUGGCCCACACUACAAGAAUGAUUGAUUUACAUAAUCAAUCCCCUUAUAUUUAAUUAGUGUCUUUUGAUCACAAAAUUAAUUCCAAAUUAAUUCUUGAUCAAUACUAAUUAAACAAUAUGAUUUCAUAUUAAUAUCUUAUACUUGUAGUAUAUUAAUAAACAAUAAACAAGGCCACUUUCCACGUAACAGUAACUGACAGAGAGAAUUCUACAAAAUCAACGAAUCCUACAAUAACAAUUGAAUUUGUGACAGUAAUAGUUAAAAAUUUACCAUUAACAUUGGUGUUUCAUAAUGUCAGAAAGACAAGCAUAGCAACGGCAAGAGUCAGUGUAUCAGGAGUUACAGUCAAAGGAGAGUUAAGAUUGUGAUGUCUCCUGAUAACAUAUGAUUUUGCUUUGAAUCAUGGAUAUAGUAUUACAAAGUUUCAUCGACGUAUGGUUUGUUACGUUGGAUCAUAAACUCCUUUUAUUAGAAGAACAAGGACAAGAGAGAAUAGAUACAUGUAAUACAAUUUUGUGUUUUAGUGUACCUGUCAACAUCGAAUGUUGAAGUUUUAUAAUUGUAUGGAAAAUACUAUGAAUCAUUAACCUCUUUGAUAAAAGAUUUUUAGGGCGACAAUGGAUAGGUACGUGUAAAACAUUACGGUACAUGAUGUACCCAUCGGCAUAGAUUUGUCAAGUUCUCAUCAGCGUCUAGUUUCAUACGCUGAAUCAUAAAGCUUUAAAGAAGAUAGGGAAAUAAUGAAUUGGUAGGUCUGAUAAGCUACGAUACAGAGCGUAACCAUCAGCACGGUAUUUUCAAGUUCUCAUCAACGUUUGGUUUCAUACACUGAUUCAUAAAACAAUAAAGAAGAAAUAUGAUAAGAGGGGGUUGGUGUGUCUGAUAAACUAAGGUACAUAGUCUAACCGUCGACACAUAUUUUUCAAACAUUCAUCAGAGUGUGGUAUUUCAUUGUGAAUCGUUAAGUUCUAUUUAGAAGAUUAAUGGGAGAGAAAUGGAAUGUUUUGAUCAUGUUAAGGUGAAAUCAGCAUGAAUCAUAAACAGUGUCAGCUCAUCAACAAGAAGUGGUUUAGCUUCUGUAUCAUAAAGUUAAGUUACAGUCUAGAAUUUGGGAUUCACAAUUAAUUCUAUUAACAAGGUACAAUGGAAGAUAAAAAGAAAUAAAACAAAAAAAAAAGAAUUAGUCAAACAAUCAACUUUUCCAAAACGAUAACUAUGCAGCUUUUUCAGAAAACUAAUAAAGAUCGGAUCCGAUAAAUCUUUUGACUUGAAGGCCCAUUAAUAAGUUUCCUUUAUCCGAGAUAUCAACCCCACAAAACAGUCUAUAAAGGAGAAAAAAAUGAGUUUAAGUAUUGAUGUGUUGCAAAUGGAUUUUAAACUUCAUGUUCACCAAGAACAAGGGAGAUUCAACCUAGCACUCUUUUUAACUGUCGAGUUAUACGGUUCCAAUAUUUGUAAACUUCAAGUUAUUAGAGUCACCAAGGCAAUACUCUAAGGUUCCGUUCAUUGUGAGCCAUGGUAAAAGCGAUGAGGACCAUUGUCUUGCUAUAGAGGUCUUUGAAUCUCAGAUGGGAAUCGAAGUGAUAGUGGUGGCAUCAAUGGAAUUUAGACAUGUCAUGUUACCUAACUUCACUUCACCUCAUAGAAACAUAAGUAAGCUACGAGAGAAGGAUAAAACAAGUGUCAAGAAAAACAAGUUCGGACACAAUUCUUUCUUACCUUAAACUCUACGGUAAGAUACUUAGUGACUUUCAGCAUGAUCAUCUGCUUCAGGAAGAGUGAUGCUGAUGGUAAAGAAAAGAUGCAGAGCCAGCUCCAACCAAAUUUAAUAAGAAAAUCUUGCACCAAAGGUUGGAUACACCAUUCAUUUCCCAAAGGAUAAAUCAAUGAUGAUUAGCGUUAAGGAGGGGGGCAGAAGAUCUUGAGACUUGGAAGGAGAGGAAGAGAAGAAAACACCUGGUAAAUAUCAGUAAUACAAUAUUAUAAGUCCUAAAAUUUAGCUUGAGUAUCAAUUUGAUCCAAUUGAUGGUGCAUAAUCCCAAUCAAGUGGAUGAUGCAAGAUGAAAUGGAGAAGAAGAAGAAGAAGAAGAAGAAGAAGAAUUGAAUCUUCAAUAUAUUCAAUGAUAUGAAUGAUGAUCUAUACAUGAGAUUCACACUUCUCUCUAACUUUCUCUCUCUAGAACUUCAAGGUGCUCAACAAUGGCUUCCCUUUUUCAAUAUGGUCCUCUCCUUGGUUCUAGCUACCUAAGCCCCAAAUAACCCUCUAUAUAUACCUACGGAUAAAACCGAAGGCCCAAACCCAAUACCCAGACCGAAAACACAUGAGUUUUUGGUCCAAACUACAAAUAAACCAAUAAUAUUUUCAGUCCAAGACUAAAAACAAUAAAUGCUUAGAAAAGAAAAGUAUAAACCAUAUUUUGACCCAACAAUCUCCCCCUUGGUUUAUAGCUUUCUUUCUUUGACCGAGCAAACUCCCCCAAAAAAUAUAGAUGGCUUUUCUUGUCAAUCUUUAUUUGGAGCUUGGCUUCAGCUUUUUGUCUUCUAUUUUUUCACAACUUCAAGAUGAACAACAGAAUCUUCUAGGUGAAUUACUUCAUCAUGAACGGAUGGCCAUUUCUUCAGAAUUUGGCUUUGAAUGAACAUUGAGUAUAGGCUUCUUGUAAAGAUUUUUGAAAAUCUGUACUUUCAGCUUGAGAAUCUUCAGAGAGAACAGAAAAUGAAACUUCUGGAUCACUUUAGCAGGUACAUUGAUAGCAGAAAAUUGAUUGAGGAUGCCUCAAUGCAAUUCGUCACAUAAUCUUCAAGUCAAAUUCACCUUGCUUCUGGGGUUGAAUGAUUGUAUGUUGAAAAAUAAUCUUCACUUCUAGUUCCUUCGAAUGAAUGUUCUUGAAUGAUAACCGAUGCGUCUUGAGAAGUAACCGUGACUAAAAACUCUCUGUGGAUCAUAGAAAGAAUCAUAAAGACCCUUCUCACCACAGUUGUUCAAGGAUGAAUCCUUGGCUCGGAAAGAUACUUCUCGCAGUAUCUGUGAGAACUCGGAGGAACGCACUACAAUUGUUUAGUAUCAGAGAACUACUCGUGGCUAGUUUGAUGUAGCCCCUGUAUAUCCUUGAUCAUAGAUCUCAAUACAGUUAUCAAGUUAAAAAGUUAAAUUGGCCCUUGGCGAGACGUUCACUGAUACCUGUUUCCCUAUCAAGUGAAUCUUCCUGGUGUCGUGACAGUUCUUAGGUAAAGAAAGCUGACAAGACCAAUCUGACAAUUUGUAUAGUUUCAGACUUUCAAUUCUUUAGAUAUGAUAGUUCUUAGAUAAGAAACUGUCUGACUGGCAUUUUGUACAAUGUCACACCAGGUAUGAGCCAUUAUCCGUCAGUUCAUGGGUGAAAUCUAUAAUAUAUAAAAUGUUCACCAUCAAUUCAAAAAUAAAUGGUGUUGAAUUUUAGGUUUCACUUAGAGUCAUGGUGAUAAUGACAUCUAAGAUCAUAAACACAGACUUUUUGGCAACUGUCAGCCAAGUUGUUUUAUACUCGAACCUCAAGGGGUACCGGUACGUAAAAAUGAUUUGAUGGAGAAAAUUUUAGAUAUGGGUGAAGAAUGGUUGGGUGUUUCACAUUGAUCAUGAUGAAAAUGAUCUUUGAUCAUUAACAUUUGAUGCGAAGAUUCCUAUUAACACAGGUAUAUGUCUCAAUAUGGAAGAGUCUAUCACUCGCAUUUGAAUUUUCUGUCAAUUCCUUAUGAAAGUAGUGUGAAGUGUAAUGACCGUCAAUUCCUUUUCACGUUCAGGUUUCUUCUCCUUGCUUAGAAUAUUUCGAUACAUACUCCUUGAGUCUCAUCUUCUCCUGAAUUCACUUUUUAAGAAAAAUGAAAAAUGUUGAGAUAAACACAAAAAAAUAAAAGUAAACUUAGCACACUAAGAAAAUAAAAAUAAAAGUAAAAUACGCUCAAAAACAAUAAUUUUGGAUUCUCCCCCUCGAAUGAAGAGAAAUAAAAACAGAAAUAAACAUAUUUUUGUAGUUUGUUAUAACCAAGAAAGAAAUAAAAACAGAAAGAAACAUAUUUUUGUAUUUUUGAAAUUUUAUAAUUUUUUGUUUUGAUUUUUUUAUUUCUCCCCCUAAAUUUGUGCAUAUAAGAAAAUAUGAACAAAUUUAAUCAAAAACAAAAGUAUAAUACAAAAAAAUUUGGGAUCAAAGUUGUCAGGAAAUUUAACUUGCCCUUUAUCACUAAAUCUCAUAUCAUUUUCCAACAAUACCUACCAAGAAAAAAAAAUAUUUUUGGAAUUUUUUGAUUAUGUAACUUUUUUGUAUUUUGAUUUCUCCCCCAGAAAUUGACCAUAGGGAAGAAAUAAAAUAAAUGCGCAAAAUUAAAAAGAAAUUUGUCUUUGAAACUAAUCAUUUUAAGAAAAACUGAGGAGUAUCAAAAGAAUUCAAACCGAAAGUCAGCAAUUGAAGACACGAGCAGCAACAAAUCCAGCCUUAGUUGUGUUUCAAUCUCGAAACAGAUCCAAAAAUUCUUUACAUCAUUAAGCACAUUAAGCACAAACCCCAUUUGUGAUCCUCUCAUUUUCUUCCUUUCCCACAAAAGACACAUACUCUCAAUUGAAGUUCUGAGUGUUGUACAGUUGAAAUAUGCCUCCUAUCAUGUGCUUGGAACAACCCUUAUCAACAAAACAGAGUCUGAUGAUAUUCCUCCAUAGCUGCUCCAACAUAGAGUGCGGGAUUAGUUGGUCUUUGGAACCCAGUCCAUUUUGAAACUGGGUUGACCUUUGUCAUCUACACAUGGAACUCUCUCCCAUGACAUAUCCUGCUUAUCACAUAUAGAAAGCGAAGAAAUGUUAGAGUCAUUAGAAGAUUUGAGAGAGUGAACCUUCGGAACCCAUCUGUAGUCGGGUUUAACCCAUUGCUUGUUCAAUCGGUUGGGUACCUUAUCACUUGCUUUGGAACUUGAAGUCGGCUACCGAGAUGACAUUGACCUAACCGGUCUUGGUUUCACUGGAGCAUCUCUUGAGCUUGGCUUCUUGGCUGUCAUUCCCUUCUUGUCCUUGGGAUUUUGAUUUUUGGCCUUGGGAUUCGGAAUCUUGGCCUUCUUCGCAUUCCAGUCACCAUUGCAUGAUUGUGACUUUAAAGGGUUUCUUUUGGAGAAUCUCUCUCUUGGUGUAUUCUGCCAUCCUUGUACACAGUAAGCAACAUAUGCGUGUUUUGGACAAUUUCUAGCAAUGUGUCUAGGUGUUCCACAAUGAAAACAAGUUUGUUUCUUCACUUGGAAGUUGUUUCUGCUUGCCCCUGGUGGCACGCCCUUGUCUUGUCUCUGAUUGUUCCCACAAUCACAAUUACAGCAGGCACUUUGUUUCGCUUGUUUUGGUGGCUUGUAUUUACCAACAGCAUGUUUAGAAGUAACUGAGUUAGAAGCAAUAGAUUCAGAGUUCAAGGAGUCAUUGGUUUAACAAUCAUCAGAAUUUGCAGAACUACAAUUAACACAUUGAUAGAAGUAGAUAAACCGGAAUUAAUUCUAAUUCCCACAUGAUGAAAAAAAGUAAAAGGUCCCGAGAAGAAAAUGAUCCUACCUCAUCCUCUACUACUUUACCUGCACAUGAAGUAGAAGCAUCAGAAACAUUCACCUUAAUAACCUCAGUAGGCCCAGAUGGUUCAGCCUUAAUUGAAGCUGGGACAGGGGUUUGGCCAUACUGAGCAGGAAUUUCUUACUCGUUGGUCUCAAGGGGUGGGUUAUAGUUUUCAUUGAUAGGAAUUCGUACACUAUUAUACCCUAGACCCUUAGUUUGGUUAUCUUUGAAUUUUAAUUGCUUUUCAAUUAUGGACGCAACUACCUCACUUGAUACAUCAAAAUUCUUAAACGUGAAAUCAGCAUCAUUAUAUUUAGCUUUCAAUGUAUCAAGUUUUGCAGUCAAGUUAGCAAGUUGUUCCUUAACAUAGGUAUAAUUCGCACAUUUGUUGCUAUAUUCCUCUUGUAAUUUUCUAAAGUCCUUAGUUUUGGUCUCUACUUGUGCUUUUAAGGUUUCUGGGCCUUUGUAAGUGUAUAUCCUUCAUAUUUCAGGUCCUUAUUUACCCUUUUUAGCAAAUCAUUUUGUUCACGAAGAAUUUUAAUCGUAACUUCACAAGAUUGAGAACAUGAAACUUCAUUGACCAGGAUGUUUGAGGAACUCAUUGUUUAUCAAAGAAAAUGCCCUUUGACUUUAUACCUCAAAAUUCAACCUUAAAAGUCAAAUUUGAAAAGUCAAUCUUGAAAGUCAAACAUGAAAAGUCAAACUUAAAAGUCAAACUUAAAAGCUAAACUUGAAAACUUAAAAGUUAAACGAGAAAGUCAAAGAUAAAGUCAAAGGUCAAACUUGAAAGUCAAAGUCAAUUUUUAAGGUAAAAAGUCAAAUUAGGAAGUCAAAAAUCAAAAAUCAUAGUUUUUUUUGUUGAAAAUGGAAUUUUAAAAUUCGAAAAAUUGAUUUUUGGGUUAAAAUUGUGAAAAAUCCGAAAAUGGGAGUCCAAAUUGCGAUACUUCAUCUGGAUCUGGAAAAUGUUAAACAUAUGGCAUACUAGAUCGAUUGGUAGGAUUGUGGAUUGUUUAUGUGAUCGAGAGAACCGAGUUUGAUCCUUGUUCCACCCAAUUUUCCUUUUAUAUAAUCGUUGCUAACCGAACUCGUGGGUCGAACACCUGCUGGCUGAGAACGCGGGGACCAAAAAGAGCUGCGAACCGAAAACAUUUUUGAGCCGAAAACGUCCGAACCAAGAAUGCGUUUUCACCAGAGAACAGUAGACCCCGCUCCACUAAAAAUUCGAGACACUCCACCGAAAACACUUCGGACCGCUCCACCGAAAACAAUUCAGACGCUCCACCGCAAACUCAGAUUUCGGCUGUAAACUCCCUCCAGACCGAAAACACUGCUGACCGCAAAUGAGUUUCCGGCUGAAAACACCUCGGACAAGCUUUGUUGAGUGCGAAAAUGGCCGCUGGAAGUCGCAAAAUUACGUCAAAAAACGAUUUUUCACCUUUUUAGCUCCAAAACUCGAUCAAAAAGCCAUUUUUACGAAGAACACGAAGAACAAACCCCCAAUAUUUCUUCAAAAAGUAAUCAAAAACAUAAAAUCCUUCAAGAAAAAAUGCAAAAACGCACCAGAUCUUGCCAAAAACACUGAUACAAUCCAAGCUCUGAUACCAACUGUAAGUCCCAAAAUUUAGCAUGAGUAUCAAUCUGAUCCACUUGAUGGUGCGGAAUCCCAAUCAAGUGGAUGAUGCAAGAUGAAAUGGAGGAGAAGAAGAACAAAAAGUGAAUCUUCAAUAUAUUCAAUGAUAUGAAUGAUGAUCAAUACAUGAGAUUCACACUUUUCGCUUGCUUUCUCUCUGUAGAACUUCAAGGUGCUCAACAAUGGCUUCCCUUUUUCAAUAUGGUCCCCUCCUCGGUUCUAGCUACCUAACACCCCAAAUAGCCCUUUAUAUAUACCUAUGGAUAAAACCCAAUGCCAAACCCAGUACCCAGACUGAAAACACAUGAGUUUUCGGUCCAAGCUACAAAUAAACCAAUAAUAUUUUCUGCCAAAGACUAAAAACAAUAAAUGCUUAGAAAAGCAAAGUAUAAACCAUAUUUUGACUCAACAAUUAUUCAAUGUAUACUACUUUGGUAAAUUGAAAACUAGAAGAAUUUCUAGAGCACAAAGAGUUUUAUAGUUAAAGCAAGAAAAUAAAAAAUAGAAGCUUAUGUUUAGUAGUUCAAGAUAGAAAAAGCAAUGUAAAGAAGGCAUAAAUCUGUACUGUCAAGCAUAAAUAGAUUCAAAACAUGUAAAUGUCAUUUUUCCUAAAGGCAAUAAGCAUGAUUGAUUCUUUUGAGUCUAUGACUUUUCCUUCAUUAUCAUUGAAAAGGACUUUGUAUCCAUCAUCACACAAUUGGAUGAUAGAGGUGAGAUUGUUUUGAAGAUCUUUGACAUAGUAUACAUUCUUCAGUUUAAUUUUUAUACACUUUAUUGUGUCAAUACCUUUUAUAGUUCCUUCACUGUUAUAUCCAAAAGUAACAAUAGGACCAUCUUUCUCCACAUAGUCAUUAAAUAGAAACUUAAGACUAGUCAUACGUUUAGAACAUCCACUACCUAAGUACCAAGCAUGCUCCUAACCUAGACACAUGGAGGAGGAGUUCCAACUUUGCAACUUUAACAUCCUUGUAGCUUGAUAAAGGUCAGCGUCAACCGUACUAAGGCUGUUACUAUAGACUUCGUCAAUAUUGGCCAUAAGACCUUUAACCUUUUGUCCUUCAUCUUAUGAAGACUAUUCUUCUUCGACCUAUUUCUCGAUUCUUUAUUGAUUUGCAAUGAAGGCCUUUAGAAGUGAGAUGUUUUCAUUCUUCAUAUGUGCCAACAACUUCUUGUAUAGAACCUCAUAGUUUUUAGAACUUUGAGGUUCUUUCUUCUCUUUACAAUGCCUAUUAAAGUGAUCAGGACUUCCAUAAUUGAAGCAAUUUCCUAAAUUCUUUCUUUCAGAGCUACUCCUUUUAGCUGAACUGUUCACCUUGGGCUGAAAUCUUUUGGUUCCAUUUGACCUACUUUCUUCAUAACGUUUGACAAUAAGUGCAGCACUGACAACCAAUUAAUCAGGAGAAUCAUCAUCAUGCAUUUCGUCCUGGUCAGAUUUAUCAUAGUCGCUAACAACGCUGGCUUUUUCUUUCCAAGAGAAAAGAGCCAUAUAUUUUUCUUUGUUGGAGUCUCUCAUGAUAUCUUUUUGAAGAGUUUUAGUAUCUUCGUAGUUUCAUAGAUUUCCAAACAGAGAAUUGAGAUCCAUGGAGUUUAUCUUCUCUUUAUUUUUUAGAACAUUAGUGUGAUGUUCCCAGCUUCUCCCAAGAGAAUCCAAAAACUUCAGAACCAACUAGGAAGAAUGUUUGGUGAUGCCCAGCAUGUGCAUAUCAUUCACUAAAUAGUUAAACUUGUUAAAGGUUUGGGUUAGAGACCCACCUUGUUGAAAAAAAUGCUCGGCGACAGAUUAAAAUUAUUGAUGGUAGCUACUUGAACUUCCAUAGUUCCUUCGUAGGCCAUAGUCAGUGUCUCCGUUAUCUCUUGAACAGAAUCGCAGUUUUGAACUAGUUGUGUUUAUUAAAAGGAGGGAUUUUGUUUACUACAGAAGACUUUAGAUUAUAUGAGGAAGACAUGAUAACUUGAAUGUAUCGAAGAACCUGCUCUGAUACCAAUUAUAGGUUCGCUUGAUCUGAUACAAACAAGUAUAAACAAAGAGAAAGAUGAUAGAAAAACAAAAGAACAGACGAACAACGAUUACCACAAAGAUGGUUUUUCACUAAAAAAAGAGUUCUCACAAAGAGAACGGUGCACAAAGCAGUCACAAAGAUGAUCACAUAGAUGCAUUAGGGUUUAGCCCUAAUGCAUGACUAUAUACAAUUACAAUAAACAAAAAUCCAUUUAUUUUAGGGACUUAAUCUAAUCUGCGUAUAGUUUGAUCCUAAUCACUAAGAUUAUGGACCAGAUAUCUAUUAUACAAAUACAAAUAUAUCUAUAAUUACAAAGUAUCUAACCGACUAAUAUACAAAAGUAUCCAACUUUAUACAAAACUAUCACGAUGUCGUUGAUACUAUGUAGACGCUAACGCUAAUGCUAACGCUAACGUUGGUGCUGGUGGACAACGUGUGAAUUAUGUUUGACUCAUCAGAUCAUAAGGCGUGAUCUUACGAAAGCGGUGUCUAACAUCGUUAAUCCUUUUAUCGUUCCGUACAAUAGUAUGGUACGGAAUAUCCAGCUAUUCCGAGAUUAGUUUAUUGCUAAGAAUAAAAAACUAACUGAGCUUGAAAGGGAUAGUUCUAGUGUUCCCAUGGUUCUCGUGUAUGAAGUUGAGGCGUUAAAGACGUAGGUGGUGCUGUUGAGAGAUGAGAAAGAGAUUUUGAAUAGUAAACUUGCUCAAGGCCACCAUCAUGAGGAUGAGAUUUAGAUACUUCGUGAUCAGGUUACAUCUAUGAAGUUGGAAAAUGUUUGCUUAGUUGAUAAGAUUGCUAUGCUGGAGACUGCUAGUUGUAAACACUCGAGUGAGUUGGCUAAUGUAAAUUUGAGAAAUAUGGAUUUGAAGGCAAGUGUUGUUGGGUUAACCGAGCAAAUAUAUAAGUUUGAUGAUGUUAUGCAUCAGGUGUUAUAUGAAGGUAUUGGUGGGGUCUUUCUCGACCCAACAGAAAGAAGUCGAAGUAUUCAAGAUCUUUUCCUCCGAUUUUGCAAUGAUUAUAUUUAAUGUUUCGCUUCAUAUUUUAGUAGUUCAAAUUUAUAUUUGAUUGUUGAAAAUUCAGUGAUUAAAUACUUCAUAUUUUUAAUGUUUUGGUUCCUAUUUGCAAUGGUAUUGUAUGUUAAGUGAUUUUUUUGAAGAUUACUCUAGAGUUUUGAAAUAUAUUUAAAACGUUCUUUGAUGUAUUGAAUAAGUUGUAAUUAUAUAUUUGUAACCCUAAUAUAACCAAUAUAGCCAUAUAGAAAAUCCUAUAAUAAAAUUAACCAACCCAAUAUCAUAGCCUCAAGACUCAACCCACAACAUUGGCCCAAUUUAUUUGUUAGUUUAUUUGGUUUAACUUACAAUUAGAAAGAGAUAUAAUAUGAUUUGGUCCCCAAGAUGAAUAAUAUUUCAUGAUAAUCCAAAUUUAAAUCAGUUGUUAGAUGAAUAUAAAGAACGGGUUUUGAGAAUGUUUUCGUUUUAACAAAGAAUUGAAGUACCAUUCUUUGUAGUAUGCUUUGUGAACGAAAGAGAGUUUUAAACAUUCAUAAAUCAUAGUCUAAGCGAUUAAGGAUGGCAUCAAAUUUAUAUUUCGAGUUUUUUUUAGUUGUCAUGUUUGACAAACCAAAACUAGCUUACUGAGUUAGUUUUUUUUUUUUUUAAAAAAAACACAAAAAGUUUAGACUAGCUCUUGGGAAACAUUAAAAAAAAUCAAAUAUACCCUUAAUUAAUUAUAAAAACAUAUUAUUUUUAAUGUCUUUUAUAUUAUUUUAUAUUUUUCAAUUAGCUUAUCAACUAAUUCCAAAAAGGUUAUAUUUGCCAAUUAACUUUUCAGCUAAUACAUCGUCUACGUAUGAAAUCAAAAUUAUAUAUUACAUAUGAAAUCAAAAUUAUAUAUUUUUUCACAAAGAAAACAUUUUACAUUAUUUUUUUCUAACCCAUAGGAUUAUCCAACAAGGUUGAAAAUAAAGUUCUAUUUCGAUGCCCUGAUUGCACAUUCACACGUUUUACAAGGCCCACUAAAGAUAUUUUACGCCUCCUAAAUCCUAAUCUCUUAUACAUUUGAUCAAAAAUUGAUUUGUCAAUUCCUAUAUUCAUCACCCCAACUUGCGACUACAUACUAUUUAAUAUAAGGCAUUUUAAAUGUAUAAAUACUUAUAACAUCUAAUUUUUCAAAGUAAAAUACUCGAUUUUGAUGUCGACAAAAUGUCUCGAACCAAAUUGCAAAUGUUAGCUGUAAAUUAAUUAAAGAUAAUACUAGAAAAAUCAACCCUAACAAGACAAGAUAUUACUAUCAUAUUGUCAAUCAUUAUAAAAAUGUGAGGUAUCAGAUUCAAAGAUACUUGGAUACAUUCCCUCUAAAAAUGGGAAACCCCCUAAACAGGCAAAGACGAUAACUCUUCAGAUUUCCUAGUAUAGCCUAUUAGGCCCACUUUUUUUAUUUUUUAUUUAUUAUUUUUUUUUCAUUUUGAACUUUCACGACUUUCAAUAUUUGAAUUUUAAUCGUCGACAUAUUGUAUUUGGUUGUUUUCAGGGCUUUUAACAAAAAAAAUUCAUUUAGUACGGCACAUCAUUUCUUUCAAGAUUCUAAAUAACGUAAGGCGUGACUUGACAGCAAUAUCAAACCUCAAACUUUUCUGAUCCUUAGCGAGUCACGGUGUUUGUAAAGCGUAACUUAAGGCGGCAAUUUUCUAUAUAAUUAAUAUUUUUAUCUGUAUUUUCAACUAUUAUUCAUUUUUAUACACAUAUAUGAGUUAUUGCGGCGUUUUGGCAAAGCUUGGCGGCAGGUGCAAACCUUAGAGUGGUGACGCGCUAUGACGAGCUAUUUAAAACCUUGUUUCUACCUUACUUGCACGAAGAUCUAAUUAGUGCUAGGAGUGUGUAUGAAUGGUUAAUCGAACUGAAAUCAUAUUUCGAAAAGUUAAUCAAAACGAUCGGUUCAUUAGUUUCUUAAACCUAAAUUUAAACCCAAAAAAUUUGUUAACCGACUUUUGGUUAACCUAUUUUUCGAUACGGUUAUCAGGGUAACCUUUUAACUCUUUACAAAUUAAUAAAUAUGUAUUGAAACUAAAAAUACUAUAUUAAAAUUCAAAAUAAGUAUAAUCUUAAACAUACAAUUUUUGUGAGAGCCCAAAAAAAAUCAAACAAACAUUGCUAAAAAGAACUAAAAAGUAAACGUUAUAAAAAAUGUCAAUCGAAUCACAUAAUUAUCUACAAAUUUUGAAAAAAAUAUUAGAAUAUAAGAUAAAAAUAAUUGUUUUUAAAAUUCGACCUUUGUAUUACUUAAUAUUAAAAUUUUAACAUGAUUAUAAUAUAGUUAUAUAGAUGAUUUCUUAAUUUGAAUAUGUAUAAUAUGCUUUAAUGAGUACCUAGAUGUGUCCGUGUGCAAAGCGGCGACGAUAAAUAGCAUUUUUGACGAAUAAUUUUUUUGGUAAAAUAAUUGUUAGAUUUUAUUAUUAAUUAUUAUGUAAUAGAAAAUUACACAUUUUAAACAAAAUAGUUAUAUUUUUACCUUAUGUUUAUAUUGCAUGUUUAUACUAUUGAUGUAAAUUAAUUAUUAUUAGUGUUUAGUUUAAGAAAAGUAAAUUAACUUAUAUACAUGAAUUUAAUAUUUUAAAAUUUUUAUUUUGCUCCAAAUUGAAUUUUUUAAUUACUUUCGUUAAUAAUCUUCAAACUUUUUGGCAAGUAUUAAUGAAUUGUAUAUACAUAAUUGAUAUGUACGAAAUCUUUGUAACUUAUACUUCUUAAAAUUUAAGAUACGACUAAAUAUGUUUUAUAAUAUAGUAUAAGAUAUUUUAUUCACUGAUUACGUGUCUAUUUUUCCAUAAAGAGUCGAAGAGCAACUUGAUAUCAUGUUACUUGGGAUAAAAACAAUGAAGAUAUAAAUGGUGACCGUCAAAUAACAAGAUAAUUAUUAAUAAAUAAUAUAUUAAUAUUAAUUUGAUUCUUUGAGAAUAUAAUAAUUCAAAAUUUCGGUUUUCCGGUUAAUCGACUGUGGCAAAAAAACAUGAACCCAAUAGUCGUCGUGGCUAUGUGCAGGCGGUGCAGUCACACAUGGCUUCAGAUGUUAGGUAGGGAUAAACAUCGAAACCGGGUACCCGUUUUUGGAACCGGAACCGCCUCAGAACUGUCGGUUUUGGAACUGAACCGCCUAAGACGAUUUCGGUUCUUGUUCCUAAAGUUAUGGAACUGUCUUAAGCGGUUCCAGUUCCAGUUCUCAUUUUUUUAGAACCGCUACCCGCUGGGUACCCAACCGGAACCGGUUUAUAUAUANNNNNUUUUUUAUUUUUUCUAUAUAAUUUUUUUCUCUCUCUCUCUCUCUCUCUCUAUAUAUAUAUAUAUAUAUAUAUAUAUAUAUAUAUCUGUGUGUGUGUGUUACUUAGACCGCUUAAGAAUAUAUUGUCCGAUUUUGUCCGUCUUUAGUUCGAAUUGAUUUGAUUUGGAUCGAACUAAAUUGCGGUUUUAUCGACAAAAGUUAACAAAAUUAAUUUAACUGGGUUACCCGCUCCAGGAACCAGAACCGCCAGUUCCGGGACUGGUUCCAAACUUUUAAGAACUGCCUAGAGCAGUUUCGGUUUCGGUUCUAACUUUCUAGGAGCCGCCGGUUUCGGUUCCGGUUCCGGUUCUCGUCAAAUGAGGCGGGUAACCGCCUACACUCAUCCCUAAUGUUAGGGGCCUCCGAAAUUUGGGACAAAUAUAUGUAUACAUUUUUAUGUGUUAUCAUUAUAGAAAAUUAUCUAUGUGUGUUACUUAUAUUCACAAUGUAACAUUUGGUCACAAUCUUGAACUCAUUUUACUUAGGAAAGAAAUCAAAGAAAAUAAAAAAAUAAAAUAAAAAAUCUAAUCAUAAGUUCUAAAGUUUAUCACAAAUUUAAGGAAAGUAUAUAUAUCUAAAGAUAAAUACAUAUUUGUUUCUAAUAUAAAUUUUAGAAAACGAUUUCAUAUUUAAUAAAAGACAUUUCUCUCUAAGAGAGUCUCAAUUACUUGUCUUAUUUUAAUAGUAAAAGUUAUAUAUAAAGUUGUUAAUGAACAAACAUAUAUAAUUAAAGAUCAAAAGUGAAGCUACUUGGCUAAUAGAGCGAGAACUUGAGAAAUUUGUCUUUAUAAUUGGUAUGGUUAUAUGGUAUCAUAUAUUGGUUAAAGUAAACAACCCGAGCAAACAAAUUCAAUCUGAAAACUAUAUGUAUUGAUGAGACAAAGAGUAGCAUGGGAGCAUUUGUUUAGUUUUUAACGACUAUUGAGAGAAUGAGUUUGACAAGGUUUGGGAGUGUGCGAGAGCUACAACUUCUCAUUGAGGAAUUUAUACGGUGUUUUUUGAAUAAAAAUAAAAUAAAAGAACAAUUAUAUAUAUAUAUAUAUAUAUAUAUUUUGACGAGAGUGAUGUUGGAUCAUCAAACCGAUACAUGAACUUUCACCUCAUGAUUCGUUCAAGAUUCAAUAUUUUAUGUACAUAGUUGAUCAAACUAUUGGUUCAUCAGAAGAAAUGUUUGAACAAUAUAAAUAAUAUGAAGAUACUUUUGAUUUCUUAUUCGCAAUAGAAAGUUGUAGUCACUGAAUACUAGUGAGUCAAAGGAAAGUUGCAAAAAUAUUGAAAAAAUGUUGCAAAGUGGUCAUAUCUGACACAUCAAUGUUGAUGGUUUAUCUAACAAACUUUAAUUGUUACAAAAAUAUUUAUCACUUGAACAUAUCCAUUUUCUUGUUUAUUAUAAAAAAAUAUUGUUUAUUGAUCUCAUUAUUUUUGCACGAACCGAAAAAUGUUUGUCAAAACUAAAGUUUUUAAAAUCUUAUUUGUGUUAAACCAUAUCUCAAAAGAGAUUAAAAGUUGUGGCUUAAUUUCAAUUGAGAACAAAUUUCCUGAUAAUAUUAAUUAUGAAAGUGUAAUAGAUUAAUUUUUCUUAUAAAAAUACUAGAAGAUCAAUGUUUAGAAAGUAGCAACACUAGUUUAAUAGGUGAAUCGUAACUAAACCGAAAAACCGAAAAUUUUAACGGGCUCAGUUAAUCAAACCAAAAAAAUAAAAAUAAAAAAAUCGGUUUGGUUAACCUAAAAAUCGGUAUGCUUUUUUGGUUUCUCAUAUGUUAAACACCCCUAGUUAGUGUCACAUAGGCUAAGGAUGCCUUAUUGUAGAAGGUAAAACCGGCUAAAGGACAAAUAUAAAUAAAUCUUCCUAAAUAUUAUCGACAUUAACGCACUAAAAAUUGUUGCCGGGACAAAACCAACAAAACUUACCAAACUUAAAAUCUUUUACGUCAAAAACACUAACUUUUUAAUAAUUAUUAACUAAUGAUUUUAGAUAAAAAAAACUAUAAAAUACGAUAGGUUUUUUUGGUGCUUAAAUGAUUUUAGAUAAGAACUAUAAAAUACAAUAGGUUUUUUGGUGCUUCAAUUACCAUCUAUUCUUACACUAGGUGUGAGACUCGUGUAUUACACGAGUUGAUUAAAAAAGUUAAAUAUAAGGUAUAGACAUUAAAUAGUUUCUAAAAUAAAAUUUUGAAAAAAUAUAAAUGAAAUGAUGAAUAAGUAAUUCAAUUUAUACUAAUAAAAAAAUUAUUAUCAUGUUUUAAAAAAUCAUGCUAAAUAUGAAUAUGUAAAAAUUAAGUAUUUUUUAAAGUAAGCUUUCGAAAUAAAUACAAUAAACCACAACGGUCAUUUAUGUAAUUUGUCUUAAUUAAUAUAUACUAAUAAAACUAAUUAAUAUAAAAUCAUGAAUGAAAUUCAUUAAUAUAUUAAUGAGUUUAUGUCAUUUUUGGUCACUUAACUUUUGGUUUUUUAUUCAUUUGGUCACUUAACUCUUUUUAAGUUUUAAAAGGUCAUCAAACUUUUGAUUUUGUGCUAAUUUAGUCACUUAACUUUUGGUUUGGUCACUUAACUUUUAGAUUUUUUCUCAUUUAGUCACAUAACUUUUAAAAUUGUGUUCAUUUAGUCACUAAACUUUUGAAAAAAUUUAAAAGUUUAGUGACUAAAUGAGCACAAUUUUAAAAGUUAAGUGACUAAAUGUGACCAAACCAAAAAUUAAGUGACUAAAUGAGCACAAAGGCAAAAGUUUGAUGACCUUUUAAAACUUAAAAAUAGUUAAGUGACCAAAUGAGCACAAAACCAAAAGUUAAGUGACCAAAAAUGACCUAAACCCUAUAUUAAUAGAAAUAAGAAUUCACAAAUGGAAGGUUUAUUAUGUACAUUAAUUCACAUUAAUUUAAUUACUAUGAGGUGACAUUUAAUAGGUGAAAUUGAAUAAAAAUAAAAAAAAUACAAAAAUGACAAGUGGAAAAAAAUAAUUUUAAAAUUCUAAGAAAAUGACAUGUGUCAAAUUCAAUAAAAAGUUGACAUUUGGCAAAAUUAUCUUUAUUUAUUAUGGUAGAAGAUUAAUAGAAAUAAGAAUUCACAAAUGGAAGGUUUACUAUAUACAUUAAUUCACAUUAAGUACUAUGAGGUGACAUUUAAUAGGUGAAAAUUGAAAAAAAAAAUAAAAAAAAUACAAAAAUCACAAUUGGAAAAAAAAUAAUUUUAAAAUUCUAAGAAAAUAACAUGUGUCAAAUUCAAUAAGAAGUUAACAUUUAGCGAAAUUAUCUUUAUUUAUUAGGGUAUACGUUAUGAUAGGUUUUCUAACAUGGUUGUGAAUAAAUUAAGAUUUCGAAAAAGUCCUAAAAUUUUACUUUAGUUGACGAAAAAACCGUAAACUAAAAUUUGUUUACGAAAAAGCACGGAUUACCAUUAAAAAUGACGAUUUGACCAAUUUUUCUUGAUUUACCGAUUUCAUUACUUACAUAUUUCAUUAAAGCCCCAUUAUUUUACCCUAAUUUACAAGUAAGUCCCAAACUAAAAUGUUGUGAUGAUUUGACCCUUUUCUCCAUGUUAUAUAUUUUAUCGGUUUCAUUGUUGACUUGGACACCUAGUCAUUAAAUUAGCUUAUACGAUGAAUACAAUGAGUUAUAUAAUAUAACAUUUACUAUAAAAUGUGUUUCCAAAAAAAACAGCAGCAAAUGAGUUGAUGUCUGAUGAGAUGGAUGUAUUAGGCUACAUAAGUUUAUAUAGAUGAUUUGAAUUUUUUAUAAACAUAAAAAUUGUUAUAAAAUAUGAUCAAAUAAUAAGAUAAGUUAUAGAGUAAAAAUAUGAUCAAAUAACAAGAUAAGUUAUAGAGUAAAGAAAGACAUGAGAGUAGAGAGAAUUUUUAUUCCAAUACUUGUGAUGAAAUCAUCAAACUUUACAAUACAUAAUAUUCACUAUUUAUACUAGACAAAGAAGAUGAAAGAUGAUGUAUGAUAUGAAUGCUCAUUAUAGUGGUGCAUAACUACACUCAUAAAACACAUAAUAAUGUUUGCUAUAAUGUUCACUAAUUAUGGAGAGUAAUGGGGGAAUAUGGAGAAUCCAAUAGUCAUUCACUAAAUGAUAAUUCAUAACACUCCCCCUUGAAUGACGAUUGUAUCAUGCCUCGUUAAAACCUUAAUCGGUAAAACCUCAUGGGAAAAACCCUUUAUUAAGGAAACAGAGUACAUGAUUAAUAAUAGAUAUGGGAAAUAAUUGCCUCGUUAAAAACCUUGCUAAGAAAACCCAGUGGGAAAAACAUAGCUAAGGAAAAUAGUACAAUAUGUUUCCAACUCCCCCUGAUUAGCACAUCACUUGAUUCUCUUGAAGCACCGCAUAACAAUGUUUCGUACCAUCUUUUCAAUUAAUGUAGGAAGUGCUUUAGUAAACCAAUCAGGAAAGUUGUUACUGGAUUGAAUUUUCUAGAUGUUGAUGCCACACUCUUUUUGAAGAUCAAGAGUGAAAAAAAAACUUUGGUCAUAUAUGCUUGGUUCUGUCUCCUUUUAUAAAUCAUUCCUUGAAUGGAGCUAUACAAGUUGUAUUAUCUUCAUAUAGUAUGGUUGGAACAUCCUUGUUAGAAGUUAGACCACAAUUCUUGCAAAUAUGUUGAGUUAAAAUUCUUAACCAAAUACAUUCAUGACUUGCCUUAUAAAUUGACAUAAUCUCUGCAUGGUUAGAAUAAGUAGCAACUAAAGUUUGUUUAACAAAAUGACAAGAAUUUACGUUACCUCCGCAAGUGAAUAAAUAACCUUUUUGUGUGGAUCAGAUAAAUAUCCAGCAUAUGCAUAACUAAUUAACUUCGCAUUUUAAGAAUUUGAUUAGUAUAAAUUCAUAUCCAUUGUACCUCAAAGAUAUCAAAGAAUGUGUUUGACUUUAUUACAUUAUCUUCUUGUUGGACAACAACAAUAUCUUGCUAAUAAGUUUACGACAAAAUAUUUAUCAAGUCUUGUAUUAAUAUUAAGAUAUAUUAGUGCACCAAUAGCACUAAGAUAUAGUUCUUCUAGAACAAGAAGUUUUUCAUGUUUUUUAUGAUGCUGAAAUUGAUCCUUUUUGGCAUCUAAGUGCCUUACCACCUUUGGGUUACUCAUGGAUGUGAGUUAUUCAUAUAAAACCUUUUCAGCACCUUUUCUAGAUAUUAAUGUACAAAAACUCCAUUUUUUGUGUGCUUAAUUUGAAGACCCAAAUAGAAUUUCAUCUUACCAAGAUCAUUCAUUUCAAAAAUUUCUUUCAAACAGGAAGUGACCUUUUCCAAUUCUCUAGGAGUUCAAAUUAUGUUCAAAUCUUCUACAAUAGCAUCAAUUAUGAUAAACUCUUAUCUGCAUCUUUUUAUGAAUACACAUCGGCUUAAUGGAUCAUUUUUAUAGCACUUUUUCAACCGAAAUGUACUAAAACAGUUGAAGCACAUACGGCCAAAUUGUUUCAAUCUAUAUAAAGAUUUAUUUAAUUUUACUAAAUAUACUUCACGAGAAUUAGAAGUUUGUGCUUCUAGCACCUUAAACACUUCUGAGAUUUUCAUAUAAAUAUCAUUUUCAAGUGAACCAUAUAAAUAAGCGGUAAAAUACAUCCAUUAGACACAUCUCCAGUUUUGCAUAUGUUGUUAAACUUAUAAAAUAACUGAAUGUAAUUGCAUCAACUACAGGAGAAUACGUUUCUUCAUAAUCAAUUUCGGGCCUUUGGGUAAAACCUUGUGCAACAAGUAUUGCUUUAUAUCUCACAACUUCAUUUUUUCUAGUUUCUUUUGCACACAAAUACCCAUUUGUGUCCCACUGUUCUUACUAUGUUUGGUGUAUAGACUACAGGCCCAAAAACUUUUCAUUGGGUAAGACAAUUAAGCUCUUUAUUUAUUUCAUCUUUCCAUUUUGGCCAAUAUUUUCUAUUCAUACAUUUCUCAGUAGAUUUAGGUUCAAGAUCCUCAUUUUCUUUAUAAUCGCGCGCGGAACAUAAUAUGAAAAAUUAUCGUCGACUUAUGUCUUAUGUUGGUUCCAUCUUAUUUCUAUGAUGACAUAAUUUAUUUAGAUCUCAUCAUUUUCAUUUUUUUCAGGUACCUUAUAUUCUUUUGUUAUGUCAUUGGGCUCUUCUAGAGCUUCAUUAAUCUUUUCAAGAGAUUUUGUUUUCUCUUUUGGACCAUCAAUUGUAUUUGCUCCAUUUCAUUUUCGAGGAUUUUUAUCUUUGGAACCGGCUGAUCUUCCACGCUUCAGGCGUGCCUAAGAUUCAUUUGUAGUUGUAUUUUUUUUCUUGUAGGAUAUAAAAUCUAACUGGAGUAUGUAUAACUGGUACAUGAGACUUUGUUACUCACUUAGGGUCAGUAAAUGCUUCUGGCAAUUGAUUUGCUACAUUUUGUAAAGGAAUUAUCUUUUUUAUUUCAAGUUCACAUUGACUUGAACGAGGAUCUAAAACUGAAAGUGAUAAUUCCUUUCAAGAAAUUUUAUUUUCCAGCUUCUUUAUUUCUCCCCCUAAUGUUGGAAAAUAUGAUUCAUCAAAAUAUUAAUCAUCAAAUAUAGCUGUAAAUAAAUCUUUAGUUGAUGAUUUUAAAUAUUUUACUAUAGAUGGAGAUUCAUAACCAACAUAAAUUCUCAUUCUUCUCGAGGACCCAUUUUUGUGAAGUGAGGUGGAGAAAUGGGUACAUAAAUUGUACAUCCAAACAUCCUUGGAUGGUAAAUAUUUGGUUCCUGACCGCAAACCAGCUGAAUAGGGGAGAACUCAUGAUAACUAAUUGGCAUUAUGCAUAUAAGUGAUGUUGCAUGUAAAAUUUCAUGCCCUUAUGUUGAUUAGAAAGUUUAUAAUGCAUUAGUAAUGGUCUUGCAAUUAAUUAAAGAUGUUUGAUUAAUUAAUCAAUUAGACCAUUUUGCGUACGAACAUGUGUAACAGGAUGUUCAAUCCAAUCGACAUGUAAUAAUCGUUAAUAGUAUGCAAUGAAAAUUUUGCAACAUUGUCAAGUCGAAUUAUCUUAAUUGGGUAAUCACGGAAAUGUGCCCUUGGGCUGAUUAUUUAUGCAAGUAAUAUUGUAAAAACCAAAUUACAGCUAGACAACAAGCACACAUGUGACCAUCUAGUUGACUCAUCAAUUAAAACCAUAAAAUAUCUAAAUGGUCCACAUGGUGUUGGAUGAAUUAGUCCAUAUAUAUCCUCUUGAAUUCUUUGUAAGAAACUAAGACUUUCAUACCCAACUUUGUUCAAUGAUGGACUGGAAAUUAAUUUUCCUUAAGAGCAUGCAACACAAUUCAUUAUCUUGAAAAAUCUUCUGGUUUUUCAAGGAAUGACCACUUGAAGUUUCAUUUAUUCUAUAUACCAUAAUUGAUCCGGGAUGGCCCAACCGGUCAUGCCAAACUAUAAAGGUAAUAUCAUACCGUUUUUAUUUUCAAUAACAUGAAUCAUUGUAAUAUUUUCAGUAGCAUGAAUCAUUGUAAUAUUUAUAUAGUACAAUCCGGAGGACAAUACAUGUAAUUUUUCCAAAAAACUUUUCUUAUCCGAUAUCAUUUUUGUAAUGUUGAGAUAAUUUCUAUUACCAUCAUUAGUUGUUUCAAUAGGAUAUCCGUUAGACCGAAUAUCCUUAAAACUUAAUAAUUUUCUUGGUGAUUUUAAUAAAAAUAAUGCAUCACUAAUUGUAAUUAUUGUCACUUAUGGUAAUAUUAUAUUUGCUCUUCUGGAGCCUUUAAUCAUUUUUGUAUUACCUGUUAUUAUAUUAACAUUUACUUCUCUAAUUGAUAAGUAAGCAGAAUGUUAUUGCAUUGUCUGCAAAAAAUAUAUAUUCCUUAUUUCUUUUGCGAAUAUUCAUAUUUCUUUUCAAUAAAUAAAUAAAACAUAAGAAACAUUCGACAUAUGACAUAAAAACAUAAUAAAUAUCAUGAAACAUAACUACACAAUAUUCUUCAAUCACCAUCCAUAUCAUCACUUGUCCCUUCUGGGUAGACAAGAAAAUCGGCAACAUCCAAAUGUGUCAUUUCAGGUUGAUCUUCAUGAAUAUCACUUUGAAUAAAAUUUGUUUUGAUAUAUUAUUUUUCUUUAGAUUUUAGAGAAGUUUGAUAAAGAUCAACAAAAUGCUUUGGUAAGUGGCAUGUACAAGACCAAUGAAUGAUUGUUCCACAUCAGUGACAAACAUUUUCAAUUUUUUUUCCUUGACCAAUUCUAUCAUUAGGAUGUGGAUUUUUGCUAUGUUCCAACUUCUGGUGGUUGCUUGUAAUCUUGUUAUUUUUUAUGAUAAUAACCUCCACGACCUCGAUUAUACCCAUGACUAUUAUGAUUAUAUGAUAUUGCAUUCACUUCAGGGAAUGCACUAGAACCGGACGAGAUUGGUUGAUGAUUUUUCAUCAAUAGUUCAUAGUUUUAUUCAGCCACAAGAAGAAAUGAGAUUAAUUCAUAAUAUAUUCUUUUUAAAUCUUUCUUACGAUAUUGCUGCUGCAGGAGCAUGUUGGUGGCAUGGAAAGUAGAGAAAAUUUUCUCUAGCAUAACAUAGUUUUUCAUAGUGAAAAUACUAAUCAAAAUAAAGACUUAUAUGCUCAAGAAUGGUUAGUUAAUAAAUUUCAGAAAAUAAUGUGUAAACAUUGUACAUGUAAACUUAUAAAAAAUACAUACCUGAAAAUAAUAAGAGCGAUAAAGAGUUAGAGCUUUAUGGUAGAGUCGUGCUGAUAACGUGUUAUAAAAUAUGAUCAAAUAACAAGAUAAGUUAUAGAGUAAAGAAAGACAUGAGAGUAGAGAGAAUUUUUAUUCCAAUACUUGUGAUGAAAUCAUCAAACUUUAUAAUACAUAAUAUUCACUAUUUAUACUAGACAAAGAAGAUGAAAGGUGAUGUAUGAUAUGAAUGCUCAUUAUAGUGGUGCAUAACUACACUCAUAAAACACAUAAUAAUGUUUGCUAUAAUGUUCACUAAUUAUGGAGAGUAAUGGGGGAAUAUGGAGAAUCCAAUAGUCAUUCACUAAAUAAUAAUUCAUAACAAAAAUGACGUAGUUGUUGCUAGUUUAUAUAAUUAUUGUAGGCUUCGUUGGACGCAUUUUAUAUUCUAGCAAAUAUACAAUGUAUCAGGAUAUCAAGUUUUAUAGCAAACAUAACAUUAUAUAACCUAAUAUAUCCAUCUCAUCAGUUCAUUUAAUAACUAGGUAUCCAGGUUAACAAUGAAAUUGAUAAAAUAUAUGUUACAUGGAGAAAAUGAUCAAAUCAUCACUAAAUUAUAAUUUGUGAUUUAUUCGUAAAUUAUGACAAAGUAACUGGACUUUAAUGAAACCAGAUAAUUAAUGAAACCGUUAAACCGGAAAAAAUGGAUCAAAUCGUCAUUUUACUUGUAAUUCAUGCUUUAUCGUAAAAAAAACAAUUAGUUUGUGAUUUUUUCGUAAAUUAUGAUUUUUUUGAAGAUUUCUCAAUUAGUUAUUCCUUCAUAAAAAUAUAAUAUAGUGAUUUGCAGAAAUUAAUAAUAACUUAUUGUUAGCUAUUUGACUACUCGUCUGAUAUUUCUACGAAUAAAUUGUGGUCGAUAGUUUUGCUUACUUCCCAUGCAGUUGUUUGUCAUCACCACGUGCCCACUUGAGUGAAAACCAGAACGCUGUCUUGAUUGACAAUUAAUUGGGUUUGUACGUACUUCAUAACACAGCCAAAACAAAUAACUAUAUGAAAUCAAUGACUUUUUUUAUUUUAUAUAUUUCUUCUUGUCAAAUGUACUCUCUCUAUCAAUCACAUAGACACCCACCUCCCCCAGGGCGACGCUAAAGCUAAAACAAAAUGGCCACUUGAUCCACCAAAAAUAUAAAAAAUAAUAAUAGUUAUAUAUAAAACUUGACCGUCAUAAAAUAAAAAAUAACAAUAGUUAUAUAGAAAAGUAAUUUAUGACUUAACUUAAAUAUUUAAAAAGACAUACAUUAAUGUUUGUGGCAAGAAAAAUAUAUACAAAAAUCAAACUUCCUAAAGCCCGUUUUUAUAUUGCAAUACCCCAAAAUCUCAAAUGCCCAAUUUAUUUAAAAUAUAAUCUGAUAAAAAAAAAGCACAAUACAACUAAAACUAAAUAAAAAAAAUAAAAAUAAAAAUUUAACACAAAAUGUGAUUUAUUGGUAAGUCUAAUAAUAUCCUCAUCUAGUCGUCUCUCCCGAAUUAUUUAUUAGUAAGUCUAUUCGUAUCCCUUAGUUAUUAGUUGUACCUUUGAUUUGAUAGUUUGUUAUUUGUUAGUUUAUUUUUUUUUUAUUAAUUUUGAUAUAUUUUUAUUUUGUUUUGUUAUUAUUAUUAUUAUUGCACGGAUGGUCCAUGUGAGUUGACGAAGUUUUUUAUUUUUACUUUUAUUUUUCUUUUAAACGGUAAUAUAUUAUAUUCAUUGCGAAAUUUGAACCCUCAACCUCAAGAAAAAACGACAACACUGAAUACCACUGGGUAGAAACUCUUUGAUUCUAUUUAAAUUAUAGUAAUCUUACAUCCUUAUUGAUGCAUUGUCGGAGAACCAACUAAUCCACUAUCUACAAUUUAUAUUGUUUUCUAUUAGGUGUGAGAUCCGUGUAUUACACGUGUUUAUAAAAAAAAUUAAUAUAAAAUUAUAAGCAUUACAUAUUUUUUAAAGUAAUAAUUUUACAUAAAUACAAAGAAUAUAAUAAAUAAAGUAAAUAAUAAAGGUUGUAAAACAUUUAUUAUGAAAUUUAAUAAAAUAAUCUACUUUACAUAUAUAAAUCUCAUUAAAAUGUGAAUUUUAAAUUUAAGAAAAAUGAAAAUUUUAAGAAAAUGACAAGUGGAAAACAAAUAAUUCAAAAACUCUUAGAAAAUGACAUCUGUGAAAUUUAAUGAGAACAUGACAUUUGACAAAAGUGAUUUUCAUUUAUUAGGUUGGAUUAGAUAUCUCUCACGUUUAACUACCAAUCACUUGUUGAAUAUUAAUGACAAUUAUAAACAAUAAGUGCAGCAGAAACAAUAAUUAAUCAUCCACUAAAAUCAGUGGCGAAUCUAGAACAAAAUAUCACAUGGUUCCCAAAUUAAGUUAAGCCCAUAAAAAAAUCAACAACACUUGUGAGGGGUCGGGUCGGGCCGUGCACGAUUUAAUGAAAUAUAACUGAAAAAACCGAUCAACCACCAUCAAUUAAAAUUAAAAAAAUGACCGAUUGAAAUAUAAUUGAAAAUAUCGAGCAAUUUAAUGAAAAAUUAGUUGAUUAUUAAUGCAUUGAUACCUUAUUGUUUGAUAAAAACUAUAUAUUAUAUGUAACACUAUAUAUUUAACAGCACAAAUGUCCCAUAUAACUUAUUUUUUGCCCCUUUUAAAAUGGUUUUUUAAGACAUUUUUUAGAAAAACAAAUUCAUGGUAGUUCAUUUAUUUUUUCUAAAGUAGUUCUUAAUUUUUGUGACAUAUAUAUUAUAAAUGAAAUCGAAAUUUUAGGUAGAUCCUAUGACCUACCUUCUUAUAUGUUAGAUAUGCCCUUUACUAAAAUUGAAUCGAGGAUCACAAAACUUACAACUACAAGAAACAAACAUAAUAACAUAGUGGAAAAAAGAUUUACCUCUUGAAGACUCGGGUCUCGGAGAAGGAUAAAACACUAUAUAAUUAUCCAAAUCGUCUACAGCAUCCAACAACCGCCACUGCUGUAUCAGAUUUGAUCUGACAAAAGAAACUAUUGAAAAAUCUCUCAACAGAAACUUAUAUCUAUUUAGAAAUAGCUACAUGAUUUGAUAUGUCUUAUGGGCUAACACUUAACGGGAAAUACGAUGAUUAACAUUGUCUGCUUAUAAAAUUAAUGGUAACACUAUAUGUGUUUGCAAUAAGAAAAACAAUGUUUGAUAUAACAAGCCAAUGUCCGGUUACCGUAAAAUCAAAUACACCAUAACUCAAUGAGUGAUUUUUGUUGAUGAAAUAGUCUUCAUAAAUCAAUACGUAUUCUUGGUGUGCGAUAACAAUUUGUUAUAUAAAUUCGACCAAAUUUGAUGAUAUGAUGAUGAUGAUAAUAAAAAAGACACCAAUGUUGGAGUAAUCCACGGUUAUAAUCUGGGCAUUGUCGAUUUAUACUAACUUUACUAACAUAAUUAUACUAACUUCUAAAUAUUAAUUAUUAACUAGUUGUUUAAAAUAAAUGAAGACAAUAAGUAGUAAGAGAAUAUAAUAAAUAAAAUUAAAUAUGAUACAAUUUAAAAGUUGAUUUGAUAGAACUAUUAGAAUAGUAUUAAUCUGUUAAGAGGUAAAACUAAAAAUAAAUCUAUAAACAUUAGCACCAUUAUUUGUAUUGUUAGUUUGUUUUUUAUUAUUUGAUAUAAAAUUAUAUAUAUAUAUAUAUGCGAAGAAGUUAGGAACAAUAUACUUUACCCUUAUUUGAAUUUGGCCACAUAACUUUUAAAGCAGGGCACAAUAGUAUACUUUAGCCAGGUAUUGUAACGUACCAAAACUAAAAAUAAAUAUUUUUUGUUUUUAUAAUAAAUAAACCAUCAACCAAACAUGUGUGUCAAAACCAUAAAGUAUUCAGAGAGCAGCCAUAAACAUCCCAAAAGUACAUCGUAGUCAAAUAAAUGAAAAAUCAUGGUGUGUGCAAUGCGAUCAUCCUGAGCUCUUCCCCUUCGAAUCGGAAGUAACUGAAGCAUAAACUGAAAAACAAAGCUUAGUGAGUUCCCCAAAAUACCGCAUAGCAUACAUAUACGUCAACUCAAGGUUGUACAACGUCUAUUUCACUCCCAAGUCUAUUUCACUCCCGAGUCUAUUUCAACUCAUAUGUCAGCUCAAGGCUGUAUCGGGUAUAUUUUACCCCCAAGUCUAUUUCAACUCAUAUGACAGCACAAGGUUGUAUCGGGUCUAUUUCACCCCCGAGUCUAUUUCAACUCAUAUGACAACACUAGGCCGUAUCGGGUAUAUUUCACCCCCGGGUCUAUUUCACCCUAUAUACAUAUAGCAAACAGGCACACAGGUAUACAACACAUACAACAGGAGUCACAAAGACUACACGUCUUAGUGUCCUACAGUAUAGUGAAUGAUGUGUGUUUAACCAACUAGUUUUAUUCCUACUUCCAAAUUAUAAAUUAAUCACACAAAAGGCAGUGGACCUGUAAAUUGGUGGUAUAGAUCUAGUAAGCAGGGUAUCGAACUCAGGGAAUGGCAAUUAAACUAAUUCCUAAAAUUAUCUAAAAACAAAAUAACAAAUAAUAGUAAAGAGGGUUUUACUAGUUUUACAAGACUAGAAACUUACUAACGAUUAAACUAAUAACUAAAUAACAACUAAGCAAGCAAAGACCAGCUAAAUUCAAUAUCUAAAGGGACUUCUGUUUAGGUUCGACUCAAUUGAUCCUAUGGUUGAUUUAAUGGUAAUAGUACAAUGGGUUAACCUUUUAUUGGCUACCGAUUCAGGUGAUUAGAUUCACAUUCGCUAUGCUAAUCCUUAGAAAAUAAACUAAUUCAAGCAGUGGCCAGUUGUCUAAAUUAAUUAAUUCUCUAGGUUAUUUAUUCGGGUUAAAUAAGACUUGUAAUGGUUAAUCAAAUUGGUGAUUCAAUUAGCCUCUUGUUGUUGGUUUAUCAAACAAGCUCACACAUUGACUUACCUAUUCUCUAAUUAAUCCUAGUUUCAUAUUCACUAAUCCUAGGCAUAUAAUAAAGUGUUCACAUAAAUCAUAUGAGGUAAACAAUUAAGAGAUGUUCAUGCAGCCUAAUUGCCUUCCUAUUAAUAAGAAAUAGUUAUGGUUAAUGCAUACGGAUCUUUAACAAGCUUAAUUCAACAAAAUCACCGAUUAAAAGUUAAUCCUACCAUUAAUCAAACCAUAGUCUCAAAAUUGUCUUACCCAAACAGAAGCUAGCAAGUUUAGCUCAUGAUUAAAACAGUAGAAAACUCAAAAACGAAAUUCAAUAACAUAAACAUGGUUUAAGUACUAGAUCUAGUUAAGAGAAAUCAAAGUAUGCCUUAAUUAUCCUUCAAAACUUGAAUUGGGUUGAAUCUUCACUCUUCUAGAUGUCUCUUUUCGCUCUGAAUCCCAACUCCUUCUCCUAGGGUUCUCAGAAGUCCCGUCUAUCGAUUUGGAGGGUUUCUUUUAUAGAUUCGACUUGAAUCGUCGAGUCCACAACCGACUCGUCGAGUCCCUCAUUAAAUCCCCGUGUACCGCAAGUCAAAGACUCUCCUGCUUCGCAAAUCUUCUUGGGAACUCGUCGAGUAGACGUCCCUACUCGCCGAGUCCUUGGUGUUUUUGGCAUUUUUCUUCCUUUGUUCAUUCCAAAGCUUCCCGAUAGCCACUCCUGCUUCCGAGCACUUCUUUUAGACUGAAAAUAUAAUUCAAACAUAAUUAAGUACCUUUUGUCCAUAAUAUGCAAUUAAUUAGCUAAUAAAUGAUAUAAAUACAUACUAAAUAUAGGGCUAAACAUGCACAUAUCAAAAUAUCCCACACUUGAAUUUUGCUUGCCACCAAGCAAAACUGAAUUUUAAACAUACUAGCAUCACAUAAGACAACCCCAAUCGGACCCAACCAUUAUGCCAAGACCGCAACGCAUGCAUUUGUGUCUAAUUUUUUCCUAAGGACCCCCUUAAUUCUAAAUACUCACAAUCCUCAUAAACACUCACCCACUUUUUCCGAACAAUGCUCAUUUUAUGCAUCCCUCUGAAUCCAUCCGCAUAAAAUCUUUUAACCUCAAGGUAUUUUUGGUUGAGCAACUUAAGCACACAUAAUCUAGAAAAUUACAAUUUUUCGAUACCAAUAUGGAGCUAUUUGGAAUUCUUCAAUUCUUUGAUAAUUUGUCUUUCAUUUCUCUGAAUUCACCACCUUCUUUAAUUUUUGGAAUCUUCAACUUUGAUCUUUCUUAGAAUUUUGAUCUUUUGAUCUUCACUUUGAUUGCUCCAACAUUUAACUCACUUUUUUUCACUAAAUACCUACAUGAUUAAGCAGAGGCGCUCAACUUCAACAUUUAUUGGUUAAGGAUAAUAAUUUUCCUGGAUACAUUUCAAGUACACUAUGCUAAACAUAUUGCAUCCCUCAAACUAAACGAGGUUGUGUUUUUGUCCCAUGAUUUCACUAGAAUAAGGGAGGCCACAAAUGCAUUAUAACGUGCAUAAGCUCGAAUAAACAUUUGGGUCUUCAUCCAAUCAUCAAACAUAACACUAGCAUGAUUCCUAAUUGCUUUUUUUUACCAAGGUUUUCUAAUUUAGCCCUAGCAAUUUCAUGCAAAAAUUUCAAAAUUUUCAAAAUUUAACUAAAAUUUUAACUAAUGCAACCAACCCCCUACCCCACACUUAAUUUAUGCAAUGUCCCCAUUACAUACUAUGCAUGAUAAAGAAAAUAAAGUAAAAAAGGAAUGAGAACAAACUCUCUUGGGAUAGUAGUUGCAAGGUUGAUCUUCUUCAUUGAAAGCUCCAUCUUCAGCUGACUUUAGACAUAGGAACAACUCAUCCAUGCCUUGGGCGUCAAGUAUCGUGUGGUACAGCUCCAAAAAUGCAGGAAAAACUCUCGAAAAUCUCUAGAAAUGAACCUUCUUGAUAAAAAAAACUUAUUAUGGGAAUACAAUCGUCAAGCCUGAAGCUAAGUUGUGAAAUUCAUAGACACUCGUCGAGUAGGGAAUACGACUCGCCGAGUGAGUCGUGAAAAUGCAGAAUUCAUGUUUUUACGCUUAGACUCGUCGAGUCAGUAGAUGCACUCGACGAAUCGGUCGUUGGGUGAAAAAAUUUUUGUUUUCUGCUCCAAGUCUUUUUGAUAAAAAAAAACUAACCACUUCAGAAUCAUAUUAAAUCUAAAAUUUAUCUUCAGUAAUUAGACUCAUGUGAAUGCUCCUCAUGACCGGAUUCAAUAUUUGAACUUCACUCUCGCUUCCUCCUAGACUCGAAAGUCCUAUUACUCGUGAGACUCUUUGUAAGCAACCCAUUUUCAAACUUCUGAAAAGACACUAAACAAACCAUGAGAAAUUAAAAAUCCUAAUUACUGGAAGUUUCAACAAACAACUAAAUAAAGACAAAACAAAUUUUUUGUGACAACCCGAAAAUCCUUGUCUCGUAAAACUCAACCAUUCAAUUCAGCCAGGUGUCGCCCUCAUUUCUGCUAUCUUUUAACACAUUUUUGGGUCUAUAUGAGUGCUCUAGGCUUAGUACAACCUAGAUAUGAGUCUAAGGAUGGAUUACAAAGUGUGUAGCAUCAAGAAAUCGGGCUAAACACACCAAAGGAGGUGUGUGCGGUCGCACACCCAGCCGCACACACCCUCCAGCCUCACACUCGACCCUAUAUAUUGAACAAUUAGCCAACCUUACACCCUUCUCUCCCACUCUCUCAAGUCUGGAACAUUCUCUCUCAAGAAUCCUUCGUGUUUUCAUCUCCAAUCAGCAAAAACAAGUAAGCAUUCAUCCUUAGAUUAUUGAUACAACACCUUUUCAUGCUUUCCUCUUGAUCUAGAUCCAAAAUUUUGUCAUUUUGAAUGAUGUUAGUGUGUGUACGGCCGCAAACGCUAUGCGUGACCGCACACACAUCUUUUGGCCUCCAUUUGAUCAUAAUCCUUAUUCCAAGCAAAGAAAUGGCCAAAACACCACCUUAGGAUCAUCACCAAGACUUGGAAAAUCGAUUUAGACACUCUUCUCGGGAGUCUACGGCCGCAUAUAGGCCUGGCUGCACACUCCUGGCCGCACACAUGUCCUGACCGCACACACAGCCGCACACUCACAAAACUUCAUGUUUUGUGGCCUUACACUCAUCCUAAGGGUCCUACAAUCGUUUGGGGACUUCAUAUGUAUUAGUAACACUUGAUUCUAAGUGUUAUUAUGUCCCUAAAGUGUUUUCCCUAUGUCUAUUAAGUGUGUUAUAUGCUAAUGGUAUUCCUACAUGUGUAAUUACAUGUUAACUAGGAUUCGUUGUGCUUCCAAUUCCAUCCGACACCCGACGAUCCUAUAUCGACCUUUCAUCUGAAUCCUUCACUUCAAGUGAGUUCAUACCCCUGAAUCAACCUUUUAAAUGAUUUUAAGUGCUUUUAUGGGGGGGGGGGGGGAUACAAGUUGAACUAGACAGUUAUUAGAUAAAUCAUAUGUAAUUAAUAACUGUCUAGCAAAUAGAUUUCUAUAUGUUAAACUGUUUUCAUCCAGCCAAAGGUUUUCAAACCUUGUUUUUAUAAACUGACAUCAAGUCAUAAAUCAUUAUUUAUAGAUUUUUGCAUGAUAAACUGCUUCAUCCAGUUAAAGGUUUUCAAAUCUUGUUUUCGAAUCUCUUUUAAAGUGUAAAAAUCCCUUUUUAGUUUAAUAAAUUCUUAUUUAUAAGUUUUUCCAAAGGUUUUACCAAAACUUCUGUUAUACUCUUGUAUUAUUAAAUGCAUGCCUGUAUAUGUAUAGUUAUAUAAGAAAUGUUUAAAAGACUUAGGAAGGCUAACUCGCCUUAAUUCCUUUUCCUUGUUUGGAUGUGGCUUUAGGGUAAUGGUUAUCCGUCCGAAGUUCGUUUAAAUAUUAGUUAUACAUCAUGUAUAAAUAUAUAGUCAUAAAAGUUCUAUCAGUAAAAUUCAUCCCCUUUGGGUAGCAAAGGCUUCUAGAUAACCUCUCAAGUAAACUAUAAUAGGUAUAGUUUAAAAACCCACUAUAACAUUCAUGAAGGAGAACUUAGUAAUAUCUAUACUCUAAAACGUAUACUCUUAGUAAAAGGAAAGAUUUAUAGAAAUUAAAAUACGAGAUGCAUCCUCAUGACGUGGAUUUUGCCGUUGUCAAGUUGGUAACCAAAGUCUCCUGGAGGGAGAGCGGGCAUUGUGUGUAUAGAUUUAUACGGGACAGACACUCCCACAUCCUGAUUGCUAGCUAUAGUCCCGGCCGACCAAGCCAAGGGAUGACAAAUGUCACAUUCAUUCCGAUGCCAGCAGGUCGUCAAAGUAUUCGAUUGUCAAUCAGUAUGGUUACGAGUAUCUCUAGAAUUACCUUAUAAUUCAUGGCUUUAAGGUAAUAAUCAUAAUCAUGGUAUUUUCUAUAUAUAAAAUAAUCCUUAUAUAUAUAUAUAUNUAUAUAUAUAUAUAUAUACCUUCCUAGUUAUACACUAGGAUACGCUUUAAAUCUUUAAAUAAACCCACUUAGGAUUAGAGAUUCUUUUAGACUUUGCGAGGCGUAUUGGUUCAUUCAAUACCACCUGGAGUCUGUAUUCCAUUCCUUUAGACUUUGCAAGGCGUAUUGGUUCAUACCAUACCACCUGGAGUCUAUGUUUUAUUUACUUUUAGUCAGCAGCAUUACUGCUGAAGUAAACUAUUCUUUCCCUAAUACUUUUGCUUGUGAUGUUCUCACAUCUUCUUUAAAGUAUAAACUAUAUUUUGAUAAUGAUAGUACUUUUGGGGGAAAAAUACUCCUUAAACAUAAAACAAUUAGGUCUUGGUAGAAGACUACUUUUUAUUAGAAAAUAUGGGAUUUUCUGGAAAGGAUUCUAACACUCUGUAAAUUCAAAACCGCCAAUUUUUAUUUGAUUAUUUUGAAGGAAAACACGUAUUUAUACUAAUGUCAUUAAAUACUUAUGAACUCACCAACAAUAAAAUGUUGAUACUUGCUUUCAAAAUAACUUGUAUUCUCAGGUCGUCAGUAGAUAGGUACACUCCGGGAGCUUUUGUGAAGACAGCCUUGUACCGAGCUGCACUCUAUGUUAUUCUCUGUAUUUACUUCGAUGUUAUUAUUAAAUGUAACCUAUGUAAAAUUAUUACUAUUAAUGCAAUGGUUGUUGUACUUUGAUUACUAUACUGAAUAUGUUGUGAUACUUGACAUGACGUCCUCCAUCCCAGAACGUUUCCGCUGUUCCGGUUUUGGGGUGUAACAGAUUGGUAUCAGAGCAUUGUUUAUAGUGAGCUCAGUGUAUCUAAUCAUAAAAGAUAUACAAACUAUAAAUACAUUGGGAUAAAACACUCUGACCAAGAAUUAUACUUUAAAAUAUAACCAUAUUUUACGGAAGUAUAAGAACAUCCAGAAUAUAAAAACCCGAACAAGUAUCACAAGAAGAAUAAGAAUAAAAGUCUUUGGAUGAUUGACCAUUACCGCCAAACUUAGGCAGUUAUGUAAUCGUAUGCUGGAAUAAUAUCCUGAUCAACUAUAUUUAUUCGAGAUGCGACUAACGUGUGCUUGGGAGUGAUGGUGGUGUUGCAACAAAUUCGAAACUUGCCAAAUAGGAAUGUUAGAGCCAAACAUAAAGUUUAAAAUACUAUAGGAGUAUUUUAUAAUACUAAAGGAUUUACAAUAAACCCAGAAUGAUGUUCAGAAGAUAAGAACCAAGCAUGUAAUUAAAAUACCAUAGGGGUAUUUUAGGAACCAUAGAUAACCUUGUGUGAAAAACUAAAAAGAUCCUUAUUGAUAUACCUAUGAUUACAAAGUGUAUACUCCCAAGGUUAUAUAUAGUGAGGAUCUCAUAGGCUAAGAAUGUGUGGUUUCGCUCUACUUCCUUUUCCUUGUUUGGAUGUGGAUAUAUAGUAGUAUCACAUAUUCGAAGGCCUAUCAGAUCUAAGUUAUAUAUGAUUGUAUACACUGUGAAAUUGUAGCAGGACUCGGAAAUAUGAUGUCUGGGGGUCCAACUCGUCGAGUGCAUGAACCAACUCAGCGAGUUGGAUGAUUUUAUGCAUGGACUCGGCGAGUCCACUGUCCAGAACAGCAAAAAAUUGAUUUUUUCAGCAUUUUUCAGCAAUUUGCAUCAAGUAUAAUUGAAAACAAUCCUUGGCUUUGAUACCACUGAAGGGUUUUGAGCAUUCUAACACUCAUAUGGUGUACAUGCAACCCUAAAUACCUUGGAUCUACUUUUUCUCUAUUAUACAUGCAAACUUGAACUUUCCAAGGUAAUACCCUAACUAGCAUACAAUCAUUGAUACUUGGGUAAUAUAAUAAGUUGGAAGACAUACCUUUUCAUGUAGCUUGAUUCUAUGGAGCUUAAGAGCCUAGUGCCUCAAGUGUGACACCUCAAAUGGUUGACACAGCAUCACCAACAACUUGGAAUAACUUGAGAGAAAAGGUUCCUAUGCUCAAAUCGGCUAGCCCUCAUGUAUACACACACUAGUGCCAAUUUCUUGAGCCAUGGGGUCCUAAUAUAUGGUGGCUAUUAGGGUUACGCCAUGUAACUCAUGUCUUUCCAUAUUCUUCAUGCUCCAUGGGUUAAAACCUGCAUGGAGUAUCCAUGGGUUACUCUAUGGGUUUAGCCUAACAUGAUGAACUAUGGAUCAUAAACCCACAUAUAUAAGAAUGAAUGAUUUACACAAUCAAUCCCCAUAUAUUUAAUUAGUCUCCUUUCGAUCACAAUAUUAAUUCCAAAUUAAUUCUUGAUCAAUACUAAUUAAAUAAUAUGAUUUCAUAUUAAUAUAUUAGAACUUAUAAUAUAUUAACAAAUCUUAAUUAUCCUUUUCUUACAAAAGUCUAUACAAAUUGUUCCGAUGCCAUGCAACCCAAAUGGACCAUGCCAAUUGGGUCAAGUAAAUAUCAAUUAUAGUUUUGGACUUAGACACUAAUCCAACAUAUCCAUGCAAGCUUAGCCCAACCUAAAUGAACUUGGCCCAUGCUAUAUAUAAGAGUCCAUAUUAAUAUACUAGAACUUAUAAUAUAUUAAAAUAAAUCAUAAACAUACUAUUCUUAAAAGACUAUCCAUAUAAAUUGUUACGGUGAUGUGUAACCCAAAUGGACCAUGCUACUCUCGGGUCGAAUACAUACCAAUAAUAGUUAUAGGCUUAGACAUCUAAUCCAACAGUCCCCCACUUGGAUAAAUCUAAAACUAUUAUUGUAUAUGACUCCAAGAUCCCGACUAGCAAUCGUAGCUCUUAAAGUCGCUGCCGAACUCUGACCUAGUCAAAUGACUUGUCCAUUAGAUAAGGGAUCAUAUAUUCCUCCAUUCUAGAUAUCAUAUGGAUUGAGACAUGGAUUAUAAUCAUUCUCUCUGCCCAUUUUUGUUUCCCGAUUUCCGAUUUAUGACGACUGACUAACUGAACAAAUCAAAUCAAUCCAGGCUUGGCCAAGCACUUAGGGGUGUCAUCACUAAAUCAUCGAGGGGCCCACAUGUAUUGCUUUUAUCCCUCCAAGGGUAAAAUGAAUGGAUAAACUUCGACUCACAUGUUUGUACUAACCAUUUGUUGAAUCAUACACAAAGGCAUGUUUUAUAACAUCAAGUUACUGAUGCGUGUUCGUGCAAUCAAUGUAUAACCAACUUAUAGUCAACAAAUCAUAUCUCUAGGUUUGAAGAAUAUAAGAUAUUAUCGUCUCAUGAUCACUCGUGAUAAAAUCCACGAAGUGAUUCAAAUGAGCGUGGGUUUAAUCCAAUACUCGAAUCUCAUUCCAGGAGUACUCAUGAAUGUUGUAGCAACUCUUGCUAUGUCCAACACCUUAGACAUCUAAAAGCCAACUUCAUGACAAUAUUGAUUCAUAUCUUCUUCCAACAUAUGACUGACCGUGGAGAAUUUAAAUAACUUAGUUAUUCGGGAAUUCAAAACAUACAAAGUGAAACACAAGAAUAAUCAAAUUCAAUAUGGCCCCAAGCACAUUUGAGAGUAAAUAGAACACAUUUUAUUUAAACACCAUAUUAAUUACUCAUUAUUCAUUGUAUAAUGUUUCGAAUAAUCAACUUAAUACUUUAAUUAAAACAAUAGUCAUGCCAUGCUCCAAGCAUGCACGCUAUGUUUGUCCAAACAAUAGUUACGCCAUACACCAAGUAUGCACACUAUAUUUGUCUAUGACCCUUACUUUGUGGAAUAGAUCAAUUUGACAUAAUUCCAAUGAUUCUCAUUUCACAAUCCCAAAUCCUUAUCGUAAAUGUAAGAAUUCUAAAUUCCUUCCAUUUACUGAAAUUUGUUAGAUUCUAAACUUAUAUGCAUUGAUCCUCUUGUACUGACUAUGCACAAAGUCACAAAGACUUGGCAACAUACAUUACAAAGUAUUCAAAAGGAGAUCAACUCCAUUGAAACUAAGUCUCAAAUUCAAAGUACAUUCCUUUGAACAUCCUUCUUUCAUUAAGUUUUCUAAUCUUAUACAAAUUUAAUGGAUAACUUCCACCUAUGAAACAUUUCCAAAUUCGCAUUCUGACUAUCACUUCUGAACAAUAGCUACCUCUUUUCAGAAUAUGUCAAUACGGUCCUUUUCCAAAUAUUUACACCAUACUUCCAACUGUCCCUGAGCAACCAAUCUUUGGUAAACCUUAGAUUGUCCUCAACAAUUGCUUAAUCAAUUUUAGUCAUAUCCAAUUCCAGACCUUUUCCCCUCUUAAUGCCUAGGCAUUUGGAAAAUUUAGAAAGGAUAAAUAUUAUAGCACAUGUAAUCGAACCUAUAUCCGAAGCAUAUGGGACACGAUUCAUGAUGUCUUAUAUAAAGACAUGAUCCUAGAUCAGGCUUUUGCUACAAUAUUUUUGAUGUCCAAACUUCCAUAAUAAGCUUUUAAUACAAAAGACUAAUCCCCCAAUUCUCAGACCUGAAUCUAAUGCAUGUCGUAAUGGGUAAAGUUUAUGGCUUUAUCUCUUUGCAUGAUCAAAUAGAGCAAAAUACCAAGCCCUAAGUCCAUAACACUAUGUUAAGCUUGUGAACUCAUGCAUGGAUGGAUGAGAGUGGCCAAGCUCUCAUUUUUAUGGAUUUACAAGCUAAAAAACGUCGGGAAAUUACACUCAAAAGAUCUGGAGUACCUAAUACUCACAAAGACCAAUGUUAUGGGGACAAAAGCACAAAACUCAUGUCUAACAAGAUCUAACAUGAGUAAUCACCAACAUAGAAGCUUUAUACCUUCUAAAGGUCGAUUAUGAGAUGCAAAAUCUGGAUCUAAAAAGCUUGAAGCUCCCAAGUGCUUCCCCAAUGAACUUCUCCUUCAAAGAUGCACACAAGAACACUCUAAGGCCUUAAAACUCUCACAAAGUGGCUAGGGUUUUGAGAUGACUGAUUAAUAGGUUGGAGGAUGGGCAUCGAGAGGGCCUCAAGGAGUUACAUACUUUAAAUAUGGCUCACAACCCCAAGAAUUAGGGUUUUGGUGCAGCGUACCUAUGCUCGGCGUAAAUGAACCUAUGCUUAGCGUAGGUCAUUAAACCCUCGCAUGACGUCUUCGUCCUACGGUCAACGUAAGGGAUUAGCCUACGUUCAAUGUAGGACAUAAAAAUUCAAAAAUGACAAUUUUAAACUUCAAAGAGUUAUAUUGAGGAUACAGAUGUUAUACAUUUACCUUAAUUGGAGAUGACCUGAAUCAAGCUCCGGUGGCCCUUCUUCCCACAGAAACCCUAUACGAUGUCCAAUGAUUCACAACCUUCCUUCUUGGGUUCUAGGCCUCAAUGAGGGUAAGGUCUGACUUCUUAUGGAUGUAGUUACAUCUAUAAAGGGUUGGUAUCAAUUUGCUUUCAACCAAAACAAGUCAUGCAUGACCAAAUGUGGAAGUCAAACAUGUGUCGGUAAAUAGAGGGCAUUGAGGAGAUUAUCGGUGAAGGAGACAAGUAUUUUUUGGUUCUGGCAACUUUGGUCCCUCGGUUUUGUACAUGCUAACAACUCCACCCCCAUAUUUUGAUUUUAUGCACAUGACUAUUUCCUAAAUUAUCAAAUGCACCCUAUACUUUUAUUAUUAUUAUUAUUAUUAUUAUUAUUAUUAUUAUUAUUAUUAUUAUUAUCUAUUUAUUUUAAUCACAAAAAUAAAUAGAUAGGUAAAUACAUAUCGAGCUUAGAAAACGGAUGCUACAAAUGCAUAAAGGAUUUGUGUUAUUGUUGAUGCUUGGUAAUGGAUUUUAAAGAUCAAAGAAUAAAUUGAUUAGAAUUUUUUUCACUCAUUACAGAAACUUAAUUUGAUUUGGUUUCAGAAGUUAGUACCCCGAAAUCGAUGUGCGGUCAUUUUCUAAAGAAGGCGGUGAUUGUAAUGGUUGCGAGGAAUCGUACAUAUGGAACUAGAUCGACAUUUUUAAUUUGAGGGAGGUGGUGGGAUUAAGUAUAUUUAGUUUUAAAAAAAAAACAAAUAGACGAAACAUUUUACACCGUAUUGAAUAUGAAGUUUUUUUUAUUUAAGCUAAUAAUGAAAUACGGUUCUACUCUAAGACUUCAUAUAACAAUAUCAUAACUUUUUUGCUUUCAAAUACAUUUUUCUGCUUUCAAAUACGCAGGAUGCUAAUAACCGUAUUCGAUCCGUUGUAUCUUAUUUACCUUUUUGUGCUACAAACUCAACCCACACACCAAGCUAAACCGAUCACCUCUUCUUGCAAAACACUAAUACCAUAAAUUUUGGAUUUACCCCGACACAGCGACACUUCGUAAAAGCAUUAAGAAUUGUAACGAAGUUUUGAAUAAUAUGCUUUGACCAUUAUAGAGUCAUCCGCAUAAAAAACGUGGUAGAUCUUAAUGUCAUUGGCACAUAUAUUAGCAGGAAUGACAAAAAAAAAAGUAUAUUUUUGUAAGGAAGGGGGUGGGGGUGGAUGUUGUGGAAUAAGUGUCGGUCACAACAUGGAUGAAAAUAGCGAUAAAUCAAAGAGUCUAAUUUUUUAAAUUAGAGAAGAACUAGAAAGUGCUCAUUAUUGUUAUGAAUCCAUCUGUAUAUAUUGUUAUUAAAUUGAGAAAUUACGUGCUCAGAUUUCGCUUUGUUUGCUUUGUGAUCGCUUUGAUCCGUCUUUGACCUUGGAUCCGUCGCUAAAUUCUUCGAUAUUCUCUUGUUAUAUUACUGUUAAAUAAUAUAAAAGCAAAUAGUACAACCUCAAAAUAUUUUUUAAGCACAAAUUUUAAUAUUUGUAAAUGUAUAAUGUAAAAGGAAAAUGACUUUUGAGGGUAAUUAACUUUUACGUUUGUACUCAUUUGGUCCCUUUCCUUUUUUUUUUUUUUUUUUGUAUUCAAUAUAUCAUUGAACUUGUUUGUGUUCACCAUAACCCUUUUGACCGACUUUUGGCCUGUGAUAGUCGGUCAAAGGAUUAUGGUGAACAUAAACAACAAGUUCGAUAGUAUAUUGAGUACAAAAAAAUGAAAGGGACCAAAUGAGAACAAACUCAACAGUUGGUUACCCUCCUGAGUCAUUUUCCCCGAAAAGUUAAAUGAAAUUAAAGUUGCAAAAUUAUCAAAGACUGCAACCUUCUUUGGCUAUAACGUAUAUGAAGAGCGUUUCAGAGGGAUAACUUCGUUAAAACAUGGUCUAUGCUAUGCAUAUUGUGGUUAGCUGUCAACACCUCUCUUCAAAGGGAUAUGAUUGUGUAUGAGAGAUAUAUUUAUCAGCAUAAAUGUUCACCUCAAGGUAUAUUAUGGUGAUGUGUCUGCAAAAGCAGCAUGAUAUUGUACAUAUUGAUGUUGUAUCUCAUCCCAUGAAUUCGAUCUUAAAGCUAAGUAAACUCAAAAAUCACAGCACUUGUGAUUCCACUCGUUUGUAGACUUGUCUAGAAUCCAUGAUACGCUAAAUCAUUCGAUUGAAAAUGUAAAUGUAGUCAUGAAAUGCACCUGCUUAGUCAAGAUUCCCCUAAUAAAUAUUCAAGUGCAUUACAAAGUUGUACAUGUAUGAAUAGUGUUCUUUCGUGGGUUAUGUUUGAAGAUAAGCAAAAAUGAAUAUCAUAAAGUCAUUAAUAUCAGUAGGAGAUGACGUGGGAUUUGCUGUAAAUGAGUAAAGAGAAAUUGACUCAGGAGGGUAACCAACUAUUGAGUUUGUUCUUAUUUGGUCUCUUUUCUUUUUUUGUACUCAAUAUACCAUCGAACUUGCUGCUUGUGUUCACCAUAGCUCUUUAACCGGCUAUCACAGGUCAAAAGCCGGUCAAAAGGGUUAUGGUGAACACAAACAACAAGUUCGAUGGUAUAUUGAGUACAAAAAAAAAAGAAAUUGACCAAAUGAGUACAAACGCAAAAGUUAAUUACCCUCAAGAGUCAUUUUCCCUAAUGUAAAACCCCAAAUGCACGUGAAUAGAACUAGAAUUGUUCACUAUUUGGAUAAAAUCGAAUUGUCCUAUUGGACAACUUGGUUCGGAUAUUUGAAUUUUCGGAUUCAUUUUCAACAAAGUCGAAUUAUUAUUUUGAAUUUCGGAUUGGUUUUGAUUUAUAAAAUAAGAACCAAAUGGUCUAAAAAAAACCGAAAAAACAAUUUAUUAUUUAUUUAUUUUAAUAUAUUUAUAAUUAUCUUUUAAUUUUNNNNNNNNNNNNNNNNNNNNNNNNNNNNNNNNNNNNNNNNNNNNNNNNNNNNNNUAUAUAUAUAUAUAUAUAUAUAAUAUUAAACAAUAAUAUAUACCUUCUUAGUAGUUGUUUAUAAACUUUAAAUCACAAUUAAAUAAUUUGUUUUUGUUUCUUCUAUAAAAUUGGAUAACAUUAUAAUUAUAUCUUGUUUUAAAAUAUUUUCAUUUUUUUAAAACCGAAUUAAAAAAACCAAUCCAACCAAAUUAUGAUUGGGUUGGAUUUGAAUUUAGCUAUAUUGUUUGGUUGUUUUUAUGCUUUAUUUUAUUAGUUUUUAAAAUUAGUCCAAAAAGCUGAUUCUAAUGUGAUUCUUGAAAAGCUUGUAAUUAAGUGGUAGGCAAAUAGGAUUUAAUAUUUAAUAAGCUUAUUAACUAUUUCUAUCAACCUAAAAAGUGUUUAAGGAACUAUUGUGCAAUCACAACUUAUGAUCAUGUUUACCAACAUUUAUAUAAUUAGAAUACGAAUGUCAAUAAGGUUAUUUUUACUUUAUUAUUUUUUAUAUUGAAUUCACACAUCUGGUUUUGUAGUUAUAACUCCCUUUUUAUAUAGUUAAGUAAAUGAUUUGAUGUUAGAAUCUUUCUAGACAUUUUAGUUUUUUUUUUUAAUAACCCAAUGUUUAUUUCUUGACCCGGUUAAUGUUGGUCGUCUUAAUUUGGUUAGUUCAUCCUUGUUAUUCAAUUUAUAAAUUUUGUAACUGUUUUAUGAUUUGAUGCUAAGUGAAACACAUCAAAUUCAUUCUGUGGUGGGAUUAACUUCGGUGUAAACUAAAAUUGCAAGUUUUUAACGUUUUCGAGCAUAUGAGAAGUAUUGAACGUUGUUGGGAACAUUCGCGAAAAACUUAAUGCAAUCUUUCAACCGAUUUUUAAGAACUUGUUUAGAGUGGGUUAAUAAAGUUAGGUUUAGUUUAAAGAACUUGAUUUGCUUAAACAAUUUGAUGAAUGGAUGAAGAUAGAGCUUCGUAAAAAUAAUAUUUAUUAAUUAUAUAACGAUCCAAUAUAAAAGAAUUAAUCAAAUAAAAAAGAAAUUAAAAAAAGUUAUUUAAAAGAAAUUAAUAAUCCAACAAAGUAAUAUUUAUUAUGUAACGCCUGUGUUUCCGGGCUUGCCGUUUUUAGCAAUAUAAUAGUCUAGGUUAACCUUUGUAACCCGUUUUGAAAUAAUAAGAUUGUAUUAUUUGAGUAUUAUGUAUUUUGUGCUUAAUUGCUUAAUUAUGUGGUUUGAUUAAUUAAGAAUAAAAAUAAGCGUCAAAAUUUAAGUAUAAAAUAAACUUAAUAUCUUUGGUUAAUGUUGUAGUAGUCGGAACGAGGUUUCCGAAUAUAUAUAGAACGCCCAAAUCUGACUUCGUAUGAGGAAGUUAUGAUUUAUCGAAGUUCCGACUUAGCGAUAUACAGCCUGUUUUACUCGAUUUGAGAUCGAGCGGUUGUUAGCCGAAGCAAUCUAAAUGAGAAUCGAAGAUCUCAUUGUUGGUAUUGAAACGAUAAAAAGUUAGGCGAGAACGGACGUCAAACGAAGAAGUUAUGAAUUUAUAACGAAAGUUUCUGUCCCGGCCUAUUAAAAAUAAUUAAUAAAAAUAAAGUCAAAAUUAGCCGACGGAGUCUAAACGAAAGUCGUAGAGCGUGGUCUCACCUUCGCGUGGAUAUAAAGAACGUCGAAAACGGAGUUCGUAUGAAGAAGUUAUGAAUUUCCGAAGUUUAUUAAUCAUUUUGUAUUUAUAUUUAAAUCAAAAUUCGGAAGCAUUAUCCGAAGGAGUCACCGAUCUGAUCCGAGGUACGCCCCGCGUACUCGAGUACGCCCCGCGUACUCCGAGGGAUGUCGACACUCGCACUCGAGCACUUCGGAUACGUAAGCAAUGACGUUUUGGGCAGUACGCCCCGCGUAACGCAGUACGCCCCGCGUACUCCGAGGCUCCAGCCUCCUAUAAAUAGGAUGCGAGGGUUCCGGGUAUUUUUGCCAAUUCCCUCUCGUUUUCGUGUCGAAGCUCUGUGCAAAAACCCCCGAAGCUACCCCGAAGUCCCGGUAUCAUACUCUAGCCCCGAGGCAAGUCCCGAGAUCCCGAAGAUCCCGAAAAGUGCGGUUCCCGAGUCGAAGCUCUGCCCGCGAGAAGUUCGAUUUUCGAGAAGAUCUUCCAGAUCUGCUGUGGAUUACUACUUCUAUAAGCCGUAGUGCUGUCCGAUCAUCUUCUGAUCAAGUGAGUGUGUAGUUAUUUCUUCUAAUACAAUAAUACGAAGUAUUUUAUAUAAAAAUACGUGCUAUGUGUAUAUAUUUGGUUGUGUUAUGUGUGAAUGAGUAUUCACUCUCUUCUAUCUUAUAGAUCUGCUUAUUUCUUUAUGAGAUAUGUGUUAUGUGUGUGUGUGCCUCAUCUGUUAUGUGAUAUAUGUGUUGAUUAAAGCAUGCUAUACAGGUUUUCUUUAAACUAUGUAUACAAAUGUAUAUUUUUAUCUACUAAUAUGUUGGGUAGAACAUGGGUAGACAGUUGGUGUGUAAUAAACAGAUGAGAGGCCUCGUUGUUGUUUGAUUGAGUCAUCUAGCGGAGUUUAGAUGACGACCACUGGCUAUUCUAGACAGUCUUGUGGAAACAUUAGCAGGUUCGCCACCUGUAGGUGUUAAUGAACUUGGGUGUUCAUUCGCUGUACUCCAUCCCCCUCAUGGUUGCCUUAUUUGACUUAUAUUGCUGAGGUACCCCCGAAGCAUGUGUUGUCGCCCCGAUGAAAUAUUCUUAGACUAGGUCCCUUAUGUUAGUUGUUUUAGGGACAUUAAAGUGAGAAUAACGGGAAUGGGUAAUUGGGUUAUUGUUGGUUGGUGAAAAUUAAAUAUGAUAUUUAUUGUGGGUUGAAAACCCUAUAUGCUCACCAGGCUCCCAAGCCUGACCCACUCAGUUUUAAAUUGUAUUACAGGUAGUGGCGGAAGGGCAUGAGAUGGAUGAACCAUCAAGUUGUUUUGUUUACAAGUCUGCAUAUGUUUAUAUUUGUUAUAUGACUUGUAAUGUAUUCGUUUAUGCUUAUUGGUCUGUAUCGGAACAUGACACCCCGAGUUUUGAUUAUAAUGAAAAUACAUUUCUUUUAUGAAAUGCUUCGGUAAACAAUGUUUUAUCAUGUUUUGUUUUUGGGAACAAAUUCCGCAACUCUUUCAAAUCAAAAGGAUUUACUCUGAAAAUAUUUAAAAGCAUAAAUGAAAAUCGGUCUUUUCUGGCCGAGAUUUUGGGGAUGUCACAGUUGGUAUCAGAGCAUUAGUUUAAGCGAACUAGGAAUUUGUAGGAUUUCUAGACUUAAACUUAGAAUGCUAAGUGAAGUUUUGAGAUGUGUGUCUGUUGUGUUUUAGACACGAGCACUAGUUUAUUUUAGGAAAGUUGCCUAAAAUGCUUUAUGUGCUAAAUGUUAUAUGUUGCCAUAUAUGAUAUUAUUUGUUCGGAUCUAUGGUCUGUUGCCGACCGGAUCUAGAAACCUUAUGUGUGUAGGAUUCUAAGCGUACGUCUACGAUAUUAGAACUAGCAUGUAAACGUUUCGGAGUGAUAAGGAUGAUUUGAAUAUCUAUCAUGAUUGAGGAUCUAAUUUCACCUUAUUCGGUGUAGAUCAAAAUGGUGAGAACAAGAAGUGGAGUUGGAAAUGCUGACGAAAACAGGAAUCAACCACCAGUGAUUGAGCCAAUACCUGUCGUAGCAGCAGCACCUGAGCCAAUAACCAUGGCUGGUGUGCAAUUGAUGAUUCAGACGAUGUUGGAUCGUCAGAUGGAUGAAACUAGACGGUUGCUUCAACAAAAUCGUGAAGAACUGUCGAUUCGUGUGGAAGAGCCUGAACUGAAUGAAGGGCACUCGGAAGGUGGAAACUUCAGUGGGUCUGUUGGUCCAGCCAACCCACCGAUAGUUAGGCAAGAUAACCAUGAUGGAAGGAAUGAUGGAAUGGGAUGCAAGUACAAGGACUUUUUGACUUGUAAACCAUCGACCUUCAAUGGAAAGGAGGAUCCGAUUGGGGUUAUGGAUUGGAUCUCCGAAAUGGAGUUAGCCUUUAUGACAUGUGGCUGUAGAGGCAAGUUGCAGACUAUCUAUGCCGUGCGACAAUUCCGAGGUGGAGCCGUUCGUUGGUGGAACACUCUAGGGAAGACCUUAAGCCCUAGCGAGCCACUGCAAUUGUCAUGGGCAGAGUUCUUGGUGCAGUUUAAGCGCAAGUUCUGCUCGGCUCAAAAUCUGUUGGAGUUGGAGAACAAGUUUCUGACAUUGACGAAGGGUAGCAUGUCAGUUGAUGAAUACACCAAUAACUUCACCGAUAAGAUGGAGUUUGCCUUGCGUAUCGUUCCAGACGAGCUGACAAAGGUGGAUCGGUAUGCGAAGGGACUUCCAUGGGAGUACGAGGUGCCGGUACGUCAGGCACUUACUCUAGAGGCAGCUAUCUGGGCUGCCAAGUCUGUGGAGAACAUGAUAAAGGGGAGAACCACCGACAAGGUUGAGGUUGGUGAGAAAAGGAAGUUUGAAGGAACAUCUGGUUCCAGUAAGAAGAGUAAAUUUUCGAAAUUUGAUUCGAAAAAGUUUGGAGGAAAAGGAGGCGAAGCGAAGUGGUGUGAUAAGUGUAGGAAAAAGCACUUUGGGAAAUGUAGCGAGGAUGUAACCUGCUACAAGUGUGGAAAGGUUGGACAUUUUGCCAAUGAAUGUCCGAACAACAAAAGGAUGUGUUUUGGUUGUAAUGAAGAGGGGCAUAUUUUGAAAGACUGUCCGAAGAAGAAGGAGGCAGCUAGGCCCAACAUUCCACCAAAGCCGAAGGCGAGAGCCUUCCAGAUGACACUUGAGGCUGCGAAAGAUGAAGCUGAUGUCGCUUCAGGUACCUUUCUCGUAAACGAAUUACCUGCUCAUAUAUUGUUUGAUUCUGGAGCCAACUACUCCUUUAUUUCGCAUGAGUUUGGUAGAAAGCUAGCUUUGCCUGUUGAUAGACUAAAUAAUGCUUUAUUAGUCGAAGUAGCUAGUGGCAAGUUUGUACCUGUUAGCCAUCGUAUGAAAAACGUCUUGAUCGACCUUAAUGGGAAUAAGUUUCUCGAGGAAUUAUUGCCUAUCGAACUAAAUGGUUUCGACAUCGUCUUGGGAAUGGAUUGGCUUAGCGCCAAUGAUGCCGAAAUUUUGUGCAAGAAGAAGAUAGUUAAAGUAAACCCGCCUGGGAAAGAUUCGUUUAUGGUGUAUGGGGACAAACGCAGAGUGAAUUCUGGAAUCAUUUCUCUAAUGAAAGCCAGAAAGUGUUUGACCAAGGGAUGUACAUCAUAUUUAGCAUUCGUGAUUGAUGCUAAGAAAGAAAAGAAGGUGAUGCAGAGUAUUCCAGUGGUGUGUGAUUAUCCGGAAGUAUUUCCCGAGGAUCUUCCUGGAUUACCACCUGAUAGACAAGUGGAGUUCAGAAUAGACUUGUUACCAGGAACCACGCCAAUAGCAAAAGCACCUUAUCGAUUAGCACCGACGGAGAUGAAGGAGCUAAUGAUGCAACUUCAGGAGUUAUUGGACAAAGGUUUCAUUAGACCUAGUUCAUCGCCCUGGGGAGCUCCGGUGUUAUUUGUAAAGAAGAAAGAUGGAAGUAUGAGAAUGUGCAUCGAUUACAGAGAGCUGAACAAGGCAACAAUAAAGAAUAGAUAUCCGUUGCCGAGGAUUGAUGACCUGUUUGAUCAAUUGCAAGGUUCGAGCUAUUUCUCGAAGAUCGAUCUUAGGUCAGGAUAUCAUCAGCUGAAAGUAAGAGAGCAAGAUAUCGAGAAGACUGCAUUCAGAACUAGAUAUGGACACUACGAGUUCUUGGUUAUGUCGUUUGGACUAACCAAUGCUCCAGCAGCGUUCAUGGAUUUGAUGAAUAGGGUUUGUAACCCGUUCCUUGAUAAAUCCGUGAUAGUGUUCAUAGACGACAUUCUGAUUUACUCGAAAAGCCAGGAGGAGCAUGGCAGACACUUGCGAGAAGUGUUAGAAGUCUUGAAGAAGGAGAAGCUGUAUGCUAAGUUCUCCAAAUGUGAUUUUUGGAUUCGUGAAGUCCAAUUCUUGGGUCACGUGGUCAACCAAGAAGGGAUAAUGGUUGAUCCAGCGAAGAUCGAAGCUGUGACGAAGUGGGAACAACCGAAAAGUCCCACGGAGAUUCGAAGCUUUUUAGGAUUAGCCGGAUAUUACCGAAGGUUUAUCCAAGGCUUUUCUUCGAUUGCUACUCCAUUGACAGCUUUGACCCACAAAGGAGCUACUUAUGCUUGGAGUGAGAAGCAUAAAGAAGCAUUCGAGAAGUUAAAGAAGAAGCUAUGCGAGGCACCGAUACUUUCUCUACCCGAUGGAGUUGAAGACUUCGCUGUUUAUAGCGAUGCGUCUGGUGUUGGAUUGGGUUGUGUUUUGACCCAAAGAGAAAAGGUGAUAGCAUAUGCGUCUCGACAGCUGAAAGAGCAUGAAAAGAAUUACCCGACUCAUGAUUUGGAGUUGGCAGCGGUAGUUUUCGCUCUGAAAAUAUGGAGGCAUUACCUCUAUGGCACGAAGUGCAAACUUUUCACUGAUCAUAAGAGUCUCCAAUACCUCUUUAAUCAGAAAGAAUUGAAUAUGAGGCAACGACGCUGGCUAGAAUUACUUAAAGACUAUGACUGCGAGAUACUUUACCACCCCGGUAAAGCUAAUGUUGUUGCUGAUGCUCUCAGUCGGAAAGUCAAUCCCGAAAGGAAAAGGCCAAGAGCGUUGAGAAUUGAAGUUGUCUCAACUAUUUUGGAAAGUAUAAAGAAAGCUCAGAGCGAAGCUUCUGAGAAGAAUGACAGAAAGGAGGAACGUUUGGGCAAAACGUUGGUGUUCGGUGUAAACAGUCAUGGACUGAAGGUGUUCCAAGAUCGGAUUUGGAUACCUAAGACAGGAGGAGUCAGAGAUCUUCUGAUGGAAGAAGCUCACAAGACCAUGUACUCGAUUCAUCCGGGUAGCACUAAAAUGUAUAGGGACCUGAAACCCUACUACUGGUGGCCGACGAUGAAGCUUGAUGUUGCAAAGUAUGUGGCCGAGUGUGUGACUUGUGCGAGAGUCAAGACACAACAUCAGAAACCGUACGGGAGUUUAGAACCUUUGCCUGUGCCUAUGGGUAAGUGGGAAGACAUUGCUAUGGAUUUUGUCACUAAACUGCCCAGAACAAAGAAUGGUCACGACAUGAUUUGGGUGGUCGUUGAUCGAUUCACUAAGAGUGCGCAUUUCAUAGCGGCCAAGGAGAAAUGGUCUAUGGAAAAGCUUGCGAAUUCUUACGUGAAGGAAAUUGUGAGGCUUCACGGUGUUCCGUUAACGAUUGUAUCGGAUCGUGAUAGCCGUUUCACCUCAAGGUUUUGGAAAAGUCUACAAGAGGAAAUGGGUACCAAGUUAUGUUUAAGCACAGCUUACCAUCCGCAGACUGAUGGUCAGAGUGAAAGAACAAUACAAACACUUGAAGAUAUGCUGAGAGCAUGUACCUUGGAAUUCCUAGGUAAUUGGGAUGAACAUUUACCGUUGGUAGAAUUUUCCUAUAAUAAUAGUUUUCACUCGAGCAUUAAGAUGGCACCUUACCAAGCUUUGUAUGGACAGAAGUGUCGUACGCCGUCUUGUUGGCUUGAGGCUGGGGAAAAGCAGUUUAUGGGACCGGAGAUGGUUCAUCAAACUGCUGAAAAGUUGAAAAUAAUUAGGGAAAGAAUGUUAGCAGCUCAAGAUCGUCAAAAGAGCUAUGCUGACAAGAAGCGAAGACCGAUGACUUUUGAGGUUGGAGAUUCGGUUUUGCUUAAAGUCUCGCCGUGGAAGGGACUUAUAAGAUUUGGUAAAAGGGGAAAGUUGAGUCCAAGGUUUAUUGGACCGUUUAAAGUUCUUCAGAGGAUUGGGAACCAAGCUUACAAGCUCGAAUUACCCGAAGAACUGAAUGGAAUUCACAACACUUUUCAUGUGUGUUAUUUGAGGAAGUUCACGGGAGAAGUUCCCGAUAUAAUUCCAAUUUCUGAAUUGAGAAUUGAUGAGAACAAAAGGUUGAUUGAAGAACCAGAGGCAAUUGUUGACCGAAAGACUAAGAAGUUGCGACGCAAAAUGGUUGGGUUAGUGCUUGUCCGAUGGAAACACACGAAUGGGCCGAAUCUCACCUGGGAGACGGAGAGUGACAUGUUGAGUCGCUAUCCGCAUUUGUUUGUUGAUGUGUGAUUCCGGGGACGGAAUCAUUCUAAGGUGGAGAGAAUUGUAACGCCUGUGUUUCCGGGCUUGCCAUUUUUAGCAAUAUAAUAGUCUAGGUUAACCUUUGUAACCCGUUUUGAAAUAAUAAGAUUGUAUUAUUUGAGUAUUAUGUGUUUUGUGCUUAAUUGCUUAAUUAUGUGGUUUGAUUAAUUAAGAAUAAAAAUAAGCGUCAAAAUUUAAGUGUAAAAUAAACUUAAUAUCUUUGGUUAAUGUUGUAGUAGUUGAAACGAGGUUUCCGAAUAUAUAUAGAACGCCCAAAUCUGACUUCGUAUGAGGAAGUUAUGAUUUAUCGAAGUUCCGGCUUAGCGGUAUACAGCCUGUUAUACUCGAUUUGAGAUCGAGCGGUUGUUAGCCGAAGCAAUCUAAAUGAGAAUCGAAGAUCUCAUUGUUGGUAUCGAAGCGAUAAAAAGUUAGGCGAGAACGGACGUCAAACGAAGAAGUUAUGAAUUUAUAACGAAAGUUUCUGUCGCGGCCUAUUAAAAAUAAUUAAUAAAAAUAAAGUCAAAAUUAGCCGACGGAGUCUAAACGAAAGUCGUAGAGCGUGGUCUCACCUUCGCGUGGAUAUAAAGAACGUCGAAAACGGAGUUCGUAUGAAGAAGUUAUGAAUUUCCGAAGUUUAUUAAUCAUUUUAUAUUUUUAUUUAAUUCAAAAUCGGAGGCAUUAUCCGAAGCCGUGUCACCGGUGUAAUCCGGAGUACGCCCCGCGUACGAGGUUACGCUAUCGCGUAACUCCGAUAGUGUCGACACUUCGGAUGACGCAUGCAAUGACGAUUUCGGACGCGUACGCGCUGCGUACGCCUGUACGCCCCGCGUACUCCGAGGUUCCAGCCUCUAUAUAAAGGAUCCGAAGGCAGCCUCAUUUCUUGUUCAUUUUCUUCUCUUCUCUCUAGUCUUUUGCAUCGUUUUUCGUGCCGAAGCUACCCCGAAGCCCCGGUAUCAUACUCUAGCCCCGAGGCAAGUCCCGAGAUCCCGAAGAUCCCGAGAAGCGCGGUUCCCGAGUCGAAGCUCUGCCCGCGAGAAGUUCGAUUUUCGAGGAGAUCUUCCAGAUCUGCUGUGGAUUACUACUUCUAUAAGCCGUAGUGCUGUCGGAUCGUCUUCUGAUCAAGUGAGUGUGUAGUUAUUUCUUCUAAUACAAUAAUACGAAGUAUUUUAUAUAAAAAUACGUGCUAUGUGUAUAUAUUUGGUUGUGUUAUGUGUGAAUGAGUAUUCACUCUCUUCUAUCUUAUAGAUCUGCUUAUUUCUUUAUGAGAUAUGUGUUAUGUGUGUGUGCCUCAUCUGUUAUGUGACAUAUGUGUUGAUUAAAGCAUGCUAUACAGGUUUUCUUUAAACUACGUAUGAAAAUAUAUAUUUUUAUCUACUAAUAUGUUGGGUAGAACAUGGGUAGAUAGUUGGUGUGUAAUAAACAGAUGAGAGGCCUCGAUGUUGUUGUUGUUGUUGAUCUAGUUAUUCAGCGGAGUAUGGAUAACGACCACGGACUCUUUCUAGACAGUCCAGUGGAACGCUAGCAGGUUCAUAACCUGUAGGUGUUGUGAACGAUGUGUUCACCGGUGUACUCUAUCCCCCUCAUGGUUGCCUUUAGGAUAUCUAUUGUUGAGGAAACCCCUUCGCAGUGAUGUCCGUCCCGAUGAAAAUCCUAGAUUAGGUCCCUUGAGAUAGUUGUUUUAGGGACGUAAAGUGAGGAUAACGGGAAUGGGUAAUCGGGAUAGUGAUUGGUUGGUGAAAUUAAAUAUAACUUAUUUAUUGUGGGUUGAAAACCCUAUAUGCUCACCAGGCUCCCAAGCCUGACCCACUCAGUUUUAUUUGUAUUACAGGAAGUGGCACAAGGGCGUAAGAUGGAUGGAUCAUCUUGUUGUUUUGUUUACAAGUCUGUAUAUGUAUAUAUUUGUUGAAUGACUUGUAAUGUUUAUCGUUUAUGCUUUAUGGUCUGUAUCGGAACAUGACAUCCCGAGUUUUGAUUAUAUAAUGAAAUGCAUCUCUUGAUGAAAUGCUUUGAUAAAUAUUAUUUUAUCAUGUUUUGUUUUGGGAACAAAUUCCGCAACUCUUUCAAAUCAAAAGGAUUUACUCUGAAAAUAUUUAAAAGCAUAAAUGAAAAUCGGUCUUUUCUGGCCGAGAUUUUGGGGAUGUCACAGUUGGUAUCAGAGCAUUAGUUUAAGCGAACUAGGAAUUUGUAGGAUUUCUAGACUUAAACUUAGAAUGCUAAAUGGAAUGAUGAGAUGUGUGUCUGUUGGAUUUUAGACACGAGCACUAGUUUAUUUUAGGAAAGUUGCCUAAAAUGCUUUUAUGUGCUAAAUGUUAUAUGUUGCCAUAUAUGAUAUUAUUUGUUCGGAUCUACGGUUUGUUGCCAACCGGAUCUGAAGGUUUAUGUGUUUAGGAUUCUAAGCGUAUGUAUACGAUAUUAGAACUAGCAUGUAAUCGUUUGGAGUAAUAAGGUGAAAUUAUUCGGUGUGUAGAUCAAAAAUGGUGAGAACAAGGAGUGGCGUUGGAAACGCAGAUGAAAACAGGAAUCAACCGCCAGUGAUUGAGCAAAUACCUGUUGUAGCAGCAGCACCAGAACCAAUAACAAUGGCUGCGGUGCAAGCCAUGAUUCGGGCUAUGCUAGCCGAACAAAGGGAGGAGAUGCGACAAAUGUUGCAUAAUAAUAGGGAUGAACCUAUCAUACCUAUUGAGGAACCGGAAUUGAUUCCCGAGCAAUCGGAGGAAGGGAACAAUAGUCGCAUGGUGAGUCAAGUUGGGACUCAAGAGGAACGAAGGAACGAUCCGGAAAGGAGAAACAACAAGGAUGGGCGUAUGUACAAGAAUUUCUUGGGCGCCAAACCGCCAAGUCUUUCUGGGAGCCCAAAGCCUGUUGAGAUAAUGGAUUGGAUCUCCGAAAUGGAGAUGGUAUUUGAAAGUUGCGACUGUAGCAACAAACAGAAGACCGUAUUUGCGGUUAGACAACUGAAGACUGGAGUCUUGAGUUGGUGGAAGUUGUUGGCAGAUACUAUGCCACGAGGAGAAGCCCUGAAAAUGUCAUGGGAGGAGUUCUUGGAACAGUUAAGGGUGCAGUAUUGUUCGGAGAUAGAUCUGAUUGAUCUGAACAAUGAGUUUCAAAACUUAAAGAAGGGGAAGAUGAGCAUAGAUGACUAUGCUACUGCAUUUACUGAGAAGAUGAAGUUGUUUCCGUACCUAGUGCCGACGGAACUCUCCAAGAUUGAGAGGUUUGCUAACGGACUGCCUGCUGACUUUGGUCCGACAGUCAAAAUGGCAACCACUCUGAAAACGGCUGUUCGUGCAGCUAAGAAUGUGGAGGCCCAGCAGAAGGAAAAGGGUCUGGAAAGAAUAGAUGUUGGAGAAAAGAGGAAGUUCGAUGGAACUUCAGGGUCCAACAAGAAAAACAAGUUCUCGAAGUCUGGUUCGAGGGGAGGUGGAGGUGAAGCGAAAUGGUGCGACAAAUGUAAGAAGAAGCAUCAUGGAAGAUGUGAGGUGGCGAACACAUGCUACAAGUGUGGAAAGCCAGGGCACUAUGCCAAUGAGUGUACCCUCACAAAGAAAGUUUGCUAUGGUUGUGGUGAGGAGGGUCAUAUGUCGAGGGACUGCCCGAAGAAGAAGGAGGCAGCUAGACCCAACAUUCCGCUUUUUUCAAACAUGUAUGGAUUUAAAAGGCUUUAGCAUGUCAUCUUGGAAUGCACAUGUGCUUUUUUCAACAAACUCAUCUCUCUUUCUCCACCAUCUCAUUGCUUUUUAAAGUUUGUGUGAAUUUUGUUCCAAUGCAUCUCGAGUUCGUUUACAUUAGUCCAUUUGAGUUACAUUGGUCAUGCGCCCUAUAAUAUUGACUUUGAACUAUACCCUUACAAAAACGCUAUGUAACACGUAUCCAAAAUUAAUCAUGAGAUUGGUUCUUCCCUAUGGCAUUAUCUUUCGAUAUGUUGACCCAUGAAUUCGCUAAUUCUGUCUUUUCUUUUUGACUCCAUCAUCUACUUUCGGCCCUCCUUUUUCUUUUUGGUUGAGCUUGUUGUUUGGGUUCGGAAUCGAAAGGGAUGAUGACUGAUCGUAACUGAAGAGUGCAAUUGGGUUGGAAGAGUUGGAAGAAUUUGGGUUGUUAGAAGACAUUUUGAGAGUAAAAGAUUUGUAGUUUGUUUAGAUUAAAUGGUAAAAAUAUGAAUGUAUAUAGUGGUUAUUUGGUUUUAAAAAAAAUGAAACACUCCAACGGACAUAAAAUGCAACCGUACGAUCUCCAAUGAUCCAUAUUUUUUUUUUGAACGACGUCAAAAGCUUGCCAUCGGCGUAAUGCUGCCGGCGAUAAGUCCACAGGGGAUGGUAUUUACCGCCGGUAACAAUGUCCACCUCGACUUGCCGCCGGGGAAAUCACCACUACACCGUCUAGUCUAUCCUUAAUUGCUCCAUGCAGCCGUUUGUUUUCACCACGUGCCCACUUGCAUGGAACGCUAUUGUCUUGUUUUGACAAUGAUUUUGGUUUUAUACGUACUUUCGUAAUCAUGCAUACCACAGCCAAACAAAUAAUCAAAUUCAAAAUCUUUUUCUCAUAUAACACUUCUUUUAUCAAAUGUACCCUUUUAAAAAUAUUUAAUUCAUGUUUAUAUAAAUUAUUUUAAAUUUCUUAUACCGGACAUUGGUAUUAAUUUCGUGUUGUUUACAAAAAAGACACCGGUACUUUGCAUAAUCAUUUUAUUUAAAACUGGGAAUUGUUUUUACAUAAUAACUAAAAUAAAAUCUAAUAAACAUUUUUUCCGUAAGAAAACUAUUCGCUAAAAGAGAUAUCUAUAGUCGCCGUUUUGCGCCGACACACGUCUAGUUGCAAAAAAUUAUAUUUAUAAGGUUUUCUGGAAAUAAGUAUUGGCGACUGAGAUUAAUGAAAAAUAGUGACAAAUCUAAUAAUAUUAAAGGUCCCAAAAAAAAGAUAUUUGUCAAAUGAAUAUUUGUAUAUAUAAAGUCUCAAAUUAGGCUGAGAUGCAAAGUGCCAAAAUAAUUAUAAAUUGUAAAGUUGACUUUGAUGUUACAAUGUUUCACUAAACACGAAUGCCUACAUUUCUUAACAUCCGUAUGGAAUUUUGAAAAACUUCGAGAUUGAUGGGUUUUAUAUAUAAUCAUUUAUAUGAUGAAAUUAUGUCAUUUUCGUUCAAAUUAAUUUUGUAAUAUUAAUAAAAUGAAUAAAUAUAUUAUGCUAUUUAUCAAACAGUGAUGAAGCUAUUUCUAUCUAUAAAUACUGCAAGUACUUUGCAUAUCUUUACACAAAACAAACUACAACACUUUCCCACUAUAAGAAGCAAAACCAUCAAAAAUGGCUUCAAGAGCUUUGGCAACCACAGCUUUUCUCCUUACGAUCAACCUUCUUUUCUUCACUCUCGUAUCUUCCACUAGUACCCCAAAAGGCUGCCCACCUCCACCAAAACCUCCAACAUCACCAGGAUGCCAUUGUACAUCACCACCAAAACCUCCAACACCCACAAAACCUUCAACACCUCCAAAACCCACAAAACCUUCAACACCUCCAAAACCUUCAACACCUCCAACCCCUCCUAAAGCCACUUGCCCAAUAGACACUCUCAAAUUGGGUGUGUGUGGUAACGUGCUCAACAACCUUCUCCCCAUAGUCAUCGGAAACCCAUCCGAGACACCAUGUUGUUCCCUUCUUUCCGACAUUGCAGAUCUUGACGCUGCAGUCUGUCUUUGCACUGCCAUCAAAGCUAAUGUUUUGGGAAUCAACCUCAAUGUUCCUAUCUCAUUAAGCGUGUUGCUUAACUACUGUGAAAGGAAGUCCCCAUCCGGCUUCCAAUGCACCUAGAUUUUGAAAGCUUAUAACUAUAGAUUGUUGUAUUUUGGAAUAUGUUUUCUUAUGUUUAAUACGAUGUAAAGAAUCAAUUACGAUAUGAUUCCAGAAUAAAGUUGUGUACUAUAUUUUGAAAUUUUAGUGACUUUAAAAAAAAUAUCAACUCCAAAAAAAAAC
rnacentral:lncRNA from 1 species